UUGGAGUAUAAUAUUUUGGAGCAAGCAUACUUGAAAUUUCUGUCUUCAAUAUUUUGAUGCUUUUUUAAUUUUUGAUCUAGUAAAAAUACAUAGCCUUCACCGGCAGGAUUCUAGUCUUGGCUUUCACCUCUCUAACUCAUCGUCCCCACUGGGAUUCCAGAAAUUGAAAUUUCUGUCUUCAAUGGGUUUUCAAAGCCUCGCCUCUCUUCGAUUUUUAUGGAUCGCUUCGAUUUUUGCACAAAUCUCACAUCAUUUCCCGAGGUCGAGGAAAAGAGCGGCCCAAACUUGCUCGCAUCCCUUGGGUUAUGAUAGAUGGAAAAUUCAUAUACGAUCCAGAGUCAGAGGUGUUGAUUCUCUUAUUAAGGUCAACUGAUUUCUAUUAUCCACUCUGACAAUCUCCUAUUAGUGUUUUUCCUUUUCUUUUUCAAAAUUUUGCAGUUCUGUAUAAUUGAAAAUGCCACUCACUUGUUUCCUUUUUCGCAGGUCAAAUAGUGCGUUGAGGCUAUUUGCUUUCUAUCGGUGUUUGUUAAGGUAAUUAGUGCUCCAUCAUAGGUAUGACUGGAUUUUUUUCACUUCCGUAAAUAUUGCAUUUCUAUCGGUGUUUGACUGGAUUUUUUUCACUUCCGAAAAUAUUGCAUUUUAGACUGGCAAAUUUAGCAGUAAUUUUAAUACAAUUUUGUUGGUGCCUUUUGUUCCAGAAGCUAGAAAAAUGUGUAGUUUUCAGAUAAGGAGGCUUGUCAGUUCUCUAAUAAGAAUCCAAUAAUUUGCUUUUGCACGUCCAUCUAAUUUGUGGAUCCUUGCAUCAGAAUUUGAUCAAUCCAAAAGGAAUUGCUUUUAGACAGAGGAAGAAUAGCAGUACCUAGCCUAUGUCAUAGUGUAUGGAACCGCAAACCUGAAACUAUUAGAUUGAGGUAAAAAAAUCAUUGACCCCCUCACAUGUUAACUUCUUCUAGUUACUUUCGUUGGAAAAAAAAACAUUUAAGGAAUUUGCAAUUUGUUGUUGGUUAUGGUAUCUGAUGUUCUUUUCUGUUUUAGUGUUUGUAGAAUCUACUGUAUUAUGUGUUGGCAGUUGCCGUAUCUGAGGUAACUUGCCUUUAUUUGACAAAGAUUUAGAGAAGCAUCUCAAAACACUUAGUAAACUUGACAAACUUCAAGAUGCACUUGCCCCCACGCCUUAUUCUCCACAACGCAAAACUUGUGAGUACACCUAUGCCUGCAAUUAUUGUGAAGUGUUUUCAAUUUUGAUGCAGAGAAAUGGUUUCUUGAUGCAAAAUAUUAAACUGUUAAGAUUUAUCCUGCAGGCUUGUUAGAUGCUGUAUGCUCGAAAAGCCAACAACAUCCAGAACUAGAACUCCAAGACCAGCUUUGCGUUAAUUCAGUCAACUGUAAUAAUAAUGCAAAUGACACUAUAUCAAGCUGGACUUAGAGACUAGUCAGAUCAAUCAUCCAUUUCAUCAACGGUUAAUGUCAUGAUGGUGGCUAUCAGAGGAAACAAAAGAUGUGUCGGAAUCUAUACGAACAUUGAGAAGCAUGAGAGGAGCUUUGAUUUUGAGUAGGGUCAAUGAACUCAUGUUGGUAAGUGGUAAUUAAAGAAAUUUGUAAGCUUAGUAGAGUUUCAGUAUUUUCUGUUUGGAGUAUAGUUGAUAAGUUGACUCUGUUUAAUAAGCCCGAUUAUAGUAGCUGACUGUAUUAACCUUUUUUUUUUUGGUCUACUGUUGUUUUUGGUUUCGAUUAUUUUUUCAACAUUGGGUUGAUCUGUUGAAGAACAAGCUUGGGUUCGAUUCUGCUUUAACUACAAGGAAGAGCCAGACUUGGAUGCAGGCGUUAAGAUUUUAAUGGGUAAGAACAAAUGAAUGCUUUAACCAUGUUUCUCACUAAUUAAAAUGCACGGAUUGAAGGCAUCUGGGUUGAUCCUGACAAUGUGAUGGAAAUACUUCUCUAUUUUGUUCCUGUGUUCACAUAAUGUUUGUGGGAUAUGCUUCGACGAAGACCAGCAAUGAUGAGCAGACACCUGGUAAUAGGGUUCCUCGAGCAGGUAUAUCUUGUAAGAGUAUGGUAUUCAGGGGAGCAGGAGCAGGAAUAUCCUGCUCAUCCGCGAGCACGUCAUCCACGAGGCCAAUCUCCUGUUGGAAGCAUAAAGCCAUUCCUGCUACAUUCCUGCUAAGGGUUGAGUCGAGGAGACCCGGUCAACGACAGUUGGCGAGGCGUGCUCUCCAGUCCGAGAAUCAAGGCAUGAAGGCCACGCAACCACCCACGACUACGGAAAUGGGGCAUCCACUUUCGAGAGGUGGGAGGAUAACGAGCGCGAAUGGAAGAAGGCCCGAGUUCAGAGAUGGCCUAUAAAAAAGUAGCCAACAAAGGUAAAAGGGUUAGAAUUUUUGACAUUGUAACAGAAAAAAAGAAAGCUCUAAAGAACUGAGACUAAAAAAGAAAAGCCAUAAGAUUUGUGGCUAGUGUUCCCAGAACCUUCAUAUCUAACUUGAGCGUCGGAGGGUUUACGCCGGGAAAACAACCGGCGUACUCUGACCUAGUUCUGUGUACGCAGGAACUUCUGGAGAAGAAGCCUUACGAGGAGAGAUCCUAAUCGAGGUGGAGUUGAUCGAGCAAAGAUCCUGGUCGUAACAAGAGAGCAACCAGAAUCUCGCAUCAACAUUUUGGCGCCAUCUGUGGGGACUUGAUCAAAAAGCUUCUGUUGAUAGCAAGAAGAGGAGUGAAGCAAGUGGAAAAGCAAUGGAGGCAAGAAGAAAUAGUGCACAAUGGGGUGAUAUGAGGCUUAACGAUUCCGUGACGCUGAGGGAGAUAGCCAGUGAAGCACGGGAAAAAGCCAUGUUUGACCGGAUGGAACGGAUGGAAAAGCAGAUGCAGACCCUGACAACCAUCCUACAUGAGCUGCGGAGUGAACGAAGGGGAACCCAGGAGGAAAGGGUGAGAGGUGGUGGAGUGGCACCAGGUCAUGAUAGUACGAGGAGAAGUCAAACCACCGAGAGAUUUGGUGGUGAGAGAGGUAACCUAUCUCUACGGGGAGAAAUUCAUAGAGAGGAAGAGCAAUCCCCGGCAAGACAGAUUUUUGACGAGGACGACGGGGUGGCGAAUGCAGAGGAAACAGAGUUGAGGUAACACUUGCAUGAUGUAGAGCAAGAGCGGGAUCAAGUUGCAGCACGUGACCUUGGUCGUGUAGUGCAGCUGGAGGAGGAAGUGCGCAGACUAGCGCAGAUAAUUGAUGACAUGUAAGGAAGGAGCAGAGCUCCUGGUUGGAGGAUAAUGCUGGACGGAGAAUCACCGCUCGCAGCAGAGAUCAUGAGGGCAGUUAUUCCAAGAGAUUUCCGCCUCCCAGACCUUAGAUAUUCGGGACGAACUGAUCCGCUGGUGCACAUAGAGCGCUUCAACGACAUAACCGGGGUACAAGGAUUAUCUCAAUCCCAAAGGUGCAGGGUGUUCCCACUAUCCCUUGAGGGACGUGCACGCAAGUGGUACAGGAAACUUCCUCGGUGGAGCAUUAAAACCUUCGAGCAGAUGUGACAGGAAUUUGUAGAGCAGUUUCGUGGGGCAAUAGCACCAGAAGAUGACAUGAUGGAGUUGAAAAGCAUGAAGCAGGGGGAACAAGAAACCCUUCGGGAAUUCAUCAAGAGGUUUCAUCGUGCUGUCCUCGAUUUGGGAGCCUUCAACCAUUCUCAGGCAUUAAGGGGAUUGAAAGAAGGGGUGAAGAUAGGAAGGCUGUGGCACAACUUGAGAAGCCCAGUUAUUCAGAUGUAUACAGCCGCAUACGAGCAGGCUAAGAGGGACAUUGAGAUUGAAGAAGAAAAGGCAGCACGGAUUAAGACAGACCAGCUAGAAGGGUUGGGAAAGAAAGAGAAGAAAGCAUUACCAGGGAAUGGGCCGAUCAGGAGGAAGGACCACCAGGCCUCAGGUAGUGGUGCAAGAGGUCGAGUAACCGCUUACCAGCCUCAUCAGAGACCACCACAGUAUUAGCACAGCAGAGCACAACCUCCUCGUUCCCCAGUUAGAGAGCUUUGGAGAAGGCAUGACUCGACAUAUGGUGGUCUUCAUCAACACUCCCACGGUAGUAGAGGGAGCAGACCAGAAGCGCUGCCACCGCCUCUAACUCAGAAUGGAACAAAUAGAGAAAGGGUAGUGCACAUGAUCGACCAGAACCAGGACUAUGGGCAGUAUACUUCCUUGAAGAUGUCCCUGGACGAGGUGUACGAGGCCAUAAAGGACCGGGGAUUGAUGUACCUCCCUGCCCCAAUAACAAAGCUACCCAGCAGGACGGAUAGGGGACGCUAUUGUAAGUUCCAUGGCACUUAUGGCCAUACCACUGCAGAAUGCAGAGAUCUCAAGACCCAAGUUGAAGAUUUGGUGAGAAAUCGGUACCUGGAUGAGUUUAUAGAUGAGACUUUCCCGAUGGUGGCCUCGACAUGUGAAGGGGAGCAGAGUGAUAGAAACUUUAGGCGCGAGCAGCCUGCAGUAAGGGUAAUAGCUGGGGGCCCAACAUUGGCCGGAGAUUUCAACAGAUCGAGGAAGAAUUAUGCUAGAUACGCCAUAACUAGUAAAGAGUUACUCUUCAACACCCCAGCAGCCAAAUGAGUAAGAGUCAGACAAGUGCCAAUCAUGUGGACGGAUGAAGAUGAAGAAGAGAUUCUAUACCCCCACGAGGAUGCUUUAGUCAUCAAGGCUACUGUUGCAAGUAAGAAGUUUGACCGGAUACUGGUUGAUACAGGGAGCUCAGUUGAUGUGUUAUUUAAGUCAACUCUGGAGGAGAUGGGAAUAGCAGGCCGGAAGUUGGAGUACACCAAUACCUCCUUGAAAGGGUUUGGAGGAGGAAAGCUGGUCCCUCUGGGCGUGGUCGAGCUGCCUAUCACGAUUGGGAGCUCCCCGACAAAAAGGACUAUGAUACUGGACUUUGUGGUGGUGGAUGAAGAAUGUCCUUACCAGAUGAUCUUAGGUCGGCCAUUUCUGAGGAUGAGCAAAGCGGUACUGUCCAACCAUUAUCUGGCUCUCAAGUACCGAGUGAAUGUGGUAGUUGGAGUGGUACGAGGAGACCAGAGAAUAGCACGAAGCUGCUACUCCUUGGCAGCAAGGGAAGCAAUGCAAAUAACAUCCCUUGAUACCCGAGUGGAAAACAUGAAUGGCAGACAAGAACCUGUAGAGGAGCUGGAGACAGUAAGCCUGGGACCAGAGAAUCCGGGAAAAACGAUCAGAAUCGAGUCGAGACUUAAGGAAGAGCAGAAGCAGGAGUUGGUGAAAUGCUUACAGGCUCAUGCAGAUGUGUUUGCUUGGACACAUGAAGACAUGCCAGAGAUUGAUCCUGAGGUAGCAUGUCAUAAGCUGGCAAUAAAGAAAGGUGCUCGGGCAGUAAGGCAGAAAAGGAGGUGCUUCAACCAGGAGAGGUAUGAGGCUAUAAAUGGCGAGGUGGAGAAGCUCUUGAUAGCAGGGUUCAUUUGCGAAGUCGAUUAUCCUGAGUGGAUAUCGAAUGUGGUGUUGGUAAAGAAGGCAAAUGGCAAGUGGAGGAUGUGUGUAGAUUUCACAGAUCUCAAUAAGGCGUGCCCGAAAGACAGCUUUCCUUUAUCAAAGAUCGACCAGCUAGUAGAUUCAACGGCUGGACACGGCCUGCUUAGCUUCAUGGACGCGUUUUCGGGAUACAACCAAAUUCCCAUGUAUGAGCAGGAUGAGGAGAGCACGGCUUUUAUUACUAACCAGGGUUUAUUUUGUUACAGGGUAAUGCCAUUUGGUCUUAAAAAUACUGGGGCCACGUACCAGAGGCUGGUGAAUAAAGUCUUUAAGCCAUUGAUUAGGAGAACCAUGGAGGUGUACGUGGACGACAUGAUAACCAAGUUGAACAUCCCGAAGGAACAUGUCAGAUACCUCGAGGAGACAUUCGGGCUUUUGAGGAAGUAUAAGAUGAAGCUCAACCCGGAAAAGUGUGCUUUUGGGGUCGAGUCAGGGAAAUUCCUUGGAUUCAUGGUGAGCCAUAGGGGGAUCGAAGCAAAUCCCGAGAAGAUCCACGCGAUCGUGUAAAUGAGGUCACCUCGUAGCCUGAAGGAGAUGCAGAGCCUCACGGGGAGGUUGGCGGCAUUGAGCCGAUUCAUAUCCAAGGCUACUGAUAAGUGUCAGCCAUUCUUUCAAGUGAUAAGGAGGGGAAAGAAAAUAGAAUGGACCCCAGAAUGUGAAGAAGCCUUCCAGAACUUGAAGCAGUACUUGCAGCAAGCACCUCUACUGUCCACACCGAGGGAUGGGGACAAGUUAUUUUUGUAUUUGGCGGUAUUAGAUCGGGCCGCAAGUUUUGUUCUGGUGAGAGAGGAAGAAGGGGUUCAGUAUCCGAUAUACUACACCAGCAAGGCUCUGCUCGACCCUGAGACCAGAUACCCACCGUUGGAGAAAUGGGCAUUUGCCCUUGUGGUUGCUGCUCAGAAGCUGAGGCCAUACUUUCAAGCAUUCCCAGUCUCGGUAAUAACAAACCAGCCAUUGCGUCAAACUCUGCACAAGCCAGAUGCUUCUGGUCGGCUCGUCAAGUGGACUAUAGAGCUGAGCGAGUUCGACAUAGACUACAAACCCCGAGCAGCGAUAAAGGCUCAGGCGAUGGCCGAUUUCAUAGCAGAAUUCACAGAGCCCGAAAUAUGUUUGGACCAGCGAGAUGUAGCUACAGACAGCAACGAAGCCCGAGUAUGGCAGAUGUCUGUAGAUGGAUCAUCCGGGGAGUAGGGAUCAGGAGCAGGAAUUGUUUUGGAAGGCCCAGAAGGGGAGGAGAUCUCUUAUGCUGUAAAGUUAGAAUUCGCAGCCACAAAUAACCAAGCAGAGUACGAAGCCUUGAUAGCAGGUUUGGAAUUGGCUAAGGCAGUGAAAGCGGAUAGAGUGAAGAUCAGAACUGAUUCCCAGCUGGUCGCAAAUCAUGUCAGUGAAAGAUUUCAACCGAGAGAGGAGAAGAUGGAGCAGUACCUGAAGAUAGUCAGGCAUAUGAUGGGGAAAUUUGAAGCGGUUUAGGUGAUACAAAUCCCCAGGGAGCAGAAUAGUCGAGCAGAUAUUUUGACGAGGAUGGCAGCGGUAGCAGACCCAAAAAUGCCAAAGUCGAUCCCUCUGGAGGUGAAGUCCAGCCCGAGCAUCGAGCAUAAUUUGGGGGUGCUGCGGAUAGAACAAAAAUGCUCGUGGAUGGACCCGAUAAUUUCAUACCUUAGAGACGGGGUAUUACCACCAGAGAAGCUGCGAGCUCGGAAGAUUAGAGCCCAGGCCUCGAGAUACACGAUGAUUGACGGGGUAUUAUAUCGGCGAGGAUAUACGCUACCUUUCCUUCGGUGUUUGGAUGAGGACGACGCGGACUACGUACUGAGAGAAGUACAUGAAGGAAUUUGCGAAAAUCACUAUGGUGGGAGGUCCCUGGCUCACAAGGUUCUAAGGCAGGGAUAUUUCUGGCCGACAAUGCACCAGGAUGCGCAAGAGAAGACCAGGAGCUGUGUAAGCUGCCAGAGUUUUGUGAGUUUCUCUAACCAACCACCAGAGAAGCUCACCUCUAUGGCCCCCCCCUGGCCAUUUGCUCAAUGGGGAAUUGAUCUGAUCGGCCCGUUGCCAAAGGGAUGAGGAGCAGCAACACAUGCAAUAGUUGCGAUAGACUACUUCACGAAGUGGAUAGAGGUAGAAGCCCUUAGUAGGAUCACAGAGAAGAAAACAACAGACUUUGUAUGGAGAAACCUGGUCUGUCGAUACGGGAUCCCUUAUGCCUUGGUAACGGAUAAUGGCAGGCAGUUUGAUAAUCACAGCUUCAGGGAUUUCUGCCAGAACCUCGAGAUAGAGUUGAAGUAUUGCUCGCCUGCUCACCCUCAAUCUAAUGGACAAGUAGAAGCAGCCAACAAGACCAUCAAGAGGCUUUUGAAAACCAGGCUUGGAGCAAAAAAGGGUGCAUGGGUUGAUGAGCUGUCAGGUGUCCUAUGGGUAUACAAGACAACCCACAAAACAGCAACUGGGGAGACACCGUUCGCCUUGGCUUUCGAACAUGAAGCGGUCGUACCAGCCGAGAUAGGAACGACCACGCACCGGACAGAUCAUUUCAAUGAGCAGGAGAACGACGAGCAGAUGUGUUUGAAUCUAGAUCUGCUAAUGGAAAAGAGGGAGCAAGCAGCCGAGCGAUCAACCAUUUGCCAGCAGAGGGUUGCUCGGUAUUAUAACCAGAAGGUGAAUGUACGGCAGUUCAAGGUCGGAGAUUGGGUGUUAAGAAGAGUGAAUCAGAAUACGAAAGACUCGGCUCAGGGAGUACUUGGACCAAAUUGGGAGGGGCCAUAUAGGGUCAAGCAGCUAGUUGGACCCGGAGCUUACAAGCUGGUUCGCUCGGAUGGCCACGAGGUGAAACGCCCAUGGAACGCAACACACCUCAGGAAAUAUUUCCAGUAAGAAUUGUCCAUGUUUUCAAGUUAUUUCUGUUCGUGUUUGUUGUUAUUUAUUUUAUGUCAAAACAAUUUCAUGUAAGUUGAAUCCUGCAAUUAAUGAAACGUCGAGGAAUUUCAUUCACUUGAAACUGUGAAAAAUCUACUAAGGCAUGCUAAGGCUCACUGAGUCUCAAAGCCUGUUUAUGGAAAGACCAGAAGCCAAGUGUGCCAGGAUCUGCUCGACCACGCGAAGGCCAGCAGAAUCCCAAAUCAUUGAAGAAUCUACCAAGGCAUGCAAAGGCUCGUCAAGUCUCAAAGCCUGUUUAUGGCGAGACCAGAAGCCAAGUGUGCCAGGAUCUGCUCAACCACGCGAAGGCGAGCAGAAUCCCAAUCAUUGAAGAAUCUACCAAGGCAUGCAAAGGCUCGUCAAGUCUCAAAGCCUGUUUAUGGCGAGACCAGAAGCCAAGUGUGCUAGGAUCUGCUCAACCACGCGAAGGCGAGCAGAAUCCCAAUCAUUGAAGAAUCUACUAAGGCAUGCUAAGGCUCACCGAGUCUCAAAGUCUGUUUAUGGCGAGACCAGAAGCCAAGUGUGCUAGGAUCUGCUCGACCACACGAAGGCGAGCAGAAUCCUAAAUCAUUGAAGAAUCUACCAAGGCAUGCAAAGGCUCGUCAAGUCUCAAAGCCUGUUUAUGGCGAGACCAGAAGCCAAGCAUGCCGGGAUCUGCUCGGCCAAGUAAAGGCCAGCAGACUCCCCAACAUCAAAAAAUUAUCCAAGGCAUGCAAAGGCUCGUCAAGUCUCAAAGCCUGUUUAUGGCGAUACCGGAAGCCAAGCAUGCCGGGAUCUGCUCGACCAAGUGAAGGCUAGCAGACUCCCCAACACUGGGAAAAUUAUCUAAGGCAUGAGAAAGCUCGUCAACUCUCAAGGCCUCCUCUGUGACGAGGUCAGAAGCCAAAUGGAUAAAUAAAUUAAAAUUCCAAUGCGAGGAAGCAAAUAAGAACAAUUUUAUUAAGCUCUUAAAAGUCUGCAAUUCUGUUACAUACAACGCUAAAAAAGCAAUUACAACGCAAGACAAGUUCAGGAGGACGGCGGAUCAGUAAACCGAGUAGCUUCGGUUGGCUGGUCCACUUCAGGGGUCGAGGGGGUGUCACCAGUUGCGUCCGGGGGGGUACUCGCCUCACCAACGUUAGCAGGGACUGCAUGAGGAGGAGAGUUUUCCUCCUCAACCACGAUUGGCUCCACCCCUUCGGCAUCCUCCUUUGCCGCCUCCUCGUCCAUGUGUUGAACAAUACUAGCCGCAAGGUCAUCCAUCUUCAGAUCAGGAUGCUGCUUCCCGAGGACGGCCAUGAUGCAACGAUAGGAAUGCCGAAGUCCCUGGUCGUACUGGUUGUCGGCUUCCUUCUCCAAGUUCUUGACCUGAACUCGGUGGGAAUCGCGGAGAGAUUCGAGCUGAGCCUCGUACAUAAUUUUCUGCCUUUGCAGAUCCUCCUUGACCUUAGUCAGCUCUUCCUCGAGAGUAACGGCCUAUGCUUGAGCAAGAGAUUCUUGCUCUAUCAGCUUCAGAUUCUCGAGAUUCAAGUCUCCCGCUUUCUUCUCGGCAGCAUCGGCUCUGGUCGUCGCCGAUUGAAUGUCCUCCUUCAUCUUCCGGUCGUAACGGCCAACCUUGGCCUUAUAGUAAGUGGUCAUGCAGCUGAGGUGGAAAGCGCUAUACUGCAUGGCCCCCACCAGCUCACCUAGGGUGCAGCCAUCAAAGUCCUCCAGGUCCUUCUUGCUCACGAGUUUAAAUAGCUCAUUGAGAUAGGGGACCAAGUGUUCUGCUCGGUGGUCAGAUAAACGAGAUCUAGGCCCGACAGGAGGAGAAGAGAAAGCAGGAUCAGUGGCAGCUCCACUAGUCUCUCUGACUUUGGCAGGAGGAGGAGGAGGUAGAGUCUGCAAGGGAGCAACCUGUUGCACGAUGUUCACCUGCUUUGCAGUAGGAGCAUCUUUAUUCUGGUCCUGCUUGGUCGUUGGAGGUCGAGAACGUUUCCUAGUCAGAGCCCCAAUCACAGCAUCCUCCAUCUUAUGGCCGGGAGGCACCAAACAAGACUCGAGCAGGUUAUAAGUAGUUAUCAGCUCUCGGCUCGAGCAGGAAUUGGCUAGUACAGCCUCGACCCGUUUGAGCUGGUCAGGUUUGAGCGGGAAGUAAACACCCCAAGAACCUGCAACACAAAUAGACACUUGGUUAGAGACAAACCAGUAUAGCGAGAACAAUUAUGGAUACAAGACAUCUAAAGCGAGCAGGCAACCUGAGAUCACGAAACGGGGUGGGACGCAAGAAUCCUUCCCGUCAAUUUGUGCAACUUGACCCCAGGAACCCCCAGCAAAAAAGAAUUUUUUCUUCCAAUUCCCACCACCACCAGUAAGAAGAUCGGUUAUGGGUUUCCUGGUCUUGGUACUAGAUUGGAAGUAGUACCAGCCGGCAUCUUUGGGGCUGCUCUUUAGCUGGUACAGGUGCUUCACCUCAUCAACUGUGGGCUUGCUUUGGCAACAUCUGUCCCACAAUAUGAACAGACCAGAGAGUACUUUCCACCCGUUGGGGUUCAGCUGACCAGGAGCUAGAUUUAGCCCGUUAAGCAUCCGGGCAAAGUAGGGUUGCAAGGGACACCUCAGCCCAUACUUAAAGCUCUCUAGAAACAGGGUAACGUAUCCCCUAGGAGGCCGGCUAGGGGUAUCCUUCUUUCCUGGGAUCUUAAGAGGUAUUUCACCAGGAAUACUAUACUUAAGCCGGAGGUCAGUGAGCUCGUCAAACGUGGUCGUGCACGUCAUGUAAUCAAUAGCGUAAUCCCGCGAUAGGGCUCUACCUCCUACUGUACUCUGCCCUUCUGGUCGCGAUGUUCAUAAUGGGGACACCUCACCAGAAUCACCUCUUCGAUCCUCACUCAGGGUGUUUUCCGAGCCAGAAAACCCCUCCUCACCGCUAUUUCUGCUCGAGGAGGUUGUUUGGGGGGACAUCCUCCUAGCGCUAGUACCAACACUAGGUCUAAUGGGUUCUAAGGGGAUCCCGGGGUCAAAAGCAGGAUCGGUGAGCAGACUAGGCAGGAAGUCCAACUCAUUGUCAUCAACCUCAAUGACCUUCUCUUUACCUUUCGACAUUCCCUAAGCUAUAACUAGAACACCACCACCAACUACUACCCAAGCAAAGCAAAGAGAAAAGAAAUUAUCUACAGCUAUCCGAGACUGAGGAGAUAGAAGUAAUACCUGAAAUAGUGGUUCAGUCGGAGAAGGACAGGGAUGGAGGCCUUUAUGCCGGAACUUCUUUGCCAGGGAGACAGGGACAGAGACGGGGUAAAUGACGAAUUUUCCUUUGGAGAGGUUUUAGGUUUUCCUAAUGGAGAAUAAACUCUUGGGUUGCCAGCAUUUAACAGCACCAAAUCCCGAGGGUCUCGUAACCGUUGGUUUGAAAUUCAAAUAGAGAGGUAGAUUUCUGUCACAUCACCUCGUCCGCAAUUAAAUGCGACACAACUCUUGGCAGCCUUUUUCCUAUCCCGCGCAAGCAAGAGCUGUCAAGUUUCUACUAUCGGCUUACUACGUUACCCAACACCAGAAACUGGGGGAUCGGUGUUUGUGGGAUAUGCUUCGACGAAGACCAGCAAUGAUGAGCAGACAUCUGGUAAUAGGGUUCCUCGAGCAGGUAUAUCUUGUAAGAGUCUAGUAUCCGGGGGAGCAGGAGCAGGAAUAUCCUGCUCAUCCGCGAGCACGUCAUCCACGAGGCCAAUCUCCUGUUGGAAGCAUAAAGUCAUUCAUGCUACAUUCCUGCUAAGGGUUGAGUCGAGGAGACCCGGUCAACGACAGUUGGCGAGAUGUGCUCUCCAGUCCGAGAAUCAAGGCACGAAGGCCACGCAACCACCCACGACUACGGAAAUGGGGCAUCCACUUUCGAGAGGUGGGAGGAUAACAAGCGCGAAUGGAGGGAAGGCCCGAGUUUAGAGGUGGCCUAUAAAAAGGUAGCCAACGAAGGUAAAAGGGUUAGAAUUUUUGACAUUGUAACAGAAAAAAAGAAAGCUCUAAAGAACUGAGACUAAAAAAGAAAAGCCAUAAGAUUUGUGGUUAGCGUUCCCAGAACCUUCAUAUCUGACUAGAGCGUCGGAGGGUUUACGCCGGGAAAAGAACCGGCAUACUCUGACCUGCUUCUGUAUACGCAGGAACUUCUGGAGAAGAAGCCUUACAAGGAGAGAUCCUGAUCGAGGUGGAGUUGAUCGAGCAGAGAUCCUGGUCGUAACAAGAGAGCAACCAGAAUCUCACAUCAACACAUAAUAUAAUAUAUAUAUAUAUAUAUAGAAAGCUGAAUUUAUUUAUUUACGCGCAUGUGCUAGUGCCCACUGGCAUCCACUUGAUUUGUAUCGGUUAAAUGUAUCAUACAAUACAAUAUUAGCUUGACUGUAGAAAAGAGGAGAACGAGUUGGUGUUGGUCUGAACUCUUAUCUUUGAAUCUCACGUGACUCCACUACUUUUUACUUGUUCUGUAGUCCAUUGUCGGCAGCUCAUACAAGGUCUUUUAGCUUUUUAAAAAGUUUUAGCUUUUUGGAUAAAUUACUGAUAAUUGUAAUCUAUAAAUAAUGAAAGGAAUUAAUUAAAUAUUUGGUAAAUUUUAUUUUUUAAAGUGUUAUGAGUUUUAAAAACGGUUGUAUGUAUAUAAAUUUAUUUACACAUAUAUUUAUAAAUAUGACUAUAUAAUAAUAUUUUAUGUGUACAUAUAAUAAUUGAUAACUAAAAUAAAUAUUUUUAUUUUAUUAAUGGUUUUUUCGUCUCAAUGUAGUUGGUAAUAAUAAUCUCUUGAGAUGUAACGAUUUUAUUUCCUAACUGAAUAAGGAAAAUUUUAGAUUUUUAUAAUAAAUGUUAAGAUAUAUUUAGAAUUACAUUAAGUAUGAAAUAAUCCUCAAAAUUAGAUUUUGAAAAGCAAUUCUUUUCUUGCCUUUAAAAAUAUGUCAUAUGAUGAGAUGAUUUUACUAAAAGUGAUUUUUUUUUAAAAAAUUACUAAACAUCAAAAUUAACUCUUAACUUUUUAAAAUCAUUUCUAAUCUUCUCAUCCUAAGUUCUCUAUUAUUUUGUACAAAAUCCAAGGUUUUGACUUUAAUAAAAUGCCCACUCAAAAAGAAAUUAUUUUCUAAUUAAGAUUUGUUGUUAAUGUAUAACUCGAAGUAAUAUUAGAUAUUUGUAAUUUUAUUUCAAAAAAUUUAUUCAAAUGAUAUGGCAAGCAAUGAACAAUAGUUGAUAGCAAUUUUUUUUUCUUUAACAAUGUUCAAAUCAAUCAGUUGCAUUAUCUCACCAUUUUUAUGAUGCCAUGUUAUUUUAAACGAUUUUUUUUUUAUAUAAAACAUACGACGUGUUAACAUCAUUUGCAUAACUUGACCUUUUUUUUUUUCCCUACAAAUAGUAAGUCAAAUUUACUCACCCUAUUUCUACCUAAAAUCUACCUAAAACUCAUGCAUCACUGCAAAACAAAUCCAAAGAUUGCGGUGCGUUUUUCUUGGUCAGAAAUCAAUAAUUAGGUCAAGUACUACUACUAAGCGUGCACAAUUAAUUCUAAAAUACGGUGAUCAAAAUCAUACUUUACGCAAGAGGAUCAGGGCUAAACUUCAAUUAGGCAUUAUUCAUCCAAAAAUCAUUGACUCGGCAUUCUUUGCAAGUUGUAGCAUGGGACAGCUAAGAUAAUUAGCAAAUGAUAUGGACCAUAUGCACCAAUACAUUUGUGACAUGUGAAUCUUGGCAUUAAAGGAAAGGCAAUGUGUCAAAAUUUAAUAGAGCCCAACUCUUCAUUGAAUGAUUAUCAGAUCCAAUACGCAUCCUUUGAUUGGAUUAUUUUAAGUCAAUUAUUGGUGGAUUGGGGCCCACUUGACUCUACCAAAUCGGGCUCGACCAUAUCACCUAUUAACGGCCACCUGUCCUUAUCAUAAAUAGCAAAUGUCACUUGUUUUAUUUUCUAUUUUACCAAAGUAAAGUCACUACGAACGCAAAAGAAAGUGACCUCAAUUUUGGGGGUCAUGAACUUUGGAUUAUUAUGGACACAAGAGACAAGCGCAAUGUUUCUCAUUUAUCACUGGAUAAGAUUUAAGUUAUCAACCCAAUAUUAAUAAAUUCUGCUUGAAAAGUAAAGUUUGAAGCUUCAUUUUGCGAAUAUUCAAUGGUUAACAUUUAAGUAAUUAACCUGAUAUUAAUCCAAUUAAACUUUUUAUGUAAUCCAAGUCAAAAAUAUAUUGAUAAACCUAAACUAAUCUAAUUGGACAUAUUAUUUCAACUUGAAAAGGUGAAUUUAUCAUUUUUCAAUUAAUUUUGAAUCAAGCUAUGUAAAAUAUAAGCUUAUUAAAGACAUAUUUGAAAAUUUCAAAUUGAAUUAUUUGACAAUUACAUUUCAACUAAGUUGUACUGCUAAUUAACUUCCUCAACUUAAAAUGUAUUUUUCUCAAUUAAUUCGUAACAAAGAAUGUUAGAUGUUUUGUUCGAAUGAUAACAUUCAACAUCCUUAUUCUUUAUGAUUAUUGCAUAAAAACAUAUUUUAUCCAUUUACGUCACAUAUGUUCCUAAAUUGUAUAAGAAAAUCACCAAAUUUACUCUUGUAAGUUACUAUAUCAAUGAACAUGAAACUAACUAAUCAUUAAAGUCUCGGAAUGACAUCAUGAGGGGGAUUCCGUUACAUUUAUUGAUAGGAUUAGAUAUAUGUCUUCCCAAAUAUUAGUAGGAGUAAUUAAACAGAUGCAGCUAUUAAAAAUAUGGAAUUACUUAUCUCGUCAAUAACUAACGAUAUUUUUUAUCUAUGCUCGAUAGGCGUCUGAGCUAUAUUAUAAAUUGUAAUAUUUGUAGAUUGUAACAAUUAUAAAAAAAAAAAAAAAAAGCUCCCUAAGACUAAACGACAACAGGACUGUUUUGAAAUAGAUAGAUAAAGUAUGCCCUUAUUUGAGAAAAGGUAAAACACUAGGGAUCUAAAUGUUAUUAUAAUCCCAUGCACAAAAAUGCUAGAAAAAACUAAUAACAACUAACCGAAAAUCCCAGGCGUCAUAUUCCUUUUUACCGCGUUUUAAAAUGCACAACAAUGAUAUUCUCACAAAAGUGGGUACAAAGGUUUGUACAACCAGGGUCUCUUUGUAAAUUAUUUCAAAGUUUUGUGUUAUUUUUUAAAUUUAUGAUUUUUAUUAAUUUUGAUUCAUUGGAGCAUUUCUCCUUCCAUCUCUUCUACAUCUAUUUUUAAAGUUUUUUAAAAUUUUGACUAUAUCUUUAUAGAGUUCUAAAUGAUUAUCUUUUUUCAUAAAAAUCUAUACUUAAAUUAAUCCUUGAAUUUAUAAUCAUUUAUCUUCUUUGAGUCAUAGACCAAAUUUUUUCUUCUAACAUAUCUAUGUAUACUCCUAAGCUAUCUUCAUGGCUUAGAUACAUUCUAUCAAAGCUUUCACAUAUAAAUUGUGAUUUGAGAUCUGCAUCUUGAAUCAACAUCUCUAUAUUAUCCAUUGUUUUACGCUCGAGGGUAGUUAAAAUUGAUUCUAUUAAUGCUAUCGUGUUUCUCCUUCAAAAGAAUCAAAUAUUUCUGGAUUAUUAAUUUCUUUUAUUUCUUCAUACAAGCAUUCGUUUGCCGUUAAUCUUGUUUUAAUCAAGGAAGCUGUAUAAGCAACUUGAUAUUCUUGACAAAAGUCUAAAUGAUCUAUUGCAUCUAGAAAUUUAUUAAUAGAUCUUUCCAUUUUUAAGAAAUUGAGUUACUCUUAUCACUUCCAAUCUUUUAACAUCUCAGAAAACAAACAAGGCCCAGCAUGCUUCCGUUUGUAGCUCAAAUAAAAGAAGAGUUCAGAUCACUAACCAAUGUACUAUCUCUCGGAAGUCUGAGAUAGACUCACUAAUUGCCUCUAACCAUAGAGAGGUCCAUGGUCAGCACCACCAUAGCUCCACACAUCAUACAAGAUCACUUCAACGACUGUUCCACAUGGCCUAAUGCAACACACAGCAGACUGGCCUAAUAGGAUAUGUCUAAGUGAUUUUCUUGCAGUUGUCUCUGGAAGAGUGCUUAGUAAUAGAAAAUCUUCUUCGUUUAGUACAAGUAUUGGUAUGUAAGGUUCUUGAUUAAUUUUCAAAAGAUGUAUAAGUGUUAGAGUGCAAUUUAUGCACUAGUUUUGCAUUAUUUACUUCCCUUAAUAUCAAUGUUUUGCACUUAAUAAUAGUGAUUUACUUGUGUUUUACUUUUGUAGGUCCAAUUCUAUUGAUUGAUGAUAAAAUUGAGCUAUAAGAUGAUGUUUAAGGAUGAUUGUUCUCUUGGAGAAAUUAUGAGCGUCAGAAGAACUUUGUUGAUAAGGCGUGGGCGCGUGCUGUCAAUUGCGGACCUGCAGUUUUUAGUUUAACGUGUUUUGUAUUUUUGGUUAUUUUUGUAAUUACGAAUUUAAUAUUUCAGAUAUUAAGAUUUUAUUUUAAAUAGAAUUCUAAAAGAGAAGAGAGAGAGAGUAUUUAAGGGAGGAAUCUAUUGUGAAAAAGGGGGAUUUUGGAUUGGAGAAAGAAAGAAACCCUAGAUCUAAUUUUUCUCUUCUCUCUAUGAAGAACUAAACUUAUUUUUCUAGUUGAAGGUUAACGAAGCUUUGAUUCAUCACUACUGUGAGAUCUUUCUUAUGCUUUAAUUGUUUUAUUACUUUUUGGAUAUUUGUUUAUUCUCUGAAUUUUUUUCAUGAUUAUGUUUGUUAAUUAGGUAAUUGGCCACUAUUUAAUUAUCAACUUAAUCUAUUGUCAAUUAAAGGAUUCAUCGUAUGAAGAAUUUAAUAUUUGUGACAAAUAACAUAGCAGAGAGUUGUGUUGUGAGAAUAAACAAUCUAAUUUAAAUGAAUCAUCAUAUGUGUUGAUUAGGAUUUGGGUCUCUCUGGUUUUUCAGGCUGUCAAUGAAUUAAAUCCUAUGAUCGUAUCUAGGGUUGUCCAUUGAUUAGGGAAAUAACCAACGGUCGUACCUUGGUUAUCGACUAGUAAAGGAGAGAUUGGCUAUUAGAGGGUCUCAAUAGCUAUAACCGGUCUAUUCAUAAGUAAUAAUAAUCUAUAUUUGAAUCAAUGAUCAGUAGUAGAAUCAAGCUGAGUUAAUUCCUUCAACCAGAGCUUUCUCCAAUUUGAAUUACAACUUUAAUUUGCAUUCUUGUUAUUUUGAUUUGAUUUUUAUUAUUGUCAACAAUUCCCCCAUUUUACGUUUUACGUUUCAAAAGGAUUUAAAUAAUUACCGAUCUCUGUGGACACGACCCUGCUCAAUCACUAUACACAAUUUAUUUAGAGUAGGAAUUUAUUUUUGUUCGCUUCGACACCACUGCUGCCUCGCCAACUAUUCCUUCUACAUCCGCACCACCUUUGAGCAUUCAGUUAGAGAAAAUAGAGCACAAGCUGAACAAGAUGGAGCAGAAUUUGGCCGCAUACUUCGAGAGUGUGGGUUUUACCCCACCAUUUCCGCCAAGCCCAUAGACGUUAUGUGGAUCAAAGCUCACAAUUCAGGGAAGUUUCUUUUUGCCCUUAAUCUUUUAUCCUUACGCUUUAAUUUUUAUGUGAGCUUUAAUUAUCUUACAUUGGGGACAAUGUAAGUUCUUGGUGUGGGGGAGGGAUUUUUGCAUUAUUGAUGUCUGGAAGUAUUAUUUUCACUCUACUCAUCUAUUUUCAUUCUACUCGUCCUUAAAUGAUUUUGGAGUUAGUAUGCUUCAUAUAUUAUUAUUUUUCUUUUCUUUUCUUUCUCACUACUUUUUUCCCAUCUAUCUCAAAUUAUUUACAUCUAUUUUUAUUCUAUCAUACUCUUUCAUCACUCACAUUUUAUCUUUCACUUUUCAUAUUACUACAUACAUCUUUCUCACUUCUUAUCAUUUUUACCUUUCCUUCACUCAUACCUUCUUCUCAUUCUACACCACUAUUGAUGGUUGAUUCAUUUGAAGAGUGUACAUGAUUUGAUGGCAAAUUUACCAACUUUGUGAGGAUUUGAGCCUAUGAGCAACCACUUUGCUCUAAUUAUUUUUAUUAUGUGAAUAUCAAUCUUAGUUUGUUUAUUCUAGAACUUGCUUUGUUAUGCAUGUUGAAGCCACAUUACGGGAUUUUUUGCAUUAAAAUGAUAAGGGCAAACCAUUUACCAUUUUUCUAUUCUCGCAUUUUCUUUUUUUUUUCUCUACCCGAAGACCUUGAUUUACUAUCUUUGUUUGAGCCUUAACCAUUACCCAUCUAAUUCUCUCCGUCUACUUAACCAUUUUUCUUCUUUUUUAGCCUCAAUUUAAGGAGAUUUUUGGACUCAUUGUGUGGAUAUAUUUUGUAUAUAUUUUGUUGCUUUUUCUACCUUGUAUUAAAGUUUCUCAAUUAGAUCAACAAGCAUUAUGCUUGAAUUAAAUUGUGCAAGGUUCAUUUCUUUUGUUUGAUUCAAAAAAAAAAAAGAAAGAAAAAGAAAAGGAAAAAGAAAAAAAAAGAAAAAAAAAGAAAAAUCGAAAAAAAAAGAAAAAGAAGAAAAAAAAAUGUUUACAUUCUUGGUGACUUGAGUAGAAAUAAGCGUUUCGAUAUCAUAAAGUUCGUUCAAUGAGUUCAUUCUUCUCAUUUUGAUCUCUUUUUCUUUCAUAAACCUUUCUUUUUCAUUUAACCCAUUUAACCCCGUUACAACCUUUUAAGACCCUUAGAUUUUUGUAUUUAAUUCAUGUUUUGUGGAUUGAAAUGUGAUAUAUAAGCAAGCUUAUGGUAAUAGCAUUCUUUGAUUUGAUUUGAGUGAAUAAAUGACACCCUAAACACUUUGAGUGCAUGGAGUGAAGUCAAUGAGAGGGCUAUUAAAUCUUGUUGCACUUGAAUUUUGAAUGGAUCUUCUUGGUGGUUGAAUGUUCUUAUUCUAUCUUAUGAGAUUCUAUGCUUUAAAAUCCUUGUCUCUCGAAUGUUGAUCGACUUAAUUUCUUGAGGUAUACUUGCUUAAAAUUGUUUUUGGAUGAGUUGAGAUGAGAAUUGAGUGGAGAUUUGGGAUUAGUCUUGAGUUAUAUGCUUGAGGACAAGCAUCAUCUUGGUGUGGGGGAAUUUGUUAGAGUGCAAUUUAAGCACUAGUUUUGCAUUGUUUACUUCCCUUAAUAUCGAUGUUUUGCACUUAAUAAUAGUGAUUUACUUGUGUUUUACUUUUGUAGGUGCAAUUCUAUUGAUUGGUGAUAAAUUAAGCUACAAGAUGAUAUUUAAUGAUGAUUGUUCUCUUGGAGAAAUUAUGAGCGUCAGAAGAACUUUGUUGAUAAGGUGUGGGCGCGUGCUGUCAACUACGGACCUGCAGUUUUUAGUUUAACGUGUUUUGUAUUUUUGGUUAUUUUUGUAAUUACGAAUUUAAUAUUUCAGAUAUUAGUAUUUUAUUUUAAAUAGAACUCUAAAAGAGAAGAGAGAGAGAGUAUUUAAGGGAGGAAUCUAUUGUGAAAAAGGGGGAUUUUAGAUUGGAGAAAAAGAAAGAAACCCUAGAUCUAAAUUUUUCUCUUCUCUCUAUGAAGAACUAAACCUAUUUUUCUGGUUGAAGGUUAAUGAAGCUUUGAUUCAUCACUACUGUGAGAUCUUUCUUGUGCUUUAAUUGUUUUAUUACUUUUUGGGUAUUUGUUUAUUCUCUGAAUUAUUUUCAUGAUUAUGUUUGUUAAUGAGGUAAUUGGCCACUAUUUAAUUAUCAACUUAAUCUAUUGUCAAUUAAGGGAUUCAUCGUAUGAAGAUUUUAAUGUUUGUGACAAAUAACAUAGCAGUGAGUUGUGUUAUGAGAAUAAAUAAUCUAAUUUAAAUGAAUCAUCAUAUGUGUUGAUUAGGAUUUGGGUCUCUCUGGUUUUUCAUGUAUAAGAUAUCUAGAAGAUGAUAAUUUCACUCAAAAGAGUUUUAUUUAUUUCAUUAUUGAAAUUGUUUACAGAGGAAGGUUACAGAGAAUACAGAGGUAAUUGAAGGUUAGACAUAUGAUAUCUUUCCUUUCUUACAUGCUUUCAUUUAUAUAUCUCUCUAGAGAUAAGAUUAUCUCUUUUACAUAACACAUGUUCGAUCCUUGUGGUGGAAUCUCGAUUUCCUUUUGAUAAGGUGACCCCUUCUUCAUCAUUGAAGCCAGUAGUUGUCUUCUUUUCAUGUUGCCAGACAACCUUUAUCUUGUUCUGGUGAGCUUUUUCUUUUUUGGAAUCUCUCUUUUUGAAUUAUUGAUACUUUUUGGAUAACACCUUUUAUCUUUUUCAGUAGUCCCCGUCACAUGCCAAUUAUCAUAUCUUCAUCUAUAGACAUGUCUUCCCCACUAGAAUCUCCUUUUUUUUUUAAUCCUUCGUAGUAGUAGCCACAUGAUGACUGAUGCUUUAGCACCUUAUAUAUCUCGUGGUGUGUCAGCAAGGUGGAUUCCACGAGAUUUUCGAAUAUGCCCUUUUUCUUUUUUAAUAUGGUAUGUCUGGCUAAAAUAUUUUCUUUUCUACUCAUAGAAAAGAUUAUAUGCUCUUUUGUGGCUUCAUGGAGCCAUAUUUUCUCCUUGUUUAUCCUCUCAAGAGAUUCAUAGAGGACUUUCAUUUCUAUGGCCCUUUUGUUGGUGAGAGCUUUUGGCUCGAAUAAUUCAGGAUCAUAAUCAUUGUAGACUUGAUGUAAAUCAAUGGUUGGACUAACUUUUCUACUGCUAAUUCCAACUUGAAUCAAGUGCUGUGCUGGAUACCACUUGUUACCAUAGUAUUCAGGGCAAGCAGUGAGGAUCUUGACAAAAAUCACUUCUUUUGUUUUAGACAUGAUUUUGAGAUCAUUAAUAGCCUCUGCAACUUUUGUGGGAAGCUCUUUUAUUUCUCUGCAAUCAUCACUUACAUAAACAAGGUUAAGAAAACCAUAUUCAAACAUGUCUUUUAUUAGUUUUAGAUUAGCUCCUGGCACAACGUUUAUCAUUGGAUAUAACCCUAAAUGAUCUAGUAUAAUAGUCUGGCUAGGACGAAUCCCAUAGGCUAUUUUACCAAUUCUUUUAUAAUCAUAAGCGUAGUCGCUUCCUAUUGGUAUUUUAACCAUAGGGACAGAUUGUCUGCUUUUAUCAUAUUGGGGUCUUAGGCUUACUGAAGAUCCCUGAGAUUCUUUUUUCUUUGUACAUUGAUCUUUAAGAUCAUUGAUUGUGAGAUAUCUCUCUGAAUGUGUGACCAUUGAUCUUUAAAAUACCAAUAGGAAGAGUAGUCGCUUCCUAUUGGUAUUUUAACCAUAGGGACAGACUGUCCGCUUUUAUCAUAUUGGGGUCUUAGGCUUACUGAAGAUCCCUGAGAUUCGUCUUUCUUUGUACAUUGAUCUUUAAGAUCAUUGAUUGUGAGAUAUCUCUCUGGAUGUGUGACCUUUAAGCUCUGCGAAGAACUCGAGGCAUUUUGACCCUCAAUUUGAUCUUUAAAAUGGACAUUUUUUUAGCAUAUUGCUAAUAUAUUGUUAUGAAGUUUGGAGUUCUGGAUGAUCUUGCAAACUUUUGUUUGGGCAAAGUUUGCUCAAUUCUUCAUGGGCAUCAUCUAUCAUGGCAAGCCCAUCAUAAAUCAUACUAUUGCCUUUGAGAAGUUAUUCUUGACCUUCAGAGCACAUUAUUAUGCCCUUAAUUAUUUUGGAAAUGCUCUGCUCCAUUGUAUUCUUGGCAAAGAUUAGAUCCUUUAAUAUAUUCAAUUUCAAAAUCAUAUUCAGCAAAAAACUGCUGCCAUCUAAUUAAUGUUUUCUAUUGAGGAAGAUUAGGCAAUUUAUUGAAUAUAAAUCCUUUGACUUGAGUGUUAUCGGAUCUUACCUUAAAUUUCUUUGGUAACAAAAAGAAAGUAAAUUUAGCUAUUCCUUUUUUAAUAGCUAAUAAUUCAUUUUCAUUACUAUGAUAAUUCUUUUCUAUGGGUUUGAAGGUCCCGCUAGAAUAUCUACAAAUUUUUUCUUGAUAUGUUUUUAAGACUGCUCGCCAGUGAUUAUCUGAAGCAGUAGUUUCAAGAAUUAAAUUAUCACUAGAGGUAGGGAAUCCUAACCUUAAGUAAAAAGCCAAAAAAAUUGACUUAUUUUAUUAAGUCAAUUUUUGAAAAUAUAAAUAAUGCAAAAUAUAAGAAUAUCAUCUACAUGAUCUAUCUUAUUAUUUGAAAAUAUAAGAAUAUCAUCUACAUAAAUAAUGCAAAAUUCAUGAAAUUUUUUUAAGAUGCUAAAUAUCUUUUUAUUUAUUAUAGAAGUAAUUAAUGUAUCUUUAUGAGGUAAAAAGUAUCCAUCGAAUUUGGUAUAUUUAUUUAAUUCUUUGUAGUUAAUGACCAUAUGAGCUUUUCCUCGUUUAAUUUCAGCAUGAUUUCUAACUGAUUAGUAUUAAAAAUUGUUUAAUUAUCAAGCGAUAAUAUGUUAUUUUAUGCUUAUGUUAUAAUUUAUAUUUGUGUUUAUGUAAUAUAUUAUGAAUUAUGAAUUAUGUUUUAAAUAUAUUUAAUUUUGUGUAUUUUUAUGUGUUUAUUAGGAAAAUUAUUAAUUUCACGUACUUUGAGGCUCCAAACAGAUAAACGGAGGUCAAAUUUGGAUUCCGGAGGUCCGAAAACCUUAAGAUCAGUCAAGAUCGGCUUAAAAUUGGGCUUGUGUAAAAAAAGUUGACUUUUCCUGUUGACCGAGCACUGAUUGGAUGAUGAAAUGAGCUUACAAUAGAUAUGAGUGCAUGGGAUAACUGGCAAUCUUGACUAAAUCUCAACCGUUCAUGAUUCAAUGGCCAUGAUUGUGCCACGUGGCAAUGGUUGGUGAAGCAAGUUGGAGGAUCCGAAUCUUUGUAUUCGGGUCGACCCGAUCCACCCAUUAACCCGCCAAAUCUCAACCGUUCUUUGGGCAAAUCGGACGAGUCAAAUGAUGCCAUGUGUGAUGUUGACUUUUGAAGUUUGACCAGCCAUUGGAUCUUGAUCUAAGGGUUGUGAGGAGCACAUGCAUGAAGCCUAUGAUGGACCGCAAAGCACUGGAUUAUGAAUUUAUUUUUCUAUAAAUAGGGCCUCAUUUUUAUGUUUUAAUCAUCUCUCUACAACUCUCUUCUUCUCAAAUUCUCUCCAUCUCCUUGUAAUCUUGAUUUCCAUAUGUGUUUUUAAUAUUUUGUAUAAUUAUUUUCAUUAAUAAAAUUAGUUUUAUUUCCAAUUUUAGUUGUUUUUAUUUCUUUUAAUUAUAAGUAAUUCAAUUUUACUACUUCUUUUUAUUUUAAUUAUGCUUAACUAAAUAAUAUUAGUUAGGGGAAGGUGAAACUCUUAAGAAAUAAAUAUGAUUUAAUCAAAUUCUAUGUUUAAUUUUAUAAAUUAAAUUAUUUUCUAUUUAAUUUUAUACAUGUUUUAUAUUUUGAAAAUUUAAUUUAUUGUAGACAAACAAAUGAAUUUGGCACAAUAAAUUCUUAAGAUCUUAAUAUAAGGCAUGGUGAAAUGGUAUUUUGACUUAUUGUAGACAAAUUAAAUUUUGGCACAAUAAAUACUUAAUCCAUCAUAAAAUUAAAGGGAAAAUAAUAAUAAUUUGUAUAAUUAAUCUUUUGAGUAAUAAAUCUAAAACAAAUUGGCAAAAAGAAUUUAUUAAGUUUUAUUUAUUUCUAAGAGUGGAUCCAUAACCCUAACUAGUUCAAUUCCAUAGUUUCAUUUAAAUUAAGUUGUUUAUAUUCAAGUUUUAAUUUCAAUUUUUAGAUAAAAUAAAAUAAACUAAUUAAAUCUUUUCUCUGUGGAUCGACCUCGGACUCACCGAGUUAUAAUACAACAAGACACUCUUAUACUUGGGAGUUAAAAUUUACUUUUAAGUUGUGUCAAGUUUUUGGCGCCGUUGCCGGGGAAAAGUUUUUUAUUUGGUUUGUUUUUCCGUUUUUUAUUUUUCUCUUAUAUGUAAAACUUCGUUUGCCCCCUUUUCCUUUUCUUAAAUUCUCCUUAGUCCCCAUGUCUUUCAUAUUUCUCGUUUCACCCCAACAAUUUCCUUUUCUAGCCCAAUCUUCUGGUAAUUACGUUCGGACCCCAACAUCUUUCAACUGUUUCACUUUCAUCCCAAAUUACUAAUUCUAAACUUCUAAAAAUUACAUUUUGACCAUAAAAUUAAAAAUAAUUUGCAAUAGAAUCCCUAGACGAAAUUCCUCAACAUAAUCAAGACUUGGACAUAUUUGGACAUACUUUGGACAUAUUUGGACAUAUUUGGACUUAUUUUGGACCAAACUAACUUUAACUACUAACUCUAAUUACUAACUCUUAACUUACUAACUGCUAACUGCUAACUGCUAACUUUUAUUUAAUUUCAGUUAUUUAAUUUUCUGCAUUUAUUUUAUUUCGUAUUUAUUUAUUUGUUUUUGCUUUAUUGGUGGGUUUAACCACCAAACUAACUACUAACUCUUAACUUUUAUUUUCAGUUAUUUAAUUUUCAGUAUUUAUUUAAUUUUGUAUUUUUUAUUUUUUUUAAUUGGUGGGUUCAACCACCAUUUUUUUUUAUUUUGCAUUUAUUUAUUUAUUUAUUUUUUACUUUGUUGGUGGGUUCAACCAUCAAAAUUGUUAUUUAAUUUUCUUUUGUAUACUUAUAUUAUUUAUUUAUUUAUUUUUUUAUUUUAUUUUGUUAUCAAUUUGUGUAAAUAUUAUCUUUAUAACAUAACCAUUGCAUGAGACGUUGGUCUCGAUCUUCAAGUGGCAGGUUAAUUCGUAGAUCUCAAUCUCCACCACCAAUCAUGGAUGAGAAUGAAGGCGAAAACGUUUUGGGCGAACUUAAUCCUCAAAUUGAUCAGGGAGACAACCAAUCUCAACAUGGGCAUGAUCAGAAUCAACCAAGGACUCUGAGAGACUACAUGAAUCCAACCAGAACCGGAGCACCGUCGUGUAUAGUAUUUCCUCCAGAAGCAUCUCGAUUCAACUUUAAACCAGGUAUUAUCCAACUUUUACCAACAUUUCAUGGUUUAGAAUCUGAGAAUCCGUACUUGCAUCUAAGAGAUUUUGAGGAAGUUUGUAAUACAUACACGGACCAAAAUUGUAGCAUGAACAUAAUUAGAUUAAAGCUUUUUCCUUUUUCAUUAAAAGAUAAAGCUAAAACUUGGCUACAAAACCUUAGAUCUGGAUCAGUAAGAACUUGGAAUAACAUGCAAGAACAGUUUUUUGAAAAAAUUCUUUCCACCUCAUAGAACAAAUUCUUUUAAAAGGCAAAUCACUUCUUUCACUCAAAAAAAUGGAGAAACAUUAUACCAAUGUUGGGAUAGGUUUACAGAGUUGCUUAACAUAUGCCCACAUCAUGGUUUUGAAACUUGGCGAUUGGUCACUUAUUUCUACGAGGGCUUAAUACCCCAAAGUAGACAGGUUGUUGAAAUGAUGUGUAAUGGUGAAUUUAGGGAUAAAAAUCCUGAAGAUGCACUAGAUUACCUUGACCAAUUAGCUGAAAAUGCACAACAUUGGGAUACUGUUGGAACUUUUGAAUUGACAAAUAAGCAACAAUCAUCUCCAUCUAGUGGAGGAAUCCAUAACCUUAGGGAAGAUCAUGAUUUACAAGCAAAAUUUGCAUCCCUAGUUAGGAAAGUUGAAGCUUUGGAGCAUAAAAAGAGUGAUCAAGUAAAAUCUGUUCAAGAAAUUGCAUGUAACAUAUGUAAUUCGAAUGAUCAUUUCACUCAAGAGUGUCCCACUUUGCCUGCACUUAAAGAAUGUCUAAAUGAUCAAGCUAAUGUCAUUAACACUUUCAAUAAACCAAACCCAUAUUCACAGACUUAUAAUCCUGGUUGGAGAAAUCAUCCGAAUUUCAGUUGGAGGAAUAAUAAUAAUGCACAAUCUUCACAAGCACCACCUCCACAAAAUUUUCAAAAUCCUCAGCCUUAUGCACCAUAUGUUCCACCACCCUGGAAAAAUCUGGAAGACACAAUGCAUUCAUUCAUCAGAAAGCAAGAUGUUAUUAACAAUCAAAAUGCACAAAAUUUUUCUGAUUUGAAAGAUACUCUUGCUAAAAUUGCUUCUGCACUCACCAUUCAAGAAAAAGGAAAAUUUCCAGCCCAACCACAACCAAAUCCUAAAAUUCAACAAAAUCCACCCACAGACCAAGUCAAGUCAGUUAUAACUCUUCGUAGUGGUAAGGUUGUUGAUAGACCUAUGCCUGAACCUUAUGAAAAUGAUGAAAAUUCAAAGGGUAAGGAAGGACUAAAUGAACUUACACCUAGUGAAGAAAUAACUAGUGUUCCACCUGAACCACCAUUUCCGCAUGCAUUGAAUAAACCAAAGAAAUCAAACCACUCUUCUGAAAUUUAUGAAAUCUUUAAGCAAGUGAAAGUUAACAUUCCUCUAUUAGAUGCAAUCAAGCAGGUUCCUUUAUAUGCCAAAUUUUUAAAGGACUUGUGCACUGUUAAGAGGAAAUUGAAGGUAAGAAAGAGUGCUUUCAUGGCCGAACAGGUAAGUACAAUUCUGUCUACUAAUAAUAAGUUGAAAUAUAAAGAUCCUGGUUGUCCUACCAUUUCUUGUAUUAUUGGUAACCACAGAAUUGAGCAUGCUUUACUAGAUCUUGGUGCUAGUGUUAAUUUGCUUCCAUAUUCAGUUUAUCUUCAACUUAAUCUUGGUGAGUUAAAAUCAACUUCAACUACACUUUUGCUUGUCGAUAGAUCAGUUAAAGUACCAAAAGGAAUAGUGGAAGAUGUUUUAGUACAAGUUGAUAAAUUUAUUUAUCCUGUGGAUUUUAUUGUCUUGGAAACUGAACCUGUUGUGAAUAAUUACAAACCAAUUCCUGUAAUUUUAGGUCGACCAUUUUUAGCAACUGCUAAUGCUUUGAUUAAUUGUAGGAAUGGUUUAAUGAAUUUAUCCUUUGGGAAUAUGACUUUGGAAUUGAAUGUUUUCAACAUGUGCAGGCAACCUAAUGAAGAAAAUGAGAAUGAAGAUGAUACUGAUGAACAAAAGGAAUUGUUUGAAUCUUGUAUCGAGGAAAAUAUUCAAAAAGGGGAUUUUUCUGAACUUUCAAAUGUUUGUUUAGUUAAUUCAAUUGAGUCAAAUAAGCAACUUGAACUUGAUAUUUCUAAUAUAAAUUCGUUGCUUGAUUCUGUGCAGACUUCACAAAAUUAUGAUGACGAGCCAAAAUUUGAGGAGCUUGGAAGUAUUGAAAAGACAGAACAACAAGAAGCACCUAAAAUGGAAUUGAAACCUUUGCCUGAAGGAUUGAAAUAUGCUUUUCUUGGAGAAGAACAAACUUAUCCUGUUGUGAUUUCUUCUACUUUAACAAGCGACCAAGAAGGUAAGUUACUUACUGUUCUUAAAAAGCAUAAAAAUGCAAUAGGAUGGACUUUAAAUGACAUUAAAGGCAUUAAUCCCUUAAUCUGCACACAUAGAAUUAAUUUGGAAGAAAAUGCUAAAAUAUGUCAACAACCUCAAAGAAGAUUAAACCCACACAUGAAAGAGGUAGUCAAAACAGAAGUCCUUAAAUUACUUGAUGUGGGAAUUAUCUACCCUGUUUCUGAUAGUAAGUGGGUAAGUCCUACACAAGUAGUGCCUAAAAAAUCUGAAAUCACUGUUGUUAAAAAUGAAAAAGGUGAAUUAAUUCCAACACGAAUUACAUCUAGUUGACGCAUGUGCAUUGAUUAUAGAAAAUUAAAUGAAGCCACUAGAAAAGAUCAUUUUCCAUUACCAUUCCUUGACCAAAUCUUAGAAAGAGUAGCAGGACAUCCCUACUACUGUUUUUUAGAUGGAUAUUCAGGUUAUUAUCAAAUUCCUAUAGCACUUGAGGACCAAGAAAAGACCACAUUCACAUGUCCUUUUGGAACAUUUGCAUUUAAAAGAAUGCCAUUCGGGCUUUGUAAUGCUCCUGCAACAUUUCAAAGAUGUAUGUUAAGCAUUUUUUGUGAUAUGGUUGAACAUUGUUUAGAGGUCUUUAUGGAUGAUUUGACUGUGUUUGGGAAUUCUUUUGAUGAUUGCCUUGAUAAUUUGGAGAAAGUUUUAAAAAGAUGUGUUGAAAAAGAACUCGUGUUGAAUUGGGAAAAAUGUCACUACAUGGUUACUUCUGGAAUUGUUUUGGGUCAUGUUGUUUCUAUUAAAGGAAUUGAAGUUGACAAAGCAAAAAUCGAAGUCAUAUCUAAAUUGCCACAACCAAAAACAGUUAGAGAUGUGCGAUCCUUUUUAGGACAUGCAGGAUUUUAUAGGAGGUUUAUAAAAAACUUUAGUGCCAUAUCUAAACCACUUUGUAACCUCUUAUUAAAAGAUGCACCGUUUGAAUGGAAUGAUGAUUGCCAAAAAUCUUUUGAAAAAAUAAUUUGUCUUUUAACAUCUGCACCUAUUAUGCAAUCUCCUGAUUGGUCUUUGCCAUUUGAAUUAAUGUGUGAUGCAAGUGAUUUUGCUGUUGGUGCUGUUUUAGGACAAAGAAGGGAUGGUAAGCCUUUUGUGAUUUAUUAUGCGAGUAAGACUUUAGAUAGUGCUCAAAUGAAUUAUUCUACAACUGAAAAAGAAUUACUUGCUGUGGUAUUUGCAUUAAACAAAUUCCGUUCAUAUUUGCUUGGCUCCAAAUCUGUUGUGUUUACUGACCACGCUGCUGUGAGAUAUUUGAUGAGUAAACAGGAUGCCAAACCGAGGAUAAUUCGUUGGAUUUUGUUACUACAAGAAUUUGACCUUACCAUCAAAGAUAAAAAGGGUGCUGAAAAUGUUGUUGCGGAUCAUCUAUCAAGACUCACAUCCGAAUUCUGCAAUGAUAUAACACCCAUAAAUGAUUCUUUCCCUGAUGAAUUUUUAUUUUCUGUUACUUCAAUGCCAUGGUAUGCUAACAUUGUUAAUUUCCUUGUUACAGGUAAAAUGCCUUUGCAAUGGAAUGCUCAAGAGAAGAAGAAAUUUUUUGUUGAAGUAAAGAAAUUUUAUUGGGAUGACCCUUAUUUGUUCAAAUAUUGCCCAGAUCAAAUUUUUCGGCGAUGUAUUCCUCAUAAUGAGGUAAGUAGUGUCAUUAAUUUUUGUCAUUCUGAAGCAUGUGGUGGUCAUUUUUCUUCAAGAAAAACUAUUGCUAAAAUUUUACAGUGUGGAUUUUAUUGGCCUACCAUGUUUAAAGACACAUAUGAAUUCUGCAAAAGUUGUGAAAAAUGUCAAAAAUUGGGAUCAAUUACAAAAAGAAACAUGAUGCCCUUAAAUCCCAUACUUGAAAUUGAAAUAUUUGACUGUUGGGGAAUUGAUUUCAUGGGUCCAUUUCCAUCAUCUUUUGGAUUUGUGUAUAUAUUAGUUGCAGUUGAUUAUGUCUCAAAAUGGAUUGAAGCAAUUUCUUGUCGAAAUAAUGACAGUAAAACUGUGAUUAAAUUUUUAAGAGAAAACAUUUUAAGUCGAUUUGGAAUCCCUCGAGCCAUUAUCAGUGAUGGAGGUAAGCAUUUUUGUAAUAAGUCAUUUGAGUCUUUAAUGAAGAAAUAUGGAAUUACACAUAAAAUUGCUACCCCUUAUCAUCCUCAAACAAAUGGUCAAGUUGAAUUAGCAAAUAGGGAGAUAAAACAAAUUUUGGAAAAAACGGUUAACCCAAACCGAAAAGAUUGGUCUCUUAGACUUAAUGAUGCACUUUGGGCUUACCGCACUGCAUUUAAAACAUCAUUAGGAAUGUCACCCUAUCGGUUAAUUUAUGGUAAACCUUGUCAUUUACCUGUUGAACUUGAACAUAAAUCACUUUGGGCUAUUAAAGCUUUUAAUUCAAAUUUGGAUGAUGCUGGUAAUGUGCGAAAAUUGCAAUUGAAUGAACUUGAGGAAUUAAGGAAUGAUGCAUAUGAAAAUUCAAGAAUUAUUAAGGCAAGAACAAAAGAAGAUUAAACCCACACAUGAAAGAGGUAGUCAAAACAGAAGUCCUUAAAUUACUUGAUGUGGGAAUUAUCUACCCUAUUUCUGAUAGUAAGUGGGUAAGUCCUACACAAGUAGUGCCUAAAAAAUCUGAAAUCACUGUUGUUAAAAAUGAAAAAGGUGAAUUAAUUCCAACACGAAUUACAUCUAGUUGACGCAUGUGCAUUGAUUAUAGAAAAUUAAAUGAAGCCACUAGAAAAGAUCAUUUUCCAUUACCAUUCCUUGACCAAAUCUUAGAAAGAGUAGCAGGACAUCCCUACUACUGUUUUUUAGAUGGAUAUUCAGGUUAUUAUCAAAUUCCUAUAGCACUUGAGGACCAAGAAAAGACCACAUUCACAUGUCCUUUUGGAACAUUUGCAUUUAAAAGAAUGCCAUUCGGGCUUUGUAAUGCUCCUGCAACAUUUCAAAGAUGUAUGUUAAGCAUUUUUUGUGAUAUGGUUGAACAUUGUUUAGAGGUCUUUAUGGAUGAUUUGACUGUGUUUGGGAAUUCUUUUGAUGAUUGCCUUGAUAAUUUGGAGAAAGUUUUAAAAAGAUGUGUUGAAAAAGAACUCGUGUUGAAUUGGGAAAAAUGUCACUACAUGGUUACUUCUGGAAUUGUUUUGGGUCAUGUUGUUUCUAUUAAAGGAAUUGAAGUUGACAAAGCAAAAAUCGAAGUCAUAUCUAAAUUGCCACAACCAAAAACGGUUAGAGAUGUGCGAUCCUUUUUAGGACAUGCAGGAUUUUAUAGGAGGUUUAUAAAAAACUUUAGUGCCAUAUCUAAACCACUUUGUAACCUCUUAUUAAAAGAUGCACCGUUUGAAUGGAAUGAUGAUUGCCAAAAAUCUUUUGAAAAAAUAAUUUGUCUUUUAACAUCUGCACCUAUUAUGCAAUCUCCUGAUUGGUCUUUGCCAUUUGAAUUAAUGUGUGAUGCAAGUGAUUUUGCUGUUGGUGCUGUUUUAGGACAAAGAAGGGAUGGUAAGCCUUUUGUGAUUUAUUAUGCGAGUAAGACUUUAGAUAGUGCUCAAAUGAAUUAUUCUACAACUGAAAAAGAAUUACUUGCUGUGGUAUUUGCAUUAAACAAAUUCCGUUCAUAUUUGCUUGGCUCCAAAUCUGUUGUGUUUACUGACCACGCUGCUGUGAGAUAUUUGAUGAGUAAACAGGAUGCCAAACCGAGGAUAAUUCGUUGGAUUUUGUUACUACAAGAAUUUGACCUUACCAUCAAAGAUAAAAAGGGUGCUGAAAAUGUUGUUGCGGAUCAUCUAUCAAGACUCACAUCCGAAUUCUGCAAUGAUAUAACACCCAUAAAUGAUUCUUUCCCUGAUGAAUUUUUAUUUUCUGUUACUUCAAUGCCAUGGUAUGCUAACAUUGUUAAUUUCCUUGUUACAGGUAAAAUGCCUUUGCAAUGGAAUGCUCAAGAGAAGAAGAAAUUUUUUGUUGAAGUAAAGAAAUUUUAUUGGGAUGACCCUUAUUUGUUCAAAUAUUGCCCAGAUCAAAUUUUUCGGCGAUGUAUUCCUCAUAAUGAGGUAAGUAGUGUCAUUAAUUUUUGUCAUUCUGAAGCAUGUGGUGGUCAUUUUUCUUCAAGAAAAACUAUUGCUAAAAUUUUACAGUGUGGAUUUUAUUGGCCUACCAUGUUUAAAGACACAUAUGAAUUCUGCAAAAGUUGUGAAAAAUGUCAAAAAUUGGGAUCAAUUACAAAAAGAAACAUGAUGCCCUUAAAUCCCAUACUUGAAAUUGAAAUAUUUGACUGUUGGGGAAUUGAUUUCAUGGGUCCAUUUCCAUCAUCUUUUGGAUUUGUGUAUAUAUUAGUUGCAGUUGAUUAUGUCUCAAAAUGGAUUGAAGCAAUUUCUUGUCGAAAUAAUGACAGUAAAACUGUGAUUAAAUUUUUAAGAGAAAACAUUUUAAGUCGAUUUGGAAUCCCUCGAGCCAUUAUCAGUGAUGGAGGUAAGCAUUUUUGUAAUAAGUCAUUUGAGUCUUUAAUGAAGAAAUAUGGAAUUACACAUAAAAUUGCUACCCCUUAUCAUCCUCAAACAAAUGGUCAAGUUGAAUUAGCAAAUAGGGAGAUAAAACAAAUUUUGGAAAAAACGGUUAACCCAAACCGAAAAGAUUGGUCUCUUAGACUUAAUGAUGCACUUUGGGCUUACCGCACUGCAUUUAAAACAUCAUUAGGAAUGUCACCCUAUCGGUUAAUUUAUGGUAAACCUUGUCAUUUACCUGUUGAACUUGAACAUAAAUCACUUUGGGCUAUUAAAGCUUUUAAUUCAAAUUUGGAUGAUGCUGGUAAUGUGCGAAAAUUGCAAUUGAAUGAACUUGAGGAAUUAAGGAAUGAUGCAUAUGAAAAUUCAAGAAUUAUUAAGGCAAGAACAAAAGCAUUUCAUGAUAAAAGAAUUUUUCGAAAAACAUUUGAGAUUGGUCAAAAAGUGUUGCUUUAUAAUUCUCGUCUUCAUUUAUUUCCAGGAAAGUUAAAGUCAAAAUAGAGUGGCCCAUUUGUUGUAAAAAAUGUAUAUUCAUAUGGGGCCAUAGAAAUUGAGAAUCCAAAUAACGGUGUCACAUUUAAAGUUAAUGGUCAAAGAUUAAAACCAUAUCUGGAACAUCACCCACGUGACGAGGACACCGAAAUUAAUUUGGAUGACCCACCAGUUCUUGAUUAAGUCUUUAAUGAUUUUUUUUUUUUUUACUAUUAUUUUACCGUUUCAUUGUUUGAUUUUUUUUCUUUAGAUUGAUGCACUGUACAUAGUUUUUUUUUAACAUUGUUUUUCUUGUGUAAGCGUGUUUGUUUGACAGUUGUACAUUCUCUCAUCAAUUUUCAUUUUACAUCAUGAGCACCUCAAUGAGAAAAUACCUAUUCGCACAUCUUAAAAGAUUUCGGCGUAUAAAAUUUCACUUAAGAGGCCUAAUACAAAGCUGUAAAUCACAUCCACUUUGGGAUCUGCAACCACCAGAAUUCGUGUCCUAUGUUGAGGAUCUAGAAGGACAACUCAGAACAGUAGAGAGUGGCAUAUAUGAAUUUCAAAUAGAGCUUGAGGUUAACUCAAUGAGAGGACGAAUGUAAGUUCAUUUUCCUUUUAUAUUGUGUGCUUUUUUUUUGCUCGCUUUCACGCUUGAUUUGAUUUUGCAGAUUUGAUUUUGGUGUGUUUUGAUUUAUUUUCCCGUAUAAAUGGCGGAUAACGGUACUCCGUGACUUCUUAAGUCGGUAUCUUCAGUUUCCCACAAUAACUGAAACCCCAAAAUCAAACAUGGAAGAAAUACAACAUAAACUCCAUAAGCAUUUUCCCUCUCUCCCUCAGAAUGCCCUCAGGAAAAUUUACAAAGCUCGUUGUGAACGACUGCGUUUGUUAAUGAUCAAUGGCAUUCUUUCUGACAUUCGUUGGUUAAUUGAAGCAAAGGUCUGAUUAGCAGGUGAGUUUUCUAGUCAAUUUGUUUCUUACAUGCCUGGUUUUGGUAAAAGUACGUUUGCUAAGAAAAGGAGAGCUAAACGACUUGGCUCAAAAUGUCAUAACUGUGUAAGACUUGGUUGCAAACGACCGGAUUGUAAAUCUUUAGGAAUGGUUUCUGAUACUCGUGAAGAUAAAAUUAAAUUCGUUAAAGAUGGCAUGAGUAAAGAAUCGUUGGAUGAUAUCUUACGAUCUCUUGAGACGCAUCGAAGCGGAAUUGUGCAAUGUGAGAUUUACAAUUUGUGGAUACUAUUCCAAAAACAAAGUGCACAGUUAAGUCUUGGGAAUCUGACUCAAAAAGACCCUGUUUGCCAGUUUAUAAGAAAACUGGAUGGGAAGCCGAUCCUCGACCCAUAGAGGGCGUUCAAGCCGUUACUGGACGUAAAACCAGAGGAAGAUGUGAGCCACAAUCACAACUACUAGUAAAUAUCCUUUCACUUCACUGUUAUUUUACUUUACUGUUAUUUUAUCAUUUGAAUUAUUGCAUUUAGCGAUGUGAUUUUGUAUUUAUUUGGUUUCUUUUACUGUUUGCUUUUUCUAAUCAUUACUUUUUUUUUUACUAUUUGUUUUUGAAUUAUUGAGCCACGAGCUUUCCUCGUCAUUUGACAAAUAUGCCAACCCAUUUACAGCUGUUUCUCUUUAUUUAUGUCACCAAGAUCUUUAAAUAUGAGCUCGUUUUUCAAACACUCACAACUUGUUUUUGAAAAAUUAGUCCAAUGGCAGCAUCUUCAAGUAAACAAUUCAAAAAUAUUUGUGUGCUUUCUGGGUUUCACUAUGGAAAGUACAAAGAGUUCGUUCAGGUAGCUGUAGAUCUUGGUCGUGUCAUAGCAGAGAGGAAACUGCAUCUUGUAUAUGGAGGAGGUGAACGAGGGUUAUCAAGACUUGUCUCAGAAGCUGUUUUUACCAGAGGAAGCCAAGUACUCGGCAUUAUCCCAAAACCCAUGAAACCGCUAGUGUGCAUGUCUGGCCCACCAAUUGGAGAAGAAUUAGUGGUAUCAAGUAUGCAAGAGAGAAUAUCUGAAAUGAUGAAUCAUGCUGAUGCUUUUAUUUUCUUGCCAGGAGAUCUUGCAACUUUUGAGGCACUAAUUACAUUUGCAUCUUGGGCCCACUUGAACAUUCAUCAAAAGCCCAUCGGUUUGUUAAAUGUUAAUAAUUUUUAUGACGGCUUGCUAACUUUUAUUAAUCAUGCAAUAAAGAAUCAUUUUGUUCCACAUUCUGUAAAAAAACUCUUUAUCUCUGCUUCUACUGCUAAUGAGUUACUUGAUCUUUUACAAGCUUAUACACCAGAGCCAGAUCCACAGACUGUUGCACUGAAUUGGUCGACUAAUGAUGGUAACGGUAACAGUAGCAGUAAUAAGAAGUGCGAUUUAGAUUUAACUCUCCGUUUGUAAAUAUUUGCUGUUGUAGUGUUCAUGUGAUGUCUUCUACACUCUUUCUAUUUCCUUUUAAAACAUUGAGGACAAUGUCUUUUUCAGGUUGGGGGGAGGGAAUAGUUGAUAAUUGUGGAAUGUCUUAGUCCUGGUUAUGUGUUUACAAAAAAAAAAAAAAAAAAAACAAUAACAAAAUUUUUUUUUUCUGUAAAGACUAACUUAGGACAAAUUUGAGUCGAAGAUGGCAGGAUAUAGAGAAUGUAGUCUCUCUAGAAACGCAUCUUCUUAAUCUUAAGGGUGUUGUUAAAAAAAAAAAAAAAUUGACUUUUUCUUCAUCUUUGUUAUCUACUUUUAAGCUUCUGCAUCAAGUUAAGGUGAGAUCUCCUAUUCUUCUUCUUUUAUUAUUCUCUUUUAUUUUUAUUUAUUAUUAUUAUUAUUUUUUUGCAUAUCUGUAAAAUUAUAAAAUGUUAGGAUAAUGUUUAGAUUAGGUUGUGGGGUGGGGAUAAUUGACGUAUGUUUUAAAUAUGUAUGUUGUUUUUUUCUCUUUUCUCUUUUCUUUUCUUUUCUUUGCCAAAAAAAAAAAAAAAUUGUUUUUUGUCUAGGAUGGCCGUGUAAAGAGUCACGACUUUUGAGACGCAUCCUAAUAGUCUUGUUGUAUUAUAUUUUGAUUUUGAGAUUCAUGGUAAGUUGUUUUUGUUCCCUUUUCUUUGAAUUACUCAAAUUUGUGAACUCUCCACUUGGUUAUUAAGUUAUUUAAUUGUUUACUCAUUUAACAGGUAUUAUUGAAUCAUUCUUCACACACACAUUAUGACACAUACUAGUGGGUUGUAAGUUAAAAUUUUACAGCAUUUAGUUCUUUUGAUUUAUUAGGAAAAGUAUCUAAGGUAGUAGAAAGUGUAUAGUUCCAAAAAAAAAAAAAAAAGUAGAAAAAAAAUUGUUUUUAAUUUUUCUAUAUCUAGAACCCGAGUAAUUAAGUCCGUAGGGGUGUUUCAACACCUAGUGCCCUAAGGUCAACUGGUCUGGGAGUCACUGGCCUAAAGCUCACUACAUGGGUAAUAGAUAUAUUGUUUGUUUAUUAGAAACCCGAGUAAUUAAGUCCGUAGGGGUGCUUUAACACCUAGUGCCCUAAGGGCAACUGGUCUGGGAGUCACUGACCCAAAGCUCGCUACACGGGUUAGAAAUGUAAUAUAUAAAAAAAAAAUGUGUGAAUAAUCUAUUGCCUAAAGAUAUAAUUUCUAAUGAAUUUUAGAACGAAAAUGUUGUUUUUCUUUUAAUGAAGCCCCAUAAGUAUUGUGUUAAUUACUUGAGCACAAAAGAAGGUUUGAUGAUAUUCUGGAUAAUGAGUGAACAUCAAUGUGGUAAAGGAAUUUGGGAGAGUUCAUUUAUUUGGUAAUUUAGAGGAUAGAUGAACAACUAUUAACUUGCAUGUGAAUUUUAUAAAUCUUAAUAUAACGCUUUAAUUGCUAGAGGGCUAGCAAUAAGCUGGUUGGGGGGUGUGAUUAGUAUUAAAAAUUGUUUAAUUAUCAAGCGAUAAUAUGUUAUUUUAUGCUUAUGUUAUAAUUUAUAUUUGUGUUUAUGUAAUAUAUUAUGAAUUAUUAAUUAUGUUUUAAAUAUAUUUAAUUUUGUGUAUUUUUAUGUGUUUAUUAGGAAAAUUAUUAAUUUCACGUACUUCGAGGCUCCAAACAGAUAAACGGAGGUCAAAUUUGGAUUCCGGAGGUCCGAAAACCUUAAGAUCAGUCAAGAUCGGCUUAAAAUUGGGCUUGUGUAAAAAAAGUUGACUUUUCCUGUUGACCGAGCACUGAUUGGAUGAUGAAAUGAGCUUACAAUAGAUAUGAGUGCAUGGGAUAACUGGCAAUCUUGACUAAAUCUCAACCGUUCAUGAUUCAAUGGCCAUGAUUGUGCCACGUGGCAAUGGUUGGUGAAGCAAGUUGGAGGAUCCGAAUCUUUGUAUUCGGGUCGACCCGAUCCACCCAUUAACCCGCCAAAUCUCAACCGUUCUUUGGGCAAAUCGGACGAGUCAAAUGAUGCCAUGUGUGAUGUUGACUUUUGAAGUUUGACCAGCCAUUGGAUCUUGAUCUAAGGGUUGUGAGGAGCACAUGCAUGAAGCCUAUGAUGGACCGCAAAGCACUGGAUUAUGAAUUUAUUUUUCUAUAAAUAGGGCCUCAUUUUUAUGUUUUAAUCAUCUCUCUACAACUCUCUUCUUCUCAAAUUCUCUCCAUCUCCUUGUAAUCUUGAUUUCCAGGUGUGUUUUUAAUAUUUUGUAUAAUUAUUUUCAUUAAUAAAAUUAGUUUUAUUUCCAAUUUUAGUUGUUUUUAUUUCUUUUAAUUAUAAGUAAUUCAAUUUUACUACUUCUUUUUAUUUUAAUUAUGCUUAACUAAAUAAUAUUAGUUAGGGGAAGGUGAAACUCUUAAGAAAUAAAUAUGAUUUAAUCAAAUUCUAUGUUUAAUUUUAUAAAUUAAUUUAUUUUCUAUUUAAUUUUAUACAUGUUUUAUAUUUUGAAAAUUUGAUUUAUUGUAGACAAACAAAUGAAUUUGGCACAAUAAAUUCUUAAGAUCUUAAUAUAAGGCAUGGUGAAAUGGUAUUUUGACUUAUUGUAGACAAAUUAAAUUUUGGCACAAUAAAUACUUAAUCCAUCAUAAAAUUAAAGGGAAAAUAAUAAUAAUUUGUAUAAUUAAUCUUUUGAGUAAUAAAUCUAAAACAAAUUGGCAAAAAGAAUUUAUUAAGUUUUAUUUAUUUCUAAGAGUGGAUCCAUAACCCUAACUAGUUCAAUUCCAUAGUUUCAUUUAAAUUAAGUUGUUUAUAUUCAAGUUUUAAUUUCAAUUUUUAGAUAAAAUAAAAUAAACUAAUUAAAUCUUUUCUCUGUGGAUCGACCUCGGACUCACCGAGUUAUAAUACAACAAGACACUCUUAUACUUGGGAGUUAAAAUUUACUUUUAAGUUGUGUCACUAACUAUAAAGGCUGGGUUACUUUGAGGACUUUUAGAUUCUCCAAAAUUUUUAUCAAGUUUUUCUAUUUUUUUUUUCAUAAUCUGAUAUAAUUUGAUUGAUUUUUAUAUUGUAUUCACCACGCUGGCUGCUUCGAAAAUGUAAUUUUCGAGUUGUUUACCUAAUAAGAUUAUAAAUUCUUGGUGUGGUGAUGGAAUGAUUACAUGGUGUUGUAAGAGUAAUUCUUUCGUUAGUCAUUAUAUAAAUGAACUGACAAAGGAAAUUGACUUCUAAAAGUAUAUAUGCUCCUAUAUGAUUAUAAGACCAUAAUAUAUGGAUACUUAAAAUGUAAUCUUCGAUUUGGAUUAAAGUUUUUAUCCUACAUGUUCCUAAAAUGAUUUGUUCACCAUUUAUUCCUUGUCCUGUUAAGGGUUUAUAAUCUUUCGAAUAUGAUUUUGGAUAAAUCCUUAAAUUAGGUAAGCUAACUCCUGAACCAGUGUCUAUUAAAGCAUGAAACCAUUCUGGCUUAUGCUUAUAAUAUGGUUUAAUCACUUUUAUAUAAACUAUAAAAAGAUUAGACAUAUCUUGAUAUGGUUUGCUUAAUUCCUUCAACUGUUAAGCUUAUUUUUCUAUCUCCUAUAGAAUAAGGAGUAAAAUUCUCAAGAAAGUUCAUCCCUAAUAAUAAAGGACUUAUUUAUGUUUCAUAAUCUGGUUCUAUGAAAAAAGAAAAGAUGAAUUCUAUCCCUUUUAUUCUUAAUAGUAUUUCACUAUAUUGACUUAAUGUCUUUCUUUCUCCAUUAAAUCCUACAUAAGUAUGAGGCUCAAUUAAAAUUUUUCUUUCUAAAUAUUUAAUAAUUUUAGAAUCUACAUAAGAUUUUGCAGCUCCUGUAUCAAGGAUAGCAAAAGUCUCGUGCCAUGAUUUUCCAUUAUUAUAUUCAAUCUUAAUUUUUAGAUUUUGAUUAUCCAGUAUUGCUAAAUUUACUGGACUAUUUGUCCUUUCUCGAAAAUGAGCUCUUAUCAUGACUUGAAUUCCUCCGAUAUGAACAUAUCCAAUUUUAAGUCUAUCACUAGAUUUUAUCUCAUUUAUCUUAUCUUUUAUAUCAGUUUUUAAUAAUAAUGGUAUAUUUGUAUUUCCUCUAGCAUACCUAAUUUCAAUAGGUUCUUCUCUUACAGUAGCACUAAGAUACAUUAUAUUUUUUCUUUUAAUCAUGUUAGCAAUGCCUUGUGCUAACUUAUUAACCGAAGUCAUAGAUGAUUCCAAUCCUUUUUUAUUAUUCUUGAGAUAUUGCUUUUUAUCAAAGAUUAAUUCUCUAUUAAAAGAACCUUGUUCUUCUAACUCUUCAUCUUGAUAUAAAUCUUUAUUUUCUAAUUCUUCUAUACUCAUUCUGAAUCAGAUUCUAAAUCAGAACUUCUCAAAGUUUCAUUAGAAAGAUAAUAUAUGCUAUCAUUUUCACUAAUAUCUUUGCUAUCGGUGAUUAAUUCUAAAUCAUUGAAAUCUUCAAAUAUUUUUAUAUUUGCUUUCUUCGUUUUAGGACAUUCAUUUGCAUAAUGUUCUUCUUCAUUACAUAACUAGCACUUGCAUUUUUUAGGUGCAUUGGUUUUGGAUCUUCUUUUAAAUUUAUUUUUCUUGUAGAAUUUCUUUUUAUAUUUAUUUUUCUUGUAAUAUUUCCUGUUGGCUUUAAAGAAUUUCUUCUUUUUGAAUUUUUUUUCUUGUGUUUAUAGAUUUUAUCUGAACAUCCAAAUCUUGGCGGAUCUUCUAAUUUAGAACAACAUAAUUCUCGAUUUUGCCUUUUCAUAAGUCUUCUAUCUCUUAUUUCAGAACACUAUUCAUUUAUUCUAUUUUGAGCAAAUCUAAUCCUAUUUCGUAAUGUAUAAGUUUCUGUAGUAUCUUUGUAUUCUUUGUUAUAUUCCAACAUAAUCCUUCUACCCCAUGGGUCUGGUAUCUUUACAAAAUAUAGAUCAUGGUAAUAGCAUAUGUUAUCCUCAUCUUUAUCAAAUUCACAUUUAUAAUAUAAUUCUUCGAAGCUACAUGUAUAUUCUUCUAAAUAACAUAUAUUACAUAUUUCAAGCCUUGUUAGCUUCAUUAAAUUUUCUAUCUGUUUUCUUUUUAUUUCUUGUUGAAAAUCAGUUUCCCAAUCUUCUCCCAAGAAUUUUUUUCUUAUUUCAUUUUCGAAUCUAUUUAAAACCUGAUCAACACUUUCGUUUCGAUUAUUAUUUUCUCCAUACAAUAUUCUAUUUUUAUGAUUAUCAUUUAAUCCCAUAAACCAAUGAGAAACAAUUCCUAUAAACGAAAUUUUAAGGAAUUCUAUACUAUUAUCCCUAUCAAUUUUGUGAAAUGCAAAAGCCAUUUUCAUAGAUUUAACCCAAGCGGUAAUCGUUUUAUCUCUAUCUUUGAUACAGUCUAAACCUAACCAUACACCAUCAUGGUUGAUUGGUCUUUCUCUAUAUUCUCCUGGAGUUUUAUGAUCUUUUUUAGGUUUGUUAAUCCUAAAAUAUUGACCUUGUGCUCUUUCCUGAGUUGGUAUUUCUUCCCUAACAUAGGAAGCUCUAUUACUAGUUUCUCCUUGUUAAAAACCGUUUAACUUUGGUUCAUUCAUUUUUAGAUGUUCUAUUCUAUUUUCAAUAUCCUGCAAAUUAAUGACUAUAUCAUCUUCUUCUUCGGAUUCAGAUUCUUUAUCAGAUAUCUCUUGAUUAGGUAAUUCUAUGUUUUCACUUAGCAUUCUUAGACUUAUUAAUUUUUUGUCUUUGUUUAUUUUGUUAAAUAUCGGUUUAGAUGUUGUUAUCAUUUCUUUAUCUUUAAGUUCAUUAUAGUAAAUUAUGGUAUCUUGUAAAAUUUUAUUUUGUUUAUUGAUCUUCUGUACUUCAAUCCUUUUGUAAUUUUCCAUUUAUGCUUAUAGCGAAUUUAUUACCAAUUUUUUCAUCGAUUUUUUCAAUUUUUUGUAGUUGAUUUCAAUCUUGUUGAAUUUAUUUUCAAUUGAACUUUUGUUCACAAUAUUAAAGAUUUCUUGUUUUAAUCUAUCUUGAUCUUCAAUAUUAAAGUCUUUUAUUAAUAGCUUAACAAAAUCAAAUUCUUCACUCAUUCGCUAUCCUAUCAUUUUGACUUGUCUUAUAUUUUCGGCAUCAAAGCUUUUAAUCUCAAGUAUCUUAUUUACACUUUCUAUAUCAUCUAUGGUUAAAUUAGGGUUUCCUAAUUUAUUUAAUAAAUAUAAUGAGAUCCAAUUUAAUUGAUUAUUUCCCCACAUAUCAGAAUCAUUUACUAAAUCAAAUGGUUGAAAUCUUCCAUAAGUAAAUCCUCUAUGCCUAUAGCUAGAAGGUGGUAAUAUGUUGGUUUCAAUAUUUCUAUAUACUUCUCUCCUGAUCCUAAAGAGAAGAAUAGGAUCAAUAUUUAAAUUUCUAAUUUUUAUUAUGAUGAGUUCUCCAAUUUUAAAUUCAUGAACUCUAACUAAAUAAAAUUGUAUUAAUUGUUUAUCAUCCAAUAUAUUAACUUCUGAAUAAUAAUAUUGUUUAUGUUUUGUUAUAUUAUCUUUAACUCCACACUUGUUUAAAAUUCAACACACAGAUGUGCCUCUUUCUUACUAUACUGGAAUCCUCGGUAAACUUUUUGUUUGCGCAAUUUAUGUGAGCAAAUUGUGUCUUCUUUUUCAUAUGUAAAUGUUUUUGAUAUCUUGAUGUGAAGGUAGAAAAUUGCAUGUUUUGAGUUUUUGCAUAUUUGAUGGAAACACAGAACUGUACCUGAAUCUUUCAGAACCCCCUUUUCUUUGAAGUUUGAACACUUUUCUUGAAUGUAUCAACUUUAUUUAUGGGAUAUGUUGCCAAAUUGGCAAAUCUAUUCGUUAUAAAACUUUCCUUUGACAGUUUAAUCUAAGCAGAUGUUAAUUAUGCAAAUAGAGUGUGCCUAAGAUUAGUUUCAUAGAUUUGUCUCCUUCUGUACAGUAAAAACUUUGAGCAUUUUCGCCAUAUUCUGAUCAAUACACUCCAACUAGUUAGUUCUUGAGGCGUUUUAUGGUUUCGUGGAGUGAGGCAAGAUGUAUACGUUUGCAAAUUGGCAAUGUCUUUUGCUUGAUGGGUUGAGAGUUGUGAGUGUCAACAGGAAACAAGACCUCUGUUUUAUGAACUCCAAAAAGUUAUUCUGUUAAAAAGAUCGAGACAGAGGCCAUACUAUAUUUAUUAUUGCUAUAAAAGUGUGAAAAAAUAUUCUUUGUUUAAUAUUCUAAACGAUUGAGCCAUUUAGUUAUGAUACUCUGCUGUAUUGGGGCUAAUAAUCUAAGUCGGUUCAAAGUGGUAAAUUUAUAAAUUGAUAGGUAUGCCUGGUAUGACCGCUUACGUUGGAUUUUAUGAGGUCUGCUCUCCUAAGCAAGGAGAGUGUGUCUUCAUAUCCGCAGCAUCUGGUGCAGUUGGACAGCUUGUGGGGCAGUUUGCAAAGUUAUUGGAUUGCUAUGUCGUCGGAAGUGCUGGAAGCAAAGACAAGGUAUGUAAUCUGUGUGAAGUACUUGAUUGUUUCCAUGUUACUUUCAAACAUUUAAAUUAAAAAGGAAAUUUUCAUAAUCUUGCCUUUUCUAUGAUUUUCAAAACCAAGGUUGAUCUACUGAAGAACAAGUUUGGGUUCGACGAGGCAUUUAACUAUAAAGAAGAAGCUGAUUUGAAUGCAGCAUUGAAAAGGUUAGCAUCAAUAAAUGCCUUAGCUUGAUGCAGCUUGAUGAAGUAUGAUACACAUUUCUGACCAAUAUACUGCGUUCCCUGAUCUCUUACUUGAAAUAUCUUGGUUUGAGAAUCUCAUGCCAAUGCCUUUAACAUUUUGGCAGGUACUUUCCUGAAGGAAUUGAUAUAUAUUUUGAAAACGUUGGUGGAAAAUUGCUUGACGCAGUGCUACCCAACAUGAAAAUCCGUGGUCGAAUUGAUGCAUGCGGUAUGAUCUCACAGUACAAUCUUGACAAGCCUGAAGGUGUGCACAACUUGAUGUAUCUUGUUUCGAAACGGCUUCGAAUGGAAGGAUUCAUUGUUCUCGAUCACUAUCACCUCUAUCCAAAGUUUCUGGAAAUGAUCAUUCCUCACAUCAAAGAAGGGAAGCUUGUAUACGUCGAAGACAUGGCUGAAGGUCUUGAGAGUGCUCCGGCAGCUCUCAUCGGUCUAUUCUCUGGCCAGAAUAUUGGGAAACAAGUGGUUGCUGUUGCUCCUUAAUGAAGAACAAGUUAGUGUUGUCUGUCCUUUUACCCUUUGACACAAAACUUCAAUGUUAAAGAGAGAAUGCUGUUCAUAUAUACUGCUUUAUAAAAUAAUCAAGUGAGUGCAAGUUUCAUGAUAUUUGCUGAAUAAAAUAUUGGAAAUUAAGCAGCUAGCCUAGCUCCUUCUUGUAGUUGCAGUUUGAAUGAUGCUGCUGCACAACUGCUGCCGAAAAAAUCCUUAAUAGAUGAUUAGCAAGGUUUCAAAAAUAAAAAUAAAUGUUUGUGCAAUGUGUCGAAUAUGACAGCCACAAAGAAAGAGCACACAAAUUGAUUGGUUUUAUGUCUUCUCUAGGAGAAAGCUACAAUACAAGAAAUUGUACUGAUGGAGCCAUGGACCAAAUUUCUUAUUUAAACUUUUAAUUUUUUUAUUAAAUUACUUAUGUUAUUAUGGUUUAUAAUUUUAGAAAUUCUUUAGAAAUUAAUACAGAACUAGUAGCAAGUUGAGAAAUCUAUUGAAUGGUCAAGAUAUGAUCAUGUUUAUUGAAUUAAAUUGACAAUCAUCAUUUUGAUAAAUUAUUGUCAGGAUGUUUGAUUCAUGACACGUGUAAGCAACUAAAUGUGCUAAAAAAAAGUUAAUGAGUUGGGCGUGUUUGAGUUAAUGAGUUGGGCUUGUUUGAUAUUCAUUUGUUGUAAUUCUUUUAAUAAUUAUUGGGGAAAAAAAGUUAUAAUAAAAAAAAUUAUAAUUAUAAAAUAAAAAUUAAUAAUAUAUAAUAAAUAAGAUUUUAAAUAAUAAUUUUAAUAAAAUAAUAAAUAUAUUAUAAAUUUUUUAUGAUUAAUUUUUAAAUUACAACAAUAAAUAUUUAACAAACACCUUAAUACCACAACUAACACCACAACUUUUGAAUUAUGAUAGUACAAUCUAAAUGCCACAGGCCUUAAAAAAUAAAAUUACAGUCAAGUUUUAAAACUGUUAAUGAUAUUCACAAAGACUCUGGAACAAUAUUACAGAAGGUGCUCGUCGUGUAAGCAACACAUGGGACCCAACCAAUAAAUGUUUCUGAUCCUCAACUUUCCUCAUCACUGUCCCUGGAAACAAUUCUGAUUUUCUUGUCUGAUUAAACAACUGAGAAACAAUGGCGGCCGACCAAGAAGCUGGGAGCAAUAAGCGGGUGAUUCUAAGCAACUAUGUGACAGGUUUUCCAAAAGAAUCAGACAUGAAGAUAACAAGUUGAUCAAUAAAGCUGAAGGUAGCAGAGGGUGUUUGGGAGAAAUACGUCGACGAGACCAGGCAUGGUGAGCAGAUAUCUGAUGGCAGAGUUCUGCGAACCGGUGUGUUCCGUAAAAGCCUGGUGCGCGGGGGAACAGGAGCAGAAGUAUCCUGCUCGUCCACGAGCACGUCAUCCGCGAGGCCAAUUUCCUGUAAGAGGCAUAAGGUCAUUCCGGCUAGAGGUCGAGAGGCGAGGAGACCCGGUCGACGGCAGUUGGCAAGACAUGCUCCCCAGCCCGAGAAUCUAGGCACGACAGCCACGCUUUCCCCAGAACCGUGGCGUAACACGCAAGAUCUCACAGAACCACGACAGCCACGCUUUCCCCAGAACCGUGGCGUAACACGCAAGAUCUCACAGAACCACGACAGCCACGCUUUCCCCAGAACCGUGGCGUAACACGCAAGAUCCCACGUUUGCCCAUAACGCAGCAGUCAGAGUCCCAUACCGUCUCGAAAAAAGCGGAAAACUGGGAUUCAGGGGAAGCCUAUAAAAAGGUAGCCAACGAAGGUAAAAGGGUUAGCAUUUUUGAGAUUAGAAAAGAAAUGAAAAAAGAAGAGAAAACCACGAAAAAGCCAUAAGAUAUGUGGCAAGCGUUCCCCGAACCUUCAUAUCUGACUUGAGCGUCGGAGGGUUUGCGCCGGGAAAACAACCGGCGUACUCUGACUUGUCUGUGUGCGCAGGAACCUCUGGAGAAGAAGCCUCACGUGGAGACCUCCUGGUCGUGAAGAAGUUGAUCGGGCAGAGAUCCUGGUCGUAGAACGAGGAGAACCGGAAUCCCGCAUCAACAUUUUGGCGCCGUCUGUGGGGACCGGAGCAAAAAGCUUCUGUUGAUAGCAAGAAGAGGGGUGAAGCAAGUGAAAAACAAUGGAGACAGGAGGAAGUAGUGCACAAGGGGGUGAUAGGAAGCUUAACGAUUCCGUGACGCUGAGGGAGAUAGUCAGUGAAGCACGGGAAAAAGUCAUGUUCGACCGGAUGGAACGGAUGGAAAAGCAGAUGGAGACCUUGACAACCAUCCUGCAUGAGCUGCGGAGCGAGCGAAGUAUAAUCCAAGAGGGAAGGGUGAGAGGCGGUGGAGUGGCACCAGGUCCCGAUAGUGCGGGGAGAAGUCAAACCACCGGGAGAUUUGGUGGUGAGAGAGGUAACGUACCUCUGCGGGGAGAAUUUCAUAGAGAAAGAGAGCAGUCCCCGGCAAGACAGACUGGCGACGAGGACGACGGGGUGGUGAAUGCAGAGGAAACAGAGUUGAGGCAACACUUGCAUGAUGUAGAGCAAGAGCGGGAUCAAGUUGCAGCACGUGACCCUGGUUGUGCAGUGCAGCUGGAGGAGGAAGUGCGCAGACUAGCACAGAUAAUCGACGACAUGCAAGGAAGGAACAGAGCCCCUGGUUGGAGGAUAAUGCUGGACGGAGAAUCACCGCUCGCAGCAGAGAUCAUGAGGGCAGUUAUUCCGAGAGAUUUCCGCCUCCCAGACCUCAGAUACUCGGGAAGAACUGAUCCGUUGGUGCACAUAGAGCGCUUCAACGACAUAACUGGGGUACAAGGAUUAUCUCAAUCCCAAAGGUGCAGAGUGUUCCCACUAUCCCUUGAGGGACGUGCACGAGAAUGGUACAGGAAACUUCCUCGGGGCAGCAUUAAAACCUUCGAGCAGAUGUGCCAGGAAUUCGCGGAGCAGUUUAGUGGGGCAAUGGCGCCGGAAGAUGACAUGAUGGAGCUGAAAAGCAUGAAACAGGGGGAGCAAGAAACCCUUCGGGAAUUCAUCAAGAGGUUUCAUCGGGCUGUCCUUGACUUGGGAGCCUUCAACCACCCUCAGGCGUUAAGGGGAUUGAAAGAAGGGGUGAAGAUAGGAAGGCUGUGGUACAAUUUGAGAAGCCCAGCUAUUCAAACGUAUGCAGCCGCAUACGAACAGGCUAAGAGAGACAUCGAGAUUGAAGAGGAGAAGGCUGCACGGAUUAAGACAGACCAGUUAGAAGGGUUGGGGAGGAAAGAGAAGAAAGCAUUACCGGGGAAUGGGCCGAUCAGGAGGAGGGACCACCAGGCCUCCGGUAGUGGAGCAGGAGGUCGGGUAGCCGCUUACCAGCCUCAUCAAAGGCCACCACAGUAUCAGCGCAGCAGGGCGCAACCUCCUCGUUCCCCAGCUAGGGAGCCUUGGAGAAGGCAUGAGUCGGCAUCUGGUGGUCUCCAACAACACCCCCACGGUAUCAGAGCGAGCAGACCAGAAGUACUUCCACCGCCCCCAACUCAGAGCGGGGCAAACAGAGAAAGAGCAGUGCACCUGAUCGACCAGAACCCGGACUAUGGGCGGUACACUUCCUUGAAGAUGUCCCUGGAUGAGGUGUACGAGGCCAUAAAGGAUCGAGGGCUGCUGCACCUCCCUACACCAAUAACAAAGCUACCCAACAGGAGGGAUAGAGGACGUUAUUGUAAGUUCCAUGGCACCCAUGGCCAUACCACAGCAGAGUGUAGAGAUCUCAAGACCCAAGUCGAAGAUUUGGUGAGAAAUCGGUACCUGGACGAGUUUAUGGAUGGGACUUUCCCGAUGGGGGCCACAACAGGUGAAGGGGAGCAGAGUGGCGGAAACGUUAGGCGCGAGCAGCCCGCAGUAAGGGUGAUAGCUGGGGGCCCGACAUUGGCCGGAGAUUCCAACAGAUCGAGAAAAAAUUAUGCUAGGUACGCCAUGACCAGUAAAGAGGUACUCCUCAACACCCCAGCAGCCAAACGAGCAAGGGUCAGGCAAGUGCCAAUCAUGUGGACGGAUGAGGAUGAGGAAGGGAUUCUAUACCCCCACGAGGAUGCUUUAGUCAUCAAGGCUACUGUCGCUAGCAAGAAGUUUGACCGGAUACUGAUUGAUACAGGGAGCUCAGUUGAUGUGUUAUUUAAGUCAACCCUGGAAGAGAUGGGAAUAGCCGACCGGAAGUUGGAAUACACCAAUACCUCCUUGAAGGGGUUCGGAGGAGGGAAGCUGGUCCCUCUGGGCGUGGUCGAGCUGCCUAUCACAAUUGGGAGCUCUCCGACAGAAAGAACAAUGAUACUGGACUUUGUCGUAGUGGAUGAGGAAGGUCCUUACCAGAUGAUCCUAGGUCGGCCAUUUUUAAGGAUGAGCAAAGCGGUGUUGUCCAACCAUUAUCUGGCUCUGAAGUACCGGGUGAACGGGGUAGUAGGAGUGGUACGAGGAGACCAGAGGAUCGCAAGAAGCUGCUACUCCUCGGCAGCAAGGGAAGCAAUGCAGAUAACAUCCCUCGAUACCCGAGUGGAAAACAAGAAGGGCAGACAAGAACCUGUAGAGGAUCUGGAAACAGUAAGCCUGGGACCAGAGAACCCGGGAAAGACGAUCAGAAUCGGGUCGAGACUUAAGGGAGAGCAAAAGCAGGAGUUGGUGAAAUGCUUACAGGCUCAUGCUGAUGUGUUUGCUUGGACACAUGAAGACAUGCCAGGAAUUGACCCUGAGGUAGCAUGUCAUAAGCUGGCAAUAAAGAAAAGUGCUCGGGCAGUAAGGCAGAAGAGGAGGUGCUUCAACCAGGAGAGGUAUGAGGCUAUAAAUGGCGAGGUGGAGAAGCUCUUGAGAGCAGGGUUCAUUCGGGAAGUCAGUUACCCUGAGUGGAUAUCGAAUGUGGUGUUGGUAAAGAAGGCAAACGGCAAGUGGAGGAUGUGUGUGGAUUUCACAGACCUCAAUAAGGCGUGCCCAAAAGACAGCUUCCCUUUACCAAAGAUCGAUCAGCUAGUAGAUUCAACGGCUGGACAUGGUCUGCUUAGCUUCAUGGACGCGUUCUCGGGAUACAACCAGAUCCCCAUGUACGAGCAGGAUGAGGAGAGCACGGCUUUCAUCACUAACCAAGGUUUGUUCUGUUACAGGGUAAUGCCAUUCGGUCUCAAAAAUGCCGGGGCCACCUAUCAAAGGCUGGUGAACAAAGUCUUUAAGCCGUUGAUUGGGAAAACCAUGGAGGUGUACGUGGAUGACAUGAUCACCAAGUCCAAAAUCCCGGAGGAACAUGUCAGACACCUCGAGGAGACAUUCGAGCUUUUGAGGAAGUAUAAGAUGAAGCUCAACCCGGAGAAGUGUGCUUUUGGGGUCGAGUCAGGGAAAUUCCUUGGAUUCAUGGUGAGCCAUAGGGGGAUUGAAGCACAUCCCGAGAAAAUCCAGGCGAUUGUGCAAAUGACGUCUCCCCAUAACCUGAAGGAGAUGCAAAGCCUCACGGGGAGGUUGGCGGCGUUGAGCAGAUUCAUAUCCAAGGCUACAGAUAAGUGUAAGCCAUUCUUUCAAGUGAUGAGGAGGGGAAAGAAAACAGAAUGGACCUCAGAAUGCGAGGAAGCCUUCCGGAACUUGAAGCAAUACUUGCAGCAAGCUCCGCUGCUGUCCACACCGAGGGAUGGGGACAAGUUAUAUCUGUAUUUGGCGGUAUCGGAUCGGGCCGUCAGUUCUGUUCUGGUGAGAGAGGAAGAAGGAGUUCAGUAUCCGAUAUAUUACACCAGCAAGGCCCUGCUCGACGCUGAGACCAGAUACCCACCGUUGGAGAAAUGGGCACUUGCCCUUGUGGUUGCUGCUCGGAAGUUGAGGCCAUAUUUUCAAGCAUUCCCGGUCUUGGUAAUAACAAACCAGCCAUUGCGUCAAACUCUGCACAAGCCAGAUGCCUCUGGUCGGCUCGUCAAGUGGGCUGUAGAGCUGAGCGAGUUCGACAUAGACUAUAAACCCCGCGCAGCGAUAAAAGCCCAGGCAAUGGCCGAUUUCGUAGCUGAAUUCACAGAGCCCGAAGUAUGCUUAGAUCAACAAGAUGCAGAUAUAGGCAAUGACGAAACUCAAGUAUGGCAGAUGUCUGUGGAUGGGUCAUCAGGGGAGCGGGGUUCAGGAGCAGGGAUUGUCUUGGAAGGCCCAGAGGGGGAGGAGAUCUCUUAUACUGUAAAAUUGGAAUUUGCAGCCACGAAUAACCAGGCAGAGUAUGAAGCCUUGAUAGCAGGUCUGGAAUUGGCUAAGGCCGUGAAAGCAGACAGAGUUAAGAUCAGAACUGAUUCCCAGCUGGUUGCGAAUCAUGUCAGUGAAAGAUUCCAACCAAGAGAGGAGAAGAUGGGGCAGUACCUGAAGAUAGUCAGGCAGAUGAUGGGGAAGUUCGAAGCAGUGGAGGUGAUACAAAUCCCCAGGGAGCAGAAUAGUCGAGCAGACAUUUUGGCUAGGAUGGCAGCAGUAGCCGACCCAAAAAUGCCAAAGUCGGUCCCUCUGGAGGUGAAGUCCAGCCCAAGUAUCGAUCAGAAUUUGGGGGUGUUGCAGAUAGAACAAAAAUGCUCGUGGAGGGACCCGAUAAUUUCAUACCUUAGAGACGGGGUAUUACCACCAGAUAAGAUGCGAGCUCGCAAGCUUAGAGCCCAGGCCUCGAGAUACACGAUGAUUGAUGGGGUACUGUAUCGGCGAGGAUAUACACUACCGUUCCUUCAGUGUUUGGAUGAGGACGACGCGGAUUACGUACUGAGAGAAGUACACGAAGGAAUUUGCGGAAAUCAUUCUGGCGGGAGGUCCCUGGCCCAUAAGGUUCUAAGGCAGGGAUAUUUCUGGCCGACAAUGCACCAGGAUGCGCAAGAGAAGACCAGGAGUUGUGUAAGCUGCCAGAGUUUUGUAAAUUUCUCUAACCAACCACCAGAGAAGCUCACCUCCAUGACCUCCCCCUGGCCAUUUGCUCAAUGGGGAAUUGAUCUGAUCGGCCCAUUGCCAAAGGCACGGGGAGCAGCAACAUAUGCAAUAGUUGCUAUAGAUUACUUCACGAAGUGGAUAGAGGUAAAAGCCCUUAGCAGGAUCACAGAGAAGAAAACAACAGACUUCGUAUGGAGAAACCUGGUCUGUCGAUACGGGAUCCCUUAUGCCUUGGUAACGGAUAAUGGCAGGCAGUUCGAUAAUCACAGCUUCAGGGAUUUCUGCCAGAACCUCGGGAUAGAGCUGAAGUAUUGCUCGCCUGCUCACCCUCAAUCGAAUGGACAAGUAGAAGCAGCCAACAAGACCAUCAAGAGGCUUUUGAAAACCAGGCUUGGAGCAAAAAAGGGUGCGUGGGUUGACGAGCUGGCAGGUGUGCUAUGGGCAUCCAGAACAACAAAACCGCAACUGGGGAGACACCGUUCGCUUUGGCUUUCGGACAUGAAGCGGUCGUGCCGGCUGAGAUAGGAACGACCACACACCGGACAAAUCAUUUCAAUGAGCAGGAGAACGACGAGCAGAUAUGUUUGAAUCUUGAUCUGCUAACGGAAAGGAGGGAGCAAGCAGCCGAGCGAUCAGUCAUUUACCAAUAGAGGGUUGCUCGGUAUUAUAACCAGAAGGUGAACAUACGGCAAUUCAGGGUCGGAGACUGGGUACUGAGAAGAGUGAAUCAGAGCACCAAAGAUUCGACUCAAGGAGUGCUGGGACCGAAUUGGGAAGGGCCAUAUAGAGUCAAGCAGAUAGCGGGACCCGGAGCUUACAGGCUGGUUCGCACGGACGGCCACGAGGUGAAACGCCCAUGGAACGCAGCACACCUCCGAAAAUACUUCCAGUAAGACUUGUUCACAUGUGAAAACUAUUUUUGCUCAUGUUCAUUACCGUUUAUCUUUCACGCUUAUUGUCCAAACAAUUUCAUGUAAGUCGAAUCCUGCCAUUAAUGGAACGUCGAGGAAUUUCUUUCACUUGAAACCGAGAAAAUUUCCCAAGGCAUGCAAAGGCUCACCAAGUCUCAAAGCCUGUCUUAUGGUGAGACAGAAGCCAAGCAUGCCAGGAUCUGCUCGGCCACGAGAAGGCAAGCAGAAUCCCAAUCCUCGAAGAAUCCAAGGCACGCAAAGGCUCACUAAGUCUCAAAGCCUGUCUUAUGGCGAGACAGAAGCCAAGCAUGCCAGGAUCUGCUCGGCCACGAGAAGGCAAGCAGAAUCCCAAUCCUCGAAGAAUCCAAGGCAUGCAAAGGCUCACCAAGUCUCAAAGCCUGUCUUAUGGCGAGACAGAAGCCAAGCAUGCCAGGAUCUGCUCGGCCACGAGAAGGCAAGCAGAAUCCCAAUCCUCGAAGAAUCCAAGGCACGCAAAGGCUCACCAAGUCUCAAAGCCUGUCUUAUGGCGAGACAGAAGCCAAGCAUGCCAGGAUCUGCUCGGCCACGAGAAGGCAAGCAGAAUCCCAAUCCUCGAAGAAUCCAAGGCAUGCAAAGGCUCACCAAGUCUCAAAGCCUGUCUUAUGGCGAGGCAGAAGCCAAGCAUGCCAGGAUCUGCUCGGCCACGAGAAGGCAAGCAGAAUCCCAAUCCUCGAAGAAUCCAAGGCAUGCAAAGGCUCGACAAAGUCUCAAAGCCUGUUUUAUGGCGAGACAGAAGCCAAGCAUGCCAGGAUCUGCUCGACCACUAGAAGGCGAGCAGACUCCAAAGCAUUCGAAGAAAUGCCCAAGGCAUGCAAAGGCUCGACAAAGUCUCAAAGCCUGUUUUAUGGCAAGGCAGAAGCCAAGCAUACCAGGAUCUGCUCGACCACGAGAAGGCGAGCAGACUCCAAAGCAUUCGAAGAAAUGCCCAAGGCAUGCAAAGGCUCGACAAAGUUUCAAAGCCUGUUUUAUGGCGAGACAGAAGCCAAGCAUGCCAGGAUCUGCUCGACCACGAGAAGGCGAGCAGACUCCAAAGCAUUCGAAGAAAUGCCCAAGGCAUGCAAAGGCUCGACAAAGUCUCAAAGCCUGUUUUAUGGCGAGACAGAAGCCAAGCAUGCCAGGAUCUGCUCGACCACUAGAAGGCGAGCAGACUCCAAAGCAUUCGAAGAAAUGCCCAAGGCAUGCAAAGGCUCGACAAAGUCUCAAAGCCUAUUUUAUGGCGAGGCAGAAGCCAAGCAUGCCAGGAUCUGCUCGACCACUAGAAGGCGAGCAGACUCCAAAGCAUUCGAAGAAAUGCCCAAGGCAUGCAAAGGCUCGACAAAGUCUCAAAGCCUGUUUUAUGGCGAGACAGAAGCCAAGCAUGCCAGGAUCUGCUCGACCACUAGAAGGCGAGCAGACUCCAAAGCAUUCGAAGAAAUGCCCAAGGCAUGCAAAGGCUCGACAAAGUCUCAAAGCCUGUUUUAUGGCGAGGCAGAAGCCAAGCAUGCCAGGAUCUGCUCGACCACUAGAAGGCGAGCAGACUCCAAAGCAUUCGAAGAAAUGCCUAAGGCAUGCAAAGACUCACCAAGUCUCAAAGCCUGUUUUAUGGCGAGACAGAAGCCAAGCGUGCUAGGAUCUGCUCGACCGCGCGAAGGUGAGUCGAAUCCCAGGCAUUGAAGAAUCUCCAAAGGCAUGUGGCAAAACCAUGAGCCAAGCCGGAACCUGCUCGUCUAGACAGAGACAAGCAGAUUCUCAACCGAAAAUUAAUUCAUAAUUACAACACAAGAAAGUAAUCAAAAACCAUUUUUAUUAAUUUGUUAAUAAUUAACAGAGGGGAUAAUCUUUAUGAACAUUGUUCAUUACAAUACAAGAAAUAUAUCAGGAAGAUGGUGGACCAGUAAGCCCGGCAGCAUCGGUUGGCUGGACCUCCUCAGGUGCAGGAGGGGUAUCACCAGUUGCGUCCGGGGGGGUGCUCGCCUCGCCAACAUCAGCAGGGACUGCAUGAGCAGGAGAGUCUUCCUCCUCAAUCACGAUCGGCUCUACCCCAUCGGCAUCUUCCUUGGCCGCCUCCUCGUCCAUAUGUUGAGCAACACCAGCUGCAAGGUCAUCCAUCUUCAGAUCAGGGUGUUGCUUCCCGAGGACGGCCAUGAUGCAACGAUAGGAAUGCCGAAGUCCCUGGUCGUACUGGUUGUCAGCCUCCCUCUCUAAGUUCUCGACCUGAGCUCGGUGGGAGUCGCGGAGAGAUUCGAGCUGAGCCUCAUACAUAGCCUUCUGCCUUUGCAGAUCCUCCUUGACCGUGGUAAGCUCCUCCUCGAGGGAAAUGGCUUUUGCUUGAGCAAGUGAUUCUUGCUCUAUUAGCUUCAGAUUCUCGAGAUUCAGGUCCUUCUUGCUCACGAGUUUAGUUAACUCAUUGAGGUAGGGGACCAGGUGUUCUGCUCGGCUGUCAGGUAAGCGAGAUCGAGGCCCGACAGGAGGAAAAGAGGAAGCAGGAUCUGUGGCUGCUCCACUAGCUUCCCCGACUUUUACAGGAGCAGGAGGUAAAAUCUUCAAGGGUGGGACCUGCUGCAUGAUGUUGGCCCGCUUUGCAGCAGGGGCAUCCUUACUCUGGUCCCUCUUCGUGGUUGGAGGUCGGGAACGUUUUCGGGUCAGAGCCCCAAUCACAGCGUCCUCCAUCCUAUGGCCAGGAAGUAUCAAGCGAGACUCGAGCAAGUUGUAUGUAGUUAGCAGUUCUCGGCUCGAGCAGGAAUUGGCUAGUACAGCCUCGACCCGUUUGAGCUGGUCAGGUUCAAGCGGGAAGUGGACACCCCAAGAAACUACAACACAAACAGACACUUGGUUAGAGACAAGCCAAUAAAGCAAGAACAAUUAUGGAUGCAAGACAUCUAGAGUGAGCAGGCAACCUGGGACCGUGAAACGGGGUGGGACGUGACAAUCCUUCCCGCCUAUUUGUGCAACUUGACCCCAAGGACCCCCAGCAAAAAAGAAUUUCCUCUUCCAAGCCCCACCACCACCGGUUGGAAGAUCGGUUAUGGGUUUCCGGCUCUUGGUGCUAGAUUGGAAGUAGUACCAGCCGGCAUCUUUGGGGCUGCUCUUUAGCUGGUACAAGUGCUUCACCUCAUCAACCGUGGGCUCGCUUUGGCAACAUUUGUCCCACAAUAUGAACAGACCAGAGAGCACUCUCCACCCAUUGGGAUUCAGCUGACCAGGAGCUAGAUUUAGCCCGUUAAGUAUCUGGGCAAAGUAGGGUUGCAAGGGACACCUCAGCCCGUACUUAAAGCUCUCUAGAAACAGGGUAACGUAUCCCCUAGGAGGCCGGCUGGGAGCAUCCUUCUUUCCUGGGACCUUGAGAGGUAUCUCACCAGGAAUGCUAUACCUAAGCCGGAGGUCAUUGAGCUCGUCAAACAAGGUCGUGCACGUCAUGUAAUCAAUGGCAUAAUCGCGCGACAAGGCUCUGCCUCCUACUGUACCCCGUUCCUCUGGUCGUGAUGUUCCAGAUGGAGACACCUCACCAGAGUCACCUUCCCCAUUCUCACUUAAGGUGUCCUCAGAGCCAGAAGGUCUCUCUUCACCAUUGCUUCCACUCGUGGAGGUUGUUUGGGGGGACAUCCUCCUAGCACUAGUCCCGACACUAAACCUAAUGGGUUCUAAGGGGAUCCCGGGGUCAAAAGCAGAAUCAGUGAGCAGACCAGGCAGGAAACUUAGUUCGUCGUCAUCAAUCUCAACGACUUUCUCCUUACCUUUCGACAUUCCCUAAGCCCUAACCACAACACCACCAACUACUACCCAAACAGAAGAGAAGAGAAAUUAUCUACAACUAUCCGAGACCAAGGAGAUAGAAGAAAUACCUGAAGUAAUGGUUCAGUCGGUGAAAGUCAGAGAUGGAGGCCUUUUAUGCCGGAACUUCUUUGCCGGAGAAACAGAGACGGAGACGGAGUGAAUGAUGAAUAUGCCGUUCGAGAGGAUUUGGUUUUCCUAAUGAGGACGGACUCUUGGGUUGCCAGCAUUUAACGGCGCCGAAUCCCGAGGGUCUCAUAACCGUCGGUUUGAAAUUCAAAUGGAGGGGGGGAUUUCUGCCACGUCACCUCGUCCGCAAUUAAAUGCGACAUGACUCUUGGCAGCCUUUUCCAAUCCCACGCGGGCGAGUACUAACGAGUUUCUACUGCUGGUCCACUACAUUACCCAACACCAGAAACUGGGGGACCGGUGUUUGGGAGAAAUACGUCGACGAGACCAGGCAUGGUGAGCAGAUAUCUGAUGGCAGAGUUCUGCGAACCGGUGUGUUCCGUAAAAGCCUGGUGCGCGGGGGAACAGGAGCAGAAGUAUCCUGCUCGUCCACGAGCACGUCAUCCGCGAGGCCAAUUUCCUGUAAGAGGCAUAAGGUCAUUCCGGCUAGAGGUCGAGAGGCGAGGAGACCCGGUCGACGGCAGUUGGCAAGACAUGCUCCCCAGCCCGAGAAUCUAGGCACGACAGCCACGCUUUCCCCAGAACCGUGGCGUAACACGCAAGAUCUCACAGAACCACGACAGCCACGCUUUCCCCAGAACCGUGGCGUAACACGCAAGAUCUCACAGAACCACGACAGCCACGCUUUCCCCAGAACCGUGGCGUAACACGCAAGAUUCCACAUUUGCCCAUAACGCAGCAGUCAGAGUCCCAUACCGUCUCGAAAAAAGUGGAAAACUGGGAUUCAGGGGAAGCCUAUAAAAAGGUAGCCAACGAAGGUAAAAGGGUUAGCAUUUUUGAGAUUAGAAAAGAAAUGAAAAAAGAAGAGAAAACCACGAAAAAGCCAUAAGAUCUGUGGCAAGCGUUCCCCGAACCUUCAUAUCUGACUUGAGCGUCGGAGGGUUUGCGCCGGGAAAACAACCGGCGUACUCUGACUUGUCUGUGUGCGCAGGAACCUCUGGAGAAGAAGCCUCACUUGGAGACCUCCUGGUCGUGAAGAAGUUGAUCGGGCAGAGAUCCUGGUCGUAGAACGAGGAGAACCGGAAUCCCGCAUCAACAGAGGGUUCAAAAGACACGGUGCUUUUGAAGAAUCUUUAUCUUUAUUGUGAUCCUUACAUGCGAGAGCGUAUGAGCAAGCUUGAUAGACCUUCUUUUGUUGAUUCAUUCCAUUCUGGUGAGGUUAGUUCAUCACGACCUCAACUUAGAUUUUGGGAUGGUUUACGAUUCACUCUCAGUUUAUGCAGAAAAACAAUCUAGUUUUAAUUUGGCAGGGUUUUUCCUUCUCUCUCCUUUUCUUCCUUUUCUUCAUUGGUUUCUUCCUCUUUUAUAGCCGCUAUCCCACGUUUUCGUUCAUCCUUCAUCCCCAUUUUUCGGGUAGUGGCAGCCCCUCAUGGGACUCCAACUGCUACAUUAUGGGUAAAUGUGGGACACCGUAUCUCCCUCAAUGGUUUUAGAAAAAGCGCAACUGUCGUGAUUUCGUGAGAUUGUGUUCCCGUUCUUUGGGGAAUGGAUAUCUGCUCGGUAUAUGUCUCUGGUCGGCCUAUAUUUAUAGAAGGCUCAUUAUCAGUAUUCUACUUAUACCAUUCAGCUGAGGUGAUCUACCUCGAAAUGAGAAUGAUAACAUGACUGACCUGAUGCUCUUAUUUACUUAACAGUAAAUUUUCUAUGACCCUACAGGUGACUAAUUAAUGAGAACUUGACAAUGACAAAAGAAAGUGUAUGAGCUUUGCAGGCUGGCAUGCCAAUAUUGACUGUGUGGCACCAUCCACCAUCUGCAAUUGAAUAUCAUUAUUGUUUAAUCAAUGUGGUGGAGUCCACUGGAACCACACCACAUGGUCAGUCUUAUCUCUAUUCCUCAAUUUUCAGUAUUCCAUACAUCAAACCAAUUUCAUGUUUGUUAGCAAUUAUAAUUUCAUUGUUGGUGACGAUUCUGAUUCCUUUUGUUGAGAAUCAAAUAAAACGGCAUUGAAUGAAGCUUUCAAAGACAGAAUCUGCACUUGUCAAAGGGGUAAUCUGCACUUGUCAAAGACAAGAUCCGCGCCGAACGGAUUGACACAUUUCCUUCCGUAUUCACAUAUGUAAUCUUUGAAAAAAUGUAGCCUCUGCAUCUAUAAAUAACUCUCAAUGUAUAAUGCUUUAUUUAAGAAAUGAAAACACGUUUCUUCAUGGUAUCAGAGCCAUGAAUACGCUCAAGUUUCUUCAAGUUCCGCUGCUCUGUUUGUAACAAAAAUAGAGGAAACCAAAUUCCUCCCACAACCAUUUUUCCCACCAUUUUCUUUCUUAAACCCAUUCCUACCAUUACAGAUAUCCAUGCCGAUCAAGAAACAAGCCACCCAUACGUAAAAAACUUGAGUUUACAAAUUUAUCAACAAUCCCAUCAAUUUUCUGAGAGUGUGUUCCUAAAAAACCAAGAACACCAUCAAAUUUCUCAGUUUUCAGUGAGGAAACUGUAAAAAUUUCGCAUUUAAACACAUUCCCACGCGCUCCCACGCGCCACCCGAAGCCACGGCCAGUCAACCACGCGCCUCUGUCAUCAUUCACGCGCUCUCACGCGCUCCAGAGGUUGAAGAAGACGCCAGCCGACAUGUCGUUCUUAUCUCAGAAGUUCAGCAGUCACAAAACGACGUGUCGUUUUUUGUUAUAUUAAAAUCGACAUGUCGUUUUGUAAAUUAGAGAUAAAACGACGUGAUGCUUAGUCUCCAGAAGUGCAGCAGGAUUAAAACGACAUGUCGUUUAUAUUCCACCAUAAUCGACAUGUCGGUUUGGCAAGCAGUGGCCAAACGACCUGGCGUUUUGUUACCUAAAAAGGUUAUUUUUUUUCUUCUUCCAAUCUAGAUGGAAAAAAAAAAAACAAACAAAAAAAAGAAAAAAAAGAAAAAAAAGAAAAAAAAGAGAAAAAAAAAAAAACAAAAAAAAAUGGAGAAAACUCCAACUGAAUCUAGUCCUGUUGUCAUUCAAUCUGUUCAAUCUGAUGGAGUAUUUAAUGCUGGAAUUAUCCUCACUGAGACAAACUACGAUGUUUGGUCUCAAAUAAUGGAGAUGCAUCUUGUAGAAAGAGAAAAACUCUCAUAUAUUCGUAGCAGCACAAAGCCAUUUGAGGAAUCUUCAAAGGAAUAUGAGAAAUGGUAUAGUGAGAACCAAAAAGUAAAAAGAUGGUUACUCAUAUCCAUGUCUCCGGAGAUCAUGAAGCGAUAUUUACGAAUUCCUACAGCCUACGAAAUCUGGGAUGCAUUAUCAAAAGCCUUCUAUGAUGGAAGCGAUGAAUUACAAGUUUUCACUCUAAACCAGAAGGCAUUCUCUACCAAGCAAAAUGGACAACCACUCUCUAAAUUCUAUGGAGAAUUGGUCGAAAUAUUUCGAGAACUUGAUCACCGAGAUAAAGUGGUCAUGAAGGAUCCAGAAGAUAUUGUAAUAUACAGAAGGUCUGUUGAAAGAUUGAGAGUGCACAUUUUUCUUGCUGGGCUAGAUGAAGAAUUUGACCAAGUUCGUGGAGAAAUUCUACGAAAAGACAUUAUCCCAGACUUAGAAGAAUGUUAUUCUUUGAUCCGAAGAGAAGAUAUACGGCAAAGCAAACUAAACAAGAAGGUCGACUCAGAAACGUUUGCAAUGAUAGCACGACAGCAGCCUCAAAGGAAGUUUGUUGACAAGUCAUCACUCCAUUGCACUCAUUGUAGAAAGAAGGGUCAUACGAAAGAACAAUGUUUUGAAAUCAUUGGAUAUCCUGACUGGUGGGAUACUCGAAAGAAGAACACCAAGCAUGGAUCAAAAACUGCAGUAGCUGAAUCCACAUCCACUACAGAUCUUAGAAAAGAAUCUUCAGUGCAAAUCGCAACCUCUGUCAGUCCAGGUAAGGCCCUUAAAACUCUUACACCUGUUAUUAAUAGUACAUGGAUAAUUGAUUCUGGGGCAACUGAUCAUAUGACUUUUGAUUCUCGACAAGUUUCUCAAUUGAAACCAUCUUCACAAAAAUAUAUUUCCACUGCAAAUGGAACCACAACCUCAGUUAUUGGGGAAUGAUCUUUACGACUCACAAAUGAAUUAAAUUUAGACGCUGUGUUAAUUGUUCCAUCUUUAGAUUAUAAUCUUUUAUCUGUGUCUCAAUUAACCACUUACUUAUCAUGUGUUGUAAUUUUUUGGCCUGAUCAUUGUGUGUUUAAGGACAUCCAAACGAAGCAAACGAUUGGUUAUGGUAUUAGACGAGGCAGCUUGUACUACUUGGAGAUGUCAUCAACAAACACUGGAAAGCUAAGCCCCGCACUAGUUGCAGAUAGUUCCAUAAAAAAAGGGAAAUCAGAAAUUUGGUUAUGGCAUAGACGUUUAGGGCAUGUGUCAUUUAGUUACUUAAAAAAAUUAUUUCCUAGUUUGUUUCUGAAAUUUGAUGUUUGUAACUUUAAAUGUGAUGUUUGUGAACUUUCAAAAAGCCAUCGAACUACUUUUCCAUUGUCCUUAAAUAAAAAUCCAGUUCCUUUUAUGGUAGUACAUUCUGAUGUAUGGGGGCCAUCUAAAGUUUCUACAAUUGGAGGUGCUCGUUGGUUUGUUACAUUUAUUGAUGAUUGUAGCAGAAUGACAUGGAUUUUUCUGAUGAAAUCGAAAGACGAAGUAAACUCUUUAUUUCAAAGAUUUCAUAAGAUGGUGACAACUCAAUUUCAGACACAAAUUCGAGUUCUACAUACUGAUAAUGGAGGUGAGUAUAUGAGCACAGCAAUUCAACAGUUUCUGAAAUCACAAGGAUCUGUCCAUCAAACCACUUGUGUGGGGACACCCCAACAAAAUGGCGUUGCUGAACGAAAGAACAGACAUUUACUAGAAGUUGUUCGAGCAUCACUAAUCCAAGCCCACAUGCCAUUAUCUUAUUGGGGAGAAGCAUUGACAUCCGCAGCAUACUUGAUCAAUCGAACACCUUCAAGCUCCCUUGGAUUCCAGACUCCUUUCCAAGUUCUGAAUGAUGCAAUUAUGUCACCAAAUGUGCCGAAUCUGCCCCCACAUGUGUUUGGCUGUGUUGCCUUCGUUCAUUUGCCGCAACAAGACAAAUUAUCUCCUCGAGCACUACGUUGUGUGUUUGUAGGGUAUGCCUUACAUCAAAAGGGAUACCGAUGCUAUCAUCCACCAUCAAGAAAAAUAUACAUCACCAUGGAUGUCGUUUUUCAUGAAGAUAUCAUGUACUACUUGUCAGAGUCUGAAUUUCAGGGGGAGUAUAAUGAAGAGGAAAUUCAUACUCUUACAUAUCUUCCACCUGAAGAAAGUCAAUCUUCCAUUGAGAUAGUAAACCUUCAAGAUACUGGAAAAGCAAAUGGUGAUGAUUCGCAAGCUGAGAUAUGUGAAAACACAUUUGGGGAGCACAAUACUCAGACACAACUGCAAUCGAGAAUGAGUCACAUGAAGAAAUACCUAACCAAUCGUCUGCAGAGGAUGUUCCUACCACAAGUCCAAUCAGAAGAAUUCUUCCCCAGCGUCAAAAUAGAGGUAUCCCUAAACCCACAUAUGAGCCUGACUUCUCUAGUAGAGUCAAAUACCCUAUGAGUCAUUUUGUGUCUAACCAUCGCUUGUCAGAAUCAAAUCAGUCAUUUGUGAAUCAAUUAUCUGCUGUAUCUAUUCCUAACAGUGUGCAGGAAGCUUUAAAAGAUCCAAAGUGGAAAGCGGCUAUGAAUGAUGAAAUGAGAUCUCUUCAGAAAAAUCAAACAUGGGAACUAGUUGAUCUUCCACCAGGAAAGAAACCAAUGGGUUGUCGAUGGAUCUACACUAUAAAAUACAAAGCAGAUGGCUCUAUUGAACGAUACAAAGCAAGACUCGUAGCUAAGGGUUACACCCAAACCUACGGGAUUGAUUAUACUGAUACGUUUGCACCGGUAGCAAAAAUUAAUACUAUUCGUAUCUUAUUAUCAUUAGCAGUCAACUUGGAUUGGCCAGUGCAACAGUUCGAUGUAAAGAAUGCUUUCCUCCAUGGAGACCUGUCUGAAGAAAUUUAUAUGGAUCUGCCACCAGGAUGCAGUGGACCAGAACGACUCAAUCAGAAAGUAUGCAAAUUGAAGAAAUCAUUGUAUGGGUUGAAGCAAUCCCCAAGAGCAUGGUUCGGGAAAUUCACGAAGGCUAUGGUUCGUUUUGGGUAUAACCAAAGCAAUUCAGAUCAUACCUUAUUCAUUAAAAAACGACAAGGUAAAAUCACUGCCCUUAUUGUCUAUGUGGAUGAUAUGGUAGUUACAGGCAACGACGAGGAAGAAACAAAGGCUCUUCAGAAGUACUUGUCAAGAGAGUUUGAGAUGAAGGAUUUAGGUGCCUUAAAAUACUUUCUUGGAAUUGAGGUUUCUCGAUCUAAGGGAGGAAUCUUUCUGUCUCAAAGGAAAUAUGCCUUAGAUCUAUUGCACGAAACGGGAAUGACAGCUUGUCAGCCUAUUGACACCCCAAUAGAAGAAGGACUGAAGUUUUGUAUUACUUCAGACCAAGUUCCAGUAGACAAAGGAAGAUAUCAAAGGCUGAUUGGAAGAUUGAUGUACUUGUCCCACACAAGGCCAGAUCUUGCUUAUGCAUUGAGUGUUGUAAGCCAGUUUAUGCAUAAUCUCGGAGAACAACACAUGAAAGCAGUAAUGCGGAUCCUGAGGUACCUGAAGACAAAUCUAGGAAAAGGAAUCUUAUUUUCCAAAAAUGAAGAUUACAGCAACAUAGAAGUUUAUACUGAUGCAGAUUGGGCCGGGUCAGUUAGUGAUAGACGCUCUACUUCAGGAUACUUUACCUUUGUGGGAGGAAACCUUGUCACAUGGAGAAGCAAGAAACAACAUGUCGUUGCCCGUUCGAGCGCUGAAGCAGAAUAUCGAGGCAUGGCCCUUGGGAUAUGUGAAGGGCUAUGGAUAAGUUUUAUCUUAAACGAUUUGGGCUAUCCAUCACAACAACCAAUACAACUAUACUGUGACAACAAAGCUGCACGAGAUAUUGCUCAUAACCCAGUUCAACACGAUCGAACAAAACAUGUGGAGGUAGAUAGAUUUUUCAUCAAGGAGAAAUUAGAUGAAAAAAUCUUAGAAUUGCCGAAAAUUCGAUCAGAAGAUCAACUUGCAGAUAUUUUAACGAAGGCCAUUUCAAGCAGGGCAUUUACAAAAUUCCUAGACAAGUUGGGUAUGCAAGACAUCUAUGCACCAGCUUGAGGGGGAGUGUUGAGAAUCAAAUAAAACGGCAUUGAAUGAAGCUUUCAAAGACAGAAUCUGCACUUGUCAAAGGGGUAAUCUGCACUUGUCAAAGACAAGAUCCGCGCCGAACGGAUUGACACAUUUCCUUCCGUAUUCACAUAUGUAAUCUUUGAAAAAAUGUAGCUUCUGCAUCUAUAAAUAACUCUCAAUGUAUAAUGCUUUAUUUAAGAAAUGAAAACACGUUUCUUCACCUUUCUUUCUCACAAAACGGAACCAUGGUUGCUAUUGGAGAGAUCUUACUCAACGCCUUCUUUCAGGUGUUGUUUGAUAGGUUGGCUUCUUGUAAUUUUCUCAGCUUUGUGCGUCAACUCCAAGGCGGGGUUGAUUUGGAACUCAAAAAGUGGGAGAAAAAGCUGAAGAUGAUUCAGGCUGUGCUCUACGAUGCAGAGGAGAAGCAACUGAUCGACGAGGCUGUGAAGACGUGGCUGGACGAACUCCAAGACUUGGCUUAUGACGCUGAGGACAUUCUUGAUGAGUUUGCUACUCAAGCUUUGGAAAGCGAGUUGAUGGAGCAAAAUCAGGAUAGCUCUGGCCAGCUUCUUAGUUUCAUCCCAGCUAGUUUGAGUCCGAAUGCUAUUAUGUUCAAUUAUAGCAUGGGGUCCAAGAUUAAAGAUAUUACUAGCCGGUUGGAGCACCUCGGCCAAGAAAGAAUUGAACUUGGUCUGCAACGGAUUACUGGAGGGGCAUCAUCAUCUACUGCUGCCGCACACCAGAGGCCACCCAGUUCGAGUGUCCCAACAGAACGUGAAGUAUUUGGAAGAGAAGAAGAUAAGGCCAAAAUUCUUGAUAUGGUUUUGGCCGAUACCCCAAGUGAUCAUGCCAAAUUUGUUGUAAUACCCAUUGUUGGCAUGGGCGGAAUAGGAAAAACAACUCUUGCUCGGGAGGUCUACAAUGACAAGGCGUUGAAGAUUCCAAGUUUGAUGUAAAAGCAUGGGUUUGUGUCUCUGAUGUCUUUGAUGUUUUGGUCAUCUCAAAGGCACUUCUGGAGUCAAUCACCCGCAGGCCUUGUGUUCUAAGCAAUUUAAAUGAAGUGCAGGUUGAGCUGAAAAUAGUUGUGGAUAAAAAAAGAUUUCUACUGGUCUUAGAUGAUGUUUGGAACGAGGACUACAGCUUGUGGGUAGACUUAAAAGCUCCUUUCAUGGCUGCUGCACCAAACGGUAAAAUGAUCAUCACCACACGCAAUUCAAAUGUUGCAUCAAUAAUGGGACCAAUUGAACAUUACAAUCUCAAGAGUCUGUUAGAUGAUGAUUGCUGGUCCAUUUUCAUACAACAUGCACUUGAAUCUAGAGAUCUUAACGCAAAUCAAAUUUCAGAAUCAUUCCGCAAGAAAGUUGUUGGCAAGUGUGGGGGCUUGCCCCUGGCAGCAAAAACACUAGGGGGCCUUCUGCGUACUACGAGGCAUGAUGCAUGGGACGAUAUAUUAGAUAGCAAAAUAUGGGAUUUACCUCAACAAAGUGGCGUUCUCCCUGUGUUAAGAUUGAGUUACCACCAUCUUCCGUCUCAUUUGAAAAGAUGUUUCGCUUAUUGUGCAAUCUUUCCAAAAGAUUAUGAAUUCAAUGAGAAGGAGCUGACUUUCUUAUGGAUGGCUGGAGGAAUUAUUCGACAGUCAAGAAAGAAUGAGCAGCUGGAAGAUUUGGGCGGCAAGUGCUUUCAUGAUCUAGUGUCAAGGUCAAUUUUUCCACAAACCAGCUCGGGUAGUUCUAAAUUUGUAAUGCAUGACCUUAUCCAUGAUCUUGCUGAACUGGUUUCUAGAGAAACCAUUUUCAGAUUAGAGGAGGCCAACUUGUCAUCAAGAAGAUUUGAAAGGAUCCGCCAUGCUUCCUAUACCCGUGGUUGGUAUGAUGGUAAAAAUAAGUUCAAGGUUUUCAAUGAAAUUGAACAUCUACGAACAUUCCUACCAUUACACGAAAGACGAGGAUAUUACAUACCUCGAACGGUUCUAUCUGAUUUGCUGCCAAAGUUCAGAAGGUUGAGAACGCUAUCUUUACAAGGAUACUGUAUUGGUGAGUUACCAAUGUCAUUUGAAGAUCUGAGACUUUUAAGGCUCCUCAACCUUGCUGACACUGACAUAAGAAGUUUACCUGAGUCAACAUGCACAUUGUUGAACUUGGAAAUUUUGAUAUUAAGAAAUUGUUCCCGUUUGAUAAAGCUUCCGCCCAAAAUGAGGAAUUUGAUCAAUUUACGCCAUCUCGAUAUAAGAGGUGCGAAGUUGCUGAAGGAGAUGCCGUUCGGAAUGAAGGAGUUGAAGAAUCUUUUACAAGUUUGGAAGAUUUAAAAUGUUUAAACUUUCUUUGUGAUGAACUCUGCAUGAGUGGAUUAGAGAAUGUGAAUAAUCCACAGAAUGCAAGAGAAGCCACAGUAUGCGAGAAGCACAAUCUUGAAGCAUUGACUCUAGAUUGGGGGUCUCAAUUUGACAAUUCUCGAGAUGGAGUAGUAGAAGAGCAUGUACUGGAAAUUCUACAGCCCCAUAAAUGUAUAAAAAAGGUGGCAAUCAGGAACUAUGGUGGUGCAAGAUUUCCGCAUUGGAUCGGAGAUCCUUCGUUCUCCAAGAUGAAGGUCCUUAAAUUGGAGAACUGUCACAAUUGUGUAUCGUUGCCGUCGCUUGGCCUGUUGAGUUCACUUAAGCACCUUGCUGUUAAAGGGCUGAAGAAACUAAAAAGCAUAGAGUCUGAGGUUUAUGGGGAGGGUUUCUCAAUGCCUUUUCCAUCACUGGAGAUUCUAAGUUGCGAGAAUUUGCCAGAAUGGGAGCAUUGGGAUACCGAGAUCAAAGGAAAUGUGCCUGUUGAUAUAUUUCCUCGUCUCCAAGAACUUUCCAUUGCAGAAUGUCCCAAACUCUCUGGACAACUGCCUGAGCUCCUGCCUUCCUUGGAGACACUUGUUGUUAGUAAAUGUAAAAAGUUGGUAGUUCCAUUGUCUUGCUAUCCGAUGCUCUGCAGAUUAGAAGUUGAUGAGUGCAAAGAACUAGUCUGCCGGACUCCGAUUGAUGUUAAGUUGAUAAAGUCCAUGACUAUUUCAAAUAGUUCAUUAGACCUGAAUGGAUGUAAGGGGAUGCUAUACGAUGGUCCAGCUGGCUCUUCACUGCCAAAGCCCAUGACUACUACAAAUGUUUUGGAGUUUGGAAAAUUAUUGAAGCCUGGAUUUCAGAUAUUCGAAACUUUGGUAAUUGGCAAUUCUGAACAGCUCAAGUCAUGGAGGCAGCAUGGGGAUUUUCCUAAAAAAUACAUGGUCACUGACCAUAGGUUUAAGAAACCAGUACCAGGGCUGAAUAUGCUCGCUUCCCCUGAAGAGGUAAAAAUUGAAGAAAGCUGCGUAAGUCUUGUUUUGUUUCCAGAGAUCAAUUUUUUUCCCAGAAAUCUACGCUCUCUUCUAAUUAAAAACAGCACAACUUUAAAAUCCUUACCCGAGGAAAUGAUGGCAACAAUUCACAACUCGAAAGGUUGUAUAUCAGAGAUCGCGACUGUCUAACAUUCAUCGCAAGACGGAGGCUACCGGCAUCUCUUAAAAGGCUUGAGAUAGAAAAUUGUGAGAAAUUGCAACGUCUGUUCGAUGAUGAAGAGGAUGCUUCUUCUUCUUCUCCUGCAUCCUCGUCGUCCCCAGUGAUGCUGCAACACCUGAGUAUAGAGAACUGCCCAGAGCUCACCAGUUUAUCAUCGGGUGUCCAAUUCCUUGAGGCGCUUGAAUUCCUCGAGAUACGGGAUUGCCCAAAGCUGGAGUCAAUACCGGAUGGCCUGCCCAAUCUUAAAUGUUUACAGAGCAUUUAUAUAUGGAAAUGUCCAAGUCUUGUUCCUUCCCAGAAAGAGGGCUUCCCAACACGAUUUCAAGGGUUGGCAUUGGCGAAUGUGACAAGCUCGAAGCCUUGCCCAAUGAUUUGCACAAAAUCAACUCUCUUCGAUAUUUAAGCAUACAGCUGUGUCGAAAUCUUGUAUCGUUUCCAGAAGAAGGUUUUCCUACCAGUCUAACAUCACUUAGAAUUGGAGAUUUCAAAAUGUAUAAGACCCUCGUCCAGUGGGGGUUGCACAGGCUUACCUCUCUUAGACGCCUCUAUAUCGUUGAUUGUGAUGACGAAGCAGAGUGUUUUCCAGACGAGGAGAUAGGAAUGACGCUGCCCACCUCUCUCACUGAUCUGUACUUAUCGGGAUUCCAAAAAUUGAUAUCCCUGUCUUCGACGGGUUUUCAGAGCCUCAACUCUCUUCAAUAUUUGUUGAUCGCGGGUUGCCCAAAUCUCACAUCAUUUCCAGAGGUGGGCCUUCCAUCCUCACUUUUGGGAUUAUUCAUUUUCAAAUGUCCAAAGCUUAAAAGAGCGUGCAAAAGAGAUCAAGGAAAAGAGUGGCCCAAAAUUGCUCACAUCCCUUGCGUUGAGAUAGACGAAAAAUUCAUAUACGAUCCCGAAUCAGAGGAGUAGAUUUCUGUUAUCCAUUAAAAACGAUCUCCUAUUAGUUUUAUUUUUUAAAUAAUAAUUUUGCAGUUCUGUUUUCUGUAUAAUUAUAAAUCCUCUGCCGUUAAUUAUUGACAAUGUCACUCACGUGAUUCCGUCUUCACUAAUCAGACUGUAUGUUGAGGCUAUUUGCUUUUUAAUCAAAGAUUAAAUUAUAACAUUUAUCUUAAAAUUGAAUAUCAUAGACAGAUAGACGAUUUUUAAAUCCAAAGUUUUUUGAUCCACUUCAAUUAGCAUUUAUUUUUUCCCCCAAAACAGGCAAGCCGAGAGUUUCAAUCAAGAAUUGGAGGAUGUGAAUGGGAUUUUUGUGAAAACAUAAUGGAUGAACGAACAUUUCAUCUGUGAUCUCAAAGUCAACAGAAUUUUAUUUACUCAUUGACUUUUCAACUCCUGUGGUUAUUUAUGGGUGAAAGAUAAGGGCAAUUACAAGAAAUUUGCAAACUUUGUCAACUUCUUUUAAUUGUACCAAUUUGUCGUUUAUGUUUUAGUUUUAUUUUUUCAGUUUUGUUUAUUGCUUAGAUGGUAGAUAUAUCGACAUUUUAGAUUUCAGAUAUUUGUCACCAGUUUCAUUCCCUUUUUUUUCGUUUUUUUAAGCUAGUUUGACUAAUUUUAACCAGAAUUAGAGCAGAAUAUUUUGGAGCGAGCAUACUUGAAAUGAUGCUUUUUAAUUUUGAUCUAGUAAAAAUACAUAGCCCUCACCGGCAGAAUUCUAGUCCCUACCGGGAUUCAAGAAAUUGAAAUUUCUGUCUUCAACGGGUUUUCGAAGCCUGACCUCUCUUCGAUUUUUGUGGAUCGGGAAUUAUAAAUUUACAGUUGUCAGAAGCUUGAAAAAGUGCGCAAAAGAGAUCGAGGAAAAGAAUAUUUCUCUGUUUAGUGAAGGAUGAAUGCUUGGAGUGGAGUAUUUGGUAACAUUUCUGUUUAGUUAAGGAUUUUGAAAUUAAUGAUGGUAAGAUGUGUACUUAUUCUUUCUUCCAGACAACCUUGCCUUCUUUCUUCGGUAGCAUAUCUAAUGAAUAUUUCUCUGUUUAGUUAAGGAUGAAUGCUUGCAGUGGAGUAUUUGGUAACAUUUCUGCCGUAGAUGAAUCCUUGAAGAAAUGCCUGCACUUCCUGAGACCAAAUACAGGUCUGAUUCAAAACAACACCUGUCCCAGAAAAUAUGAUACAAGGCAAAGCCAUGUUCUGAUAAUGUUUCCUUAAGUACAAAGUUGCAAGGAAACUUGAUUCAUUAACUACAAAUUUUUAUUUUUAGGACCUUGCAUCUGAAAGGUUCAGUGUAAUUUUUUUUUUUCAAUUUAUUGCUCAGAUCUCAGACGAGUAUAUGGUUUAGAUUACAAAACACUUACGAUUAAUUUCAUUUUUUUUUAUUUCAGGGAGAAGAAGUGGUCAGUUUCAAUCCAGAAUUGGAAUAUGGCAAUUUGGUGCAAGCACAAAUACCUGGUCACUUCGUCAGUGAACCUGAACUUUACUGAACUUUACACAGUUUUUUCAACUCAGUGAUUUUUGGAACGCAUAUUGGUGUAAGGAAAUCAAACGAAAUUUAUGCAUAGUCAAAUUCUGAUAUUUGCUAUAUUUUAUACAUUCUAAAGUUUCUCCAGUUUGUUCUCAGAUUACCAUCACUUUUUGCCUUCACCAAAAAAAAAUAUAUAUAUAUUUGAGUGGCUUUCCGGUGGAUAUUUAAUCGGAGGCAUGACUGGAUUUUUUUUCACUUCUGUAGAUCUUGCAUUUUAAACUGGCAAAUUUAACUUUAAUUUCAAUACGACUUUGUUGGUGCCUUCUGUUCCAGGAGCUAGAAAGAUGUGUAGUUUUCAGAUAAAGGGGCUUGUGAAUUCUCUAGUAAGAAUCCAAUAAUUUGCUUUUGCACGUUCAUUUUAUUUGUAGAUCCUUGCAUCUGAAUUUGAUCAAUCCAAAAGGAACUGCUUUUAGAGGGAAGAAGAAUAGCAGUACCUAUUCGAUGACAUAGUGUAUGGACCCUCACAUGUUAACUUUCAUGAAAAACACAUUUAAGAAAUUUGCAACUUUUUGGUUAGUUAUGUAUCCAAUGUUGUUUUCUGUUUUAGCAUUUGUAGAAUCUACUGUAUUAUAUUUUGGCAGCUACAGUAUCUGAGGUAUCUUUUGCAUUUAACUUGCUUUAUAUGUUUUGUCUGUGACUUAAGAACACCAAUAUUUGCCAGAGAUUUAGAGAAGCAUAUCAAGAUGCUUGGCUAACUUGACAAACUUCAAGAUCCUUCAUUCUUCACAAUGCAAAACUUGUGAGUACACUUAUGCCCGCAAUUAUUGUGAAAUGCUUGCAAUUUUGAUGCAGCGAAAUGGUUUGUUGAUGCAAAGGUUUGAACUUUUAAGGUUUACCCUGCAGGGUAGUUGGAUGCUGUAUACUCGAAAAGCCACCAACAUCAAGAACUAUACCUCCAAGACUGGGUUUGCAUUAAUUCAAUCAGCUGAAAUAAUGAUGCAAAGGACACUAUCAGCUGGACUUAGAGACCAGUCAGAUCAAUUAUCCAUUUUAUCAACAGUUAAUGUCAUCAUGGUGGCUAUUAGAGGAAACAGAGGAUGUGUCGGAAUCAAUAUGAACAGUGAGAAGAAUGAGAGGAGCUUUGAUUAUAAAUUGGCUCAAUGAACUCAUGCUGGUAAGUGGUAAUUAAAGAAAUUUGUGCGCUUAGCAGAGUUUCAAUAUUUUCUGUUUGGGAUAUAGUUGAUAAGUUGAUACUCUGAUUAAUAAGCCUGAUUAUAGUAGCUGACUGUAUUAACCAGGUUCUUUUCUUUCUUUUUUUUUUGGUGGUUUGCUGUUGUUUUGAUUAUGCUGUAACUACAAGGAAGAGCCGGACUUGGAUGCAGGCGUUCAGCUUUUAAUGGUUAAGAACAAAUGUAUGCUUUAACCAUGUUUCUCACUUAUUACAAUGUACGCAUUGAAGGCAUCUGAGCUGAUCCUGAAAAUGUCAUGGAAAUACUUCUCUGUUUACAUAAAACAGGACAAAUAGAGAUCUCUGAUCAUGCCUGAGAAUUCGUUGCAUUGAAAUUUCUACCAUUGCCAAAAAUAGAAUAAACUAGGGAUACAUUAGCGUAAGACUCAAUUUUGAGAAGGAAGUUUGUACUUGCAGCCUAAAAAAUCAUGUCUUUGUUGUAUACUUGUAUGUUUCUUUGGGAAAUGAAAGAUUCUGUGUUCUUUUAUUUCAAGUUUGCUGAAAUCACAUUUGUUUUCUUAGAUGCUUUCCAGAAGGUAACAGCAUCAAUUUCAAAAAUGCUGGGGUAAUAUGCAUCACGCAGUGCUACUCAACAUGAGAAAUCCUGGCUGCAUUAACUGUAUGUUGAGUGAUCGCACAGUACAACCUUGAGAAGCUUGUAAGGAGUAGACAACUAGAUGCGAGUAGUUUCAAUAUGGAUUCGCAUCAAAUGAUUUCUUGCCACUGAUUACCAUAACUUCUAUCCCAAAAUUCUGGGAACUGGUCAUACCAGCUAUGAAGUAUUGUAUACGUUGAAGAGCUCAAGGCCUUGCAAAAGCUCCGUCAGCCUUUGUAUUGGCAAACAGAUGGUUGUAGUUGCUUCUGAAUGAUAUGAUUAAUAGAUUCUGUAAAAAUGAAUUGUGCUAUACGCUUUCAGAGUUCUGUUAAGAUGUCUUGGUAGUUUUUGAUGCUUGUUUGAUUUAUAUUGCAUUCAGCUAUAAAUCAAAGGUUCAGAACACGAGUAUGUUGCUGAUUUCCAAAUAGAAAAAUUGCCUUGUGAUGUUAGUGUCCAUUGUUUUCACAGGAGAUCAGGUUCCUUGUUAUUGAAUCAAGAAGGCAAACGCAUCCAUGUCUGAGUUCAAUUGUGUCCCUUCUAUUUUCUAUUACUGACUCAUUUAUUUUGAUUUCUUCAUUGUGAUUGAAUUGGUUUUUUAUUCCAAAUUAGUCAAAACCUCAUAGAGUUAUUAAGUUCCGUUAGCAUUCAGAACUACGUACCAAAUGAUUAACAGGAUUAAAUUACAAUAAAGAAUUAAGUUCUUUAUUGUAAUUGAAUUUGCUUUCUCAUGUUUAGAGAUAUUAUGUUCUGGUUAGGGGUGAUUUCUUGAAGAGUCAAUCCAUUUGUGUUUAUACAUUUUUCUAUUGCCUUGAUUUCUGUUUUCUGGGGAGUUUAUACAGAUUCUUAUUUUAUGCUUCACAUGCCACAUGAAAGAUCAAAGCCUUCUGUCUGAACAUAAUAUACGUAGAAAGUUAAAUUUAUUUAUUUAUAAGCAUGUCCCAGUGCCCAGUGGCAUCCUCUUAACUUGUGAUAGUCAAAUGUAUUAUACGAUACAAUAUCAGCUUGACUUUAGCAUAGAGGAGAAUAGGGUUGGUGUUGGACUGAAUUCUGAUCCUUGAAUAAAUAUAACAGCUGCCUGAACCAGCUUAUUUGACUCCACAACUUUAUACUUGUUUUAUAGUCUAUGCCUACCUCCAUCGUCGGCAGCUUACAGUCUCUUUUAGCAUUUUAAAAAGUUUCAUGAUAUUCCAUAGUUCGCAUGGACUGCUACAAUUUAGAGAAACAUAAUUACGGCAUAUUUAAUUACCACGCGAGGAGUCUUCUUUUUUGCGCACCAAUAAUUCUUUGUACUUAAUUAGAAGAUGAGAAAUCCUUUAGCCGAACCACGAACUCACCUAUUAGUGGGGUUUUUUCCGCUUGCAUUCAGUCGCUCAAGUGAAAAUUGCGUGCAAUUUUUUCCUCAACUAAAAUUGGAAUAGAUAUUUUGUUAUUGCUGGCACAAAUUUUCCUUUAAGUCAAAUUGGAAUAGAUGUUUGUGAGAUGCCUAGACCUGAGAUUUUGUUAUGAUUAUAUGCAUUAAAGCUUUCGGUAGACCCUUGAAAUCUUAUGAUCAAUGUAUUAGAAAUUUAGAAUUGGGGUUUAUAAGAGCUAGUUUGACCAUGUUAUAACUUUUAAAAUUAUUGUUGCUAAUUGUGUUAUAGAAAUAAUUAAUCAGUUGUAAAAAUAAUUAGUUAAACAUUUGGUAAAUUUUAUUUUUAAAAGUGUUAGGAGUUUUAAAAGCAGACGUACGUACUUAGUAAAUCUCACUUUUAAAAUAUUAUAAGAAUGCAAAAGGUUUAAAUAUAUAUAAAUCUAUACAAUUUAUUUACACAUGCAUUUAUAGAUACAUGUAUAUAUAAUAAUUGAUAACUAAAAUAAAGAUUUUUAUUUUAUUAAUUUUUUUUGUUAUCUAAAAAAAGGUAAUAAUAAUAUCUUUAAUGACGUAUUUAUUAAUCAGUAAUCGGAAUGGACUGGAAUCAAAAUGGAGGAAUGGAAAUCGGAAUAAAUUGUUUACUUUAACUAUCAAUAUUGGAAUCGCAAUGAACUGUAUUAUCACUUAUAUAUUUAUUUUAUCUGAGAAUCAGAAUGGAUUGAUUUAAAUUACUAGACAGACCUUAUUAUUAUUAUUAUUAUUAUUAUUAUUAUUAUCAUCAUUAUUAAAUAAGGUAAAAAGGAAUUUUCAAUUUUUACUGAAGUAAAAAUAUCAAUUCACUUCUCAUUUUCAGCCCUAGGGAAUGAGACUCCCAUUCCACAUUCUAGAAUUUAUAGAGUCCACUCAAAUUUUCAUUCCCAUUCCCCCUCCUUGUUUUGCAAGUAAACAAGUUAAUAAUCCUAUUCUCUCAUUUCUACUCCCAUUCUCAUUCUCAAGUACUAACACAUCAAGGUAUUCGGUUCGGUUUUUGCCCAAUAGAACUGAAAUUAUUCGGUUUGGUUUGAUUUGGUUUAAUAUAAAAAGCCAAAGGGUUUAUAUUUUUAUGAACCAAAUGGUUUGUAUUUGAUUCAAUUCUAAAACUGAACCGAAAGCACAAACCAAUCGGUUCACGUAAUUUUAAUUAUUUUUAGAAAAAGAAAAACCAAAACUAAAUCGUAGAAUGUGAAUCCCUAAAAUCUAAAUCCCUAAUUCUCCUAACUAACUAAAACUAAUCACAGAACAACACAACCACAACAACCUAGCAAGCGCAGCGGUAGCCCCUCGAACCACGCUCACUCUCAAGUAUAGCAUGACAAUAGGGCUCUCUCAUGCAAUGAUAGGUAAUUUCUUAGUUUAGAAGGGAAAGUAAGAGAAACAGAGGAAGAAUAUAAGUUGAUUAAAAGGGAAAAGUCAAUUCUUAUUCCAAAAACUUGCUUAGUGCAAGUUCAAUAGGGUCUCUUAAAUAGACCUAUACAUAUAAUAAAAACUAGAAAAGACGAAAAUCACUUGAAAAUAAAAAGCAUGAUCACUUAAAUGGUAAACAUACAUAACCGCCAUGAGCUACAUGCAACCUAAGUCAAAUAAUCAACUGAAGAAACUUGAUCCCCAUGCAUAUUGAGCACAUACCAUUCCCCACCCUUUAGAAACACCUUGUUGGUGCGGUUAAAGUGAGGGUGAGCCUUUGAGAAUCACCAACAGUUCCAACGAGUGUCCUCAAUUGCUGCUCCUAUCCCUAUAACCAGUAUUGAGUUGUACGAAUGGCACAUGAUCUUCAAUCAUGAAUAGUUGCAGCUUUUAACAACAGUGUGAUACAAACUAAUAAAAAUAAUAAAAAUUAUUUAUUUUAUUUUAUUGUAUUAGUUAAUUUUGAACUAGUCAAAACUAGUUGCCCUUAUUUUGUGGAACUACAUGUAAUUAGUGGAGCAUUAUGUGAGAACAUGCUUAGUGUUACUAAUUUUUAGGUUGUAAUCCUAAAUAAACUUUUAUUAUAUAAAGCUUAAUGUUACUCAAUAAAAAGGAUCAUGAGUUUAUUAUUUUGGCAACAUAAAAGUUGUAAUUGGGAGUUUAUUGGUUUCUCGAAUAACCAAUACUUAUUUGGAGGUUUGGAUUUCCUUGAAUUAACUCCAUUUGUCAUCUAAUUUUUCUAUUUCAUUUGAUUUCUCCUUAUAAACUUUAGUGUUCGUAUCACAGUGGCCAAGAAUAAGUUUCUCGUCACAAUAAUAACACAACCCUUUUCCACGAUGAGCAUGUGCUUCUUAGUUAGAUAGUUGCUGGAUAUGAGGGGAAGCGAUGUCAUCGGCUAUUUAAUCAACCUUAGGAGGUGGACCUAAGACUCUAACAAAGCUAUUUGGGGUUGGUUGCUAUAUCACCAAAAUAGAGGGUGGUAGAGAAAAGUGACUAGUGCAUUGAGAAAGUGAAUUUCGCUCCUCAAUCAGUCUUGUCACACCAAUGGUGUUAGCCAAGGUAAAGGGCUAUUUAAUCUUGACAUCUAGUUGUAUCUCAUCCUGAAGACCUACAAUAAAACAACCAAUUAAAAAACAUUCGAGUAAGCCAUCAACCUAAUAUAAAAGCUUUUCAAAAGUUUAUUGAUAUUAAGCUAAUAAUGGAAGUCUAUUUCAGGUGCAUCAAAGCCUUAGAUGGGUCCUCAUAAUCCAUUAGUUCGAAUCGUAGAAGGACUGUUGUUGAUGCUGAAAUCUGCUCGCCCUCUACCCAACCAAAUCAUUCCACCAACAUUUGUGUAUGCAAUGGAGAGAAUACUGCCCUUUUGCCUCCUUCAGCAACUGCGGAUGCUCCAGGGGUUGGAAUCACCUUUUUCCCUUCUUUCUAAUCCUGCACUCACAGAGAUAGAUCAGAGACGCCGGUGGUUUUACCAGCAUAAACCCUCCAAUACUUAAGUUAGCACAAGGUGUUUUACGGGAAAACUAUGUAACUUGGAUUGUUUGGUUUCUCGUAAUGCUUUCUAAAACUUGUAAAGAAUAUAAUCUGGUUUCAAUUUGGCAGAGUUUUCCUUUUUCUCUCAAUUUUUCCAUCCCUUUUUUCAUUGGUUUCCCGGCUUCUUGUAACCGUUGUCCCACGUUCCUAUCUACUCCUCAUGCCCCCCCUUUUAUCGGGUGAUGGCAGGCCUUCAUGGCCUCCAACCACUGGAUUGUGGGUAAACAUGGGAUGACAUGUCCCUCUUGACGGUUUGGGGCAUAGCGAAACUACCGCAUUUUCGUGAGAUCGUGUGCCCCUUGUUUGGGUGAUGGGUAUCUGGUUGGUAUAUGUCUCUAGUCGGUACAUUCCUCUGGUCGGUGCUCGUCUCUAGUAGGCCCACUUUUGUAUGAGGCGUUUUACCAGGGCUCUUUUUGUGCCGCUCAGUUGAGGUGAUUCACCUCGGGGUGGGAAAUGAGGGCAUGGCUGAGCUGGUGCUCUUUAUUACUUAAUACCAGUCCCCUAGUUUCUGGUCUUGCGAGUGAAAUGAGUUGAGAUUAGAAACUAAGAAUCGGAUUUUAUCGACCCCGGGAAAUUCCUAUCUGGUCUUCGUGUUAUUGUGAUGGACCUGAGGUUCUGCCUUUUGUUUAGGGAGAUUUUUUAUCUAAGUAUGGGCCUUUGUGAGCAUGUCCAAUAUAUAGCUGGGCUAACAUCUCGUCAGGCCUUUUAUAACGGUCAGUGACGUGUCGUUUCUCGUCCUUUCAUAUUUGAAAUUUGAAACGACGGCUUAUCUGCCCUCGAUAUACGGCGAGUGAGCUAGCACCCGUAUAACUUAAACGCUUCCAUUUCCCUAUUUCAUUUCAAAUCCCUAAAUUGAAGCUGUCAUUGCGUUUCACUAUCCGCCAUUUCACUGUAAACUAAGUCCCUCUUUGGACUUCAAUCACACUUUUUGCGUCCGAAACCUCUAUUUGCUGGGUCCUCUCUCCGUCACAGCAGCACUACCAGUGCCAGUUUAUUCUAGGUAUCACUUUUAACUUCUUCGCUGGUUGUUGUUGAUUGGGUUCUGUGUUGCCCCUUUUUGUACCCAUACACUCGGAUUUACUGUGUUUUCCUUUUUGAGUUUUUGAUAUGUCAAACCGAAAGGGGAAACUAAUUGUAGAUGAGAGUGAUGAAGAGGUGGGGGACUCAUACCCCAACCUGUUUGGGCCUAAUGACCCCUUAUCAUCUUCUCGUAGUAUAAGUCUUUCCCAUCAUAGGGAUACCCUAGAGUAUCCUCAUCGCGUGACCACUUUGCCUUCCCCUGAAUUAGAACCCGUGGGAAACCGUGGUGGUUCAGCUUCUUGCUCUGGUGAAAAUCACAGUUCUGAGGGCUGGGGGGGUCCCUGGAAAGUGGGUGAAGGUAAGGAGAGUAGCUCCGAGCCGAGCAGACCCUCUAAGAAGAGAAACUUUGGUCAUAUGAUGGCGGGAGAUGCUUAUCCCAUUGACUAUAUCACCUGUGUUACCACCCACACUGACCUACUCAAGUUUAGAAACCUCUACCAUAUCCCUGAGGUGGUUCUUCUUUUAAUCCCUGGGAAAGGUGACUUCCCCAGUCGGCCUCCAAGGGGAUAUGUCACGAUGGGCACGAUUACCCCUUCAACCUUACUUUGCUUGGAUACUGGGUGGUAUGCAUCUGGCUCCAGGUCAGCUUCACCCGAAUGGGUGGAGGGUUCUCUCAGCCAUGUAUGUGCUAUGGAAAAAGUGUGGACUUGAGGAGCCUUCUCUUGAGGAAGUGAAGCAUUUAUACCAGCUGAUGAGCUUUCCAAGGGAAGCAGGUUGGUACUACUUCAUGUCAAGCUCUGCAAAGAGGAAGCCUGUCACCGACUUUCCUUCUUCCUGUAAAAAUUAGAAGAACAAAUUCUUCUUUGCUGGAGGAAAUUGGUGUCCAACAAUUCAUUCGCUUAGUGGUGAUAUUCACCUCCCAACACAUUUUGUCACCCCAGGUCGUUAAUUUUUCUGCAUACUUCACUUCUCUAAUCGUUACUUAUCGAGUUCCUUAACCUUGUUUGUUCUUUCAGAAUUGUGGGGUUUGAUCAAGAAACUUGACGAUAGACCACUGCUCCAGGUGGAAAUGGCUCUGGUGAACGCGUCUACCUGUCACGAUCUCAUAUCGUUAAUAAAUCUUGUCGGGUUGCACUUAGUGGACGUAGCUAUUGGGAUGGACAACAAGAUCCUCAGCGCUAUGUCUAAGAAACACACUUUGGGUUCAGGUAGCUCCAGCAACCUCCCUCCUCCUUUGAAGAAAGUCAAUGUUGGUUCCUCCAAGGCUUCUGCUCCUGCUCUGCCCCCUCCUUCACCUCGGAAGAAUGGUAGGGAGAAAGUUAGUGACAAGAGCCCCGAGGUCAGCAUUCAAUUUGGAGACCGAUCCUCUCCUCUACCGCCUCGGGACCAGGGUGACUAUCUGACCCUGUACCAGAGAGAUUACAACAAGUCGAUGGGACCAAAAAUGGUCAAGGACAUUGAAAGCAUGAACCUCAGCGAGCUAGGUGGUUCAGUUCAAAUGGUCUCCUUUAAGCUGGCUACUCUGGUUUCUUGCUACAAGAAUAGGUCUACGCGCCAAGAGAGGAGGCUUCAAGCUGAUAACGAGGACUUGAAGAAAAAGGCUAAUUCUGUUGAUCGCUCGAAGGAGAAGCAGAUUGAGCUACACAAGCAGAUCAUGGACCUGGAGGAGAAAGUGGCUAUUGCUGAGUCUAACUCCUCCAAGCUUGAGGGUGAGUUGGGUGAUCUAAAGUCCGAUCUCCAGGUUGCUCACAGUGAACGAGAUACUUUGAGGACGACCCUUGAGGAACAUAUUAGGUCCUUAGAUGAGCAGGUAGCCGAGCUGAAAGGCAAAUCUGUUGAGGUGGACAAUUGACUGGAUGCAGAAUAUAACUCUGGGCUCGCCUUUUGCUACAAGUGCAUCAUGUUUGUGCUUAAGGGAGAAUAUCCUGAGCUUGACAUGAGCAAGCUGGAGGCUGGAGUGCAGAAAUACAUGGCCGAGCCCGAUCAAGGGGAUAAGGAGCAGGGAGAGCAGGAUCAGGUGGAGGCUCCUUCAGAUGGGGUGCAGGAGAGGGAAACAGAGGAUUAUGCUCUUGAAACAGGUCAGGGGUCACUGCCUGCUCCCCCAGAAGUUGCUGGUCCACCUUUUAUCGAGGCUGCUGAACCUCAUAAUCCUUAGGCUUAUAUAUAUAUAUAUAUAUAUAAAUAUUAUUUUGUAUAAAUUCUAAACUCCCAUCUGUCUACAAAUGUUUGGAUGUUUAUAAACUUUGGAUGCUUUUUGUUUGCUUUCUUGCCAUGGUUUUGGUUGUGAAUCGUUUCUACAAGUUACCUUAACAAUUUUGAGUGACUUUGGCUGCUGGUCCUUUUGUCGUCCGAGCAGGAACUGACACUUGUUUGCCUUAGCGAAAUUUGUAAAACUUACAUUUCAGUUUUUCAAACGACUGAGCAGGAACUGGCGUUGGUUUGCCUUAACGAAAUUUUGUAAAAUUGCCUGCUGGUGCUUUAGGCGACCAAGCAGGAAUAGGCACUUGCUUGCCUUCAUAAAAUUUAUAGAUUUGCCUGCUGGUCCUUUAGGCGAUCGAGCAGGAAUAGACACUUGCUUGCCUUAAUAAAAUUUGUAGAUUUGCCUGCUGGUCCUUUAGGCGUCCGAGUAGGAAUAAACACUCGCUUGCCUUAAUAAAAUUUGUAGAUUUGCCUGCUGGUCCUUUAGGCAACCGAGCAGGAAUAUGCACUUGCUUGCCUAAAUAAAAUUUGUAGAUUUGCCUGCUGGUCCUUUAGGCGAUCGAGCAGGAAUAGGCACUUGCUUGCCUUACUAAAAUUUUUAGAACGAGGGAAUUUAUGCUGAAUUCAUCUUUAUUGAACUUUGCAUGGAUUACAAGAGGCGAGAUAUAGUCACGUGUAACAAUUCAUCAUGCUUUUAACAUAAAUAACUUAUUGAAAUAAAACUUGGUAAGGCAGUUUGCUUACUGGAAGUAUUUCUUCAAGUGCUUAGCGUUCCAUGAUCUUUUCACGUCUCGUCUAUCUGGGUAAAUCAGCUUGUACGCUCUUGGGCCAGUUAUUCAUACCACUCUGUAUGGGCCCUCCCAUUUCGGGCUAAGAACACCAUGAAUAGGAUCUCUUGUGCAUUGGUUCACUUUUCUAAAUACCCAAUCUCCUGCUCGGAACUGUCUCAUGCGAACAUUUUUGUUGUAGUAACGCAUGAUCCUUUGCUGGCAUUUGGCUGUUCUCUGCGAUGCCCCUUCUCUUUUUUCCUCCAGCAGGUUCAGGCUCAAGCAGAUCUGCUCGUCAUUUUGUUCUUUGUUGAAAUACUCUGUCCGAUAUGCCCCCACCCCAAUUUUUGCUGGGAUUACUGCCUCAUGACCGAAAGCUAAAGCAAACGGGGUUUCUCCCGUGGCCAUUUUGUGGGUUAUCCGGUAGGCCCAUAACACUCCUAGUAACUCGUCGACCUAAGCUCCUUUUUUUUCUCAUAGCCUGGUUUUCAAGAGUUUCUUUAUUACUUUGUUGGCUGCUUCCACCUGCCCAUUUGCCUUGGGGUGUGCUAGGGUACAAAACUUCAGGUCCACCCCUAAAUUUUGGCUAAAUUCUCUGAAGUUGUGAUUGUCAAACUGUCUCCUAUUGUCUGUAAUGACAGCAAUGAGGAUCUCCUAUCUGCAGAUGAUAUUCUUCCAAACAAAAUCCGUUAUCUUUCUCUCUGUGAUUUGACUGAGGACCCUUACUUCUACUCAUUUGGUGAAGUAGUCUAUAGCCACAAUUGCAUGUAUUACUUCUCCUCGGCCCUUGGGUAAUGGGCCAAUCAGGUCAAUUCCCCACUGAGCAAAAGGCCAUGGGGAUGACAUAGUGGUUAACCUUUCUGGGGGCUGAGCAGGGACUUCCGAGAAGCUCUGGCUGACUUUAUAGUUUUUUGCCAUCCCCGUCGCAUCCUGAUGCAUGGUCGGCCAGAAGUACCCUUGCCGAAGCACCUUGAAAGUCAAAGUUCUCGCCCCCGAGUGGUUGCUGCAUAUUCCUUCAUGAAUUUCCCUCAACACAUAAUUUGCUUCCUCGUCAUCCAAGCAUCUCAAAAGGGGCAAGGUGAAUCAUCGGCGGUAGAGUACCCCAUCGAGUAGCGUAUACCUUGCUGCCUGACAUUUCAACUUUCUUGCUUGCUUCCUGUCCUCUGGUAAGAUGCCCUCACGAAUGUAUAAUAGAAUGGGGUCCAUCCAGGAUUUUUCGAUGCUCACCUGCAUUACUUCUGCUUCCUCCCCUAUGCUUGACGAGGUUCUCACUUUUAGUGGAAUUGACUUGGGUAAUUUUGGAUCUGCAAUUGCGGCCAUUCUGACCAAUAUAUCUGCUCGGUAAUUCUCAUUCAGAUAUAUCUGCUUUAUUUCUAUCUCUUGGAAGAGCUCAACCAUCUGUUUUGCCUUCUUCAAAUAAAGCCCCAUCUUCUCUUCCCUCGCUUGGAAUUGAUCACUGAGCUGAUUACAGACUAAUUGGGAAUUUGCUCAGAUUUCUAUCCUUUUUGUUCGUAGUGCGUGUGCAAACCCCAGCCCAGUGAUGAAAGCUUCAUAUUCAGCUCGGUUAUUCGUAAGCUGAAAUUUAAAUUUCACUGCAUAAGAUACAUCGGCCCCUUCUAGGCUUCGUAUUACAAUUCCUGCUCCAGAUCCCUGUUUACUACGUGACCCAUCAAUUAUUACUAGCCACACCCCCUUUGAUUUCUCCUGCUUCACUGGUUGCUCCUCCCAAAUUUCCUCCCCUAAUUUAACACGGUCAACCAUAAAAUCGGUCAAGGCUUGGGCUUUGAUUGCUUCUCGGGGUUUGUAGGAUAGGUCGAAUUCGCUCAACUCCACGGACCAUUUACUAACCGACCAGAUGCAUCUAGUUUUAGAGCAUUUACCGAAGAGGCUGGUCAGUCAUCACAACUAUCGGGUGGGCCUGAAAGUAAGGUCUGAACUUGCGUGCUACUGUUAUUAAAGCUAGUGCCCAUUUCUCCAUUAGUGGAUAUCUGGUUUCUGCAUCUACCAGGGCCUUGCUAGUGUAGUACACAGGGUGCUGCUUUCCUUCCUCUUCUCUGACUAAUACCGAGCUGGUAGCCCAUUUAAAGACUGCCAAGUACAAAUACAGCUGGUCACCUUCUCCAGGAGUUGAUAGUACAAGGCGCGGGCUAAAUAUUCCUUCAGCUGCCCGAAUGCCUCCUCACAUUCUAACGUCCACUCCAUUUUCCUUCAAUUCUUUAUGAUUUGGAAGAAAUGGUGACAUUUAUCUGUGGCUCGCGAGAUGAAACGGUUCAAUGCUGCUAACUUCCCUGUAAGACUCCGUACCUCUUUAACUGUCCGGGGGGACUUCAUUUUUGUUACUGCCCGUACUUUUUCCGGGUUGGCCUCAAUCCCUCGAUGGCUCACCAUGAACCCCAAAAAUUUACCCGCGCUAACUCCAAAUGCACACUUUUCCGGAUUCAGCUUCAUCUGAUACUUCCUUAGCAGUUCAAAAGUCUCUUCCAAAUGCUUCACAUGAUCCUUCGGUUCCUUGGACUUUGUGAUCAUAUCAUCCACGUAUACCUCCAUAGUGUGACCGAUCAGUGGCUUGAAAAUCUUAUUCACCAACCUUUGAUACGUAGCCCCUGUGUUUUUCAGGCCAAAAGGCAUCACCUUGUAGCAAAAUAAACCCAUGUUAGUUAUAAAGGUGGUACUCUCCUCAUCUUGCUUGUUCAUGGGUAUCUGGUUGUAUCCCGAAAAGGCAUCCAUGAAGCUAAGCAGACUAUGACCUGCCGUUGAGUCCACCAACUGAUCUAUUUUAGGUACGGGAAAGCUGUCAUUUGGGCAUGCCAUAUUAAGGUCUGUGAAAUCCACAUACAUUAUCUAUUUCCCAUUGGCCUUCUUUACCAGCACUACAUUAGAAAUCCACUCCGCAUAUUUAGCCUCCCUUAUAAAUCCUGCUUUCAACAGCUUCUCCACCUCGGCAUUUAUGGCCUCGUACCUUUCCUAGUUAAAGCACCUCCUUUUCUGCAUCACCGGCCUUGCCCCUUUCUUGAUUGCCAACUUGUGGCAAGCUACCCCGCGAUCAAUUCCUGGCAUGUCCUCAUGAGACCAGGCAAAUAUAUCUGCGUGGGACUAUAGGCACUUCACCAGCUCAUCUUUUAUUGCUUCACCUAAUCCUGACCCGAUCUUAAUCACUCUGCUCGGGUUAUUCUUGCUCACAAAAAUCUCCUCCAGUUUCUCGACAGGCUCUUGACGACCCUUCUUAGAAUCUCUUCGGUUAUCCAGAGAGGUAACAUGUAGCGUCUCCUUGGCCGCUGUUGCGUAACAGCUCCUUGCUAUUCUCUGGUCACCUUUUACUACGCCCACAACUCCGUUUACUCUGUAUUUCAAUGCUAGAUAAUGCAUGGAUAUAAUGUAUUAGCUUGCUCUCAUAAAAGGUCGCCCUAGUAUCAUCUGGUAGGGGUUUUUCUCUUCCACCACUACGAAGUCCAGCAUAAUUUUCUUUUUAGAUGACUUCGCUCCUACGGUAAUCGGCAGCUCUAUGAUCCCCAUAGAGGUCAACUGUCUUCCUCCAAAUCCCUUUAAGGAUGUGUUCGUUCGCUCCAAUUUCAAAUCUGCAAUCCCCAUAUCAUCUAGGGCCGACUUAAAUAAUAUGUCGACCGAGCUGCCUAUAUCCACCAAUAUUUGUCGGAAUUCCUUACCCGCCACUAUUACUUUAACUACCAGUGCAUCCUCAUGAGGGUAUAAAAUGCCCUCUUCAUUAUCAUCUGUCCACAUAAUGGGAACUUGUCUUACUUUCACCCUCUUGGUCGUUGGUAAGUUGAAAAGUACCUCUUUGCUGGUCAAAGCGUAUCUCUCAUAAUUCUUUCGUGCUCUGUUUGAGUCUCCAGCCAAUGUUGGCCCUCCUGUUAUCACCUGAAUAUUUAGCUGUUCCCGCUCUAGGCUCCUUUCAACUCCAUCACCCAGCGUAUAUUGUGAUUCAAUGACGGGGGAUACUCCAUCUACAUACUCAUCCAAAUACUGGUUCCUCACCAAAUCUUCCACUUGAGUCUUCAAGUCAUGAUAUUGGCUGAUAGUGUGACUAUGAGUGUCGUGAAAUUUGCAGAAUCUGUUCUUAUCAUGUCUAUGAGCGGGUUUUGUUAUAGGGGCAGGAGGGUACAGCAGGCAUCGUCCCUCGAUUCUCUCAUACAACUCCUCCAUAGAGACUUUCAGUGGGGGUGUACUGUUUGUACGCCAAGCUUUGGUCAAUCAGUUGGACCGUUCAGCUAUCGUGGGUAUCGUUCCGAGCUGGUAUUGUAGGUAGCUGGUUUGGUUGACCAGCCCUGGAGUUAACUAUAUGCAGUACCCUGGGAGCGCUGUGAUAAGGGUGGGCGACUAACUGCCUGAAUUCUCGUUGCCACUCGGGGAAUGAGGGGCGCGGAGGCUGAGCUCAGUUGUGUUGGAGCUGUUGCGGUCUCUGAGCCAUGGGAUAAGGGCGAGACCAAGCUGAUAUUCCACACAUCACUAGCGAUUCUCCAGCUCGCCUUCCUGAUCCGCUCCCGCUCAGGGUUCUUCAAUCUCCAUGUCUCUCUUUGCCUGCUCAUACCCCGUUGAAUAAUUCUGAACGAUGGGACUUCACAAGUUGUACCAUAAUCGGCCUAUUCUUACACCCUCUUUUAAUCCCCUUAACGCCUGCAGGUGAUUGAAAGCUCCCAGAUCAAGCACGGCCCAAUGGUAUCUUUUCACAAAAUCCUGAAGGGAUUCGUGUUCCUCCUGCUUCAUCCCCAUCAAAUCCAUCAUAUCGUCAUCUGGGCCUACUGAUUAUCGGAACAGUGUUGUGCAAAUUUUAAUGAACUCGCAAGCACACGAAUCUAUUGUAGUAUAGAUCAUUGGUAACGAGUGUCGAUCUCAUGAGGAGGUGGAUUUUAAUUGUGUAUAGAAUUGAUUUUGUAAAUGGGUGGUUGGAUUUGUGGUGGAAGUGAUUCAGAUUAUCCUAAAAUUGGAAUUAAAAUGGUGAAAAUAAUUUGAAGAGAAUUCUAUUGAAAUGACGUACUUGGGUAUCUGGAUCCGUAUCAACAUGCAUCAUGGGCUAAAUAUUCCUUAUUAAUACCAAUUAAAUCAUGAGGGGGGAAUCCACACCUCAUGAACCACGCUCUAAUCAAUAUGGUGUUAAGGGCUUAUCGUGCCAAAUAAUAAUAACCUGUACUAGAGAGCCGGUGUAACCAAGGCGGUAUCUAGACAAUACUAGUAUUAUUUGUCAACGAGAAGUCAAAACAUCCAAAAAAACUAGAGGGGAAGAGAAAAUAAAUUUACCAAAUAAAGCCCAUGACACAUGUUGAGACUUCACCUUCAACCCAAGCUUGAAAGAAAAUUAGCUACUCAUAAUUGAACUAGGGGCAAAAUGGGAAUUUAUUAAAAUACGUAGAAAAUACAAGAUGGAGAGAGAAUUACAGAAAAUGGAGUCCAAAAAUGGAUUUAGGGAUAUCAAAUUAGGGGGAGAGGCCCCCUUUUUAUAGAUACAUUGAGUAAAUCGUGGUCAUCGGAUAAAAAAUAGUUUGGACGCUCAGGAUUGCGCCACGUCAUCAGUCAACAGUCCGCGUGAACAGUACACGAUUUGACCACGCGGAUGAACAGUAACACAGUUUGACCCGGGUGAACAGUGACGCAGUUUGGUUGAAAAUGAUCCUGUGUGUUGCAUGUACCGUACAUGAGAUUUUUGAUCCACUGAUAUGCUGCCACGUCAUCGAUCAACAGUGCAUAAGAAUUUUAGUCCAACAGGAUCGUGACACCUCAUCAGUCAAUGCCACAUCAUCGGUCAAUGCCACGUCAUCGAUCCGUCUAUGUGAACAGUGCCGUGAACAGUAACGUAGACAGUACCCGUACAUGUGAAUAGUACCGUAUAUGUGAAUAGUAUUAUUUUUCUUUUUAUGCUCCUCCUAAGAUUUUUGACCGUCCUAAGUUCAAAAAUGAUGUCCGUUUUGCCAUCUGAUCUCUCGUUUAUUGUGAAAUGACUGUGAUACCCCUAAAAUACAUAAAAUACUUGAUUAAAAUAAAACACACGUAAUUAAAUUACAAGUAAGGGUUGUUAGUAAGACAUUUUCUAACACUCAACAAACAGCUCGGCCAACUCUUGGUAUAUCUGCUCGUAUCCCCUUAUACUUCCUCGUGGUAGCUUACGAUACCAUUCUCUGGCUCGUCCUUCUAGUGUCAAUGGGAACACCCUGCACCUCUGAGCUGCUGUUAGCCCCUGUAUGCCCGUCAUGUCAUUGAAGCACUCAAUGUGCACUAGCGGGUCGCUUCUCCCGGAGUACUUGAGGUUGGGAAAGCAGAAAUCUCUUGGGAUAAUAGUGCUUAUGAUCUCGGCUGAUAGCGGAGAUUCUUCAUCCAGCAUUAUCCUCCAGCUUGGAGGCUUUCUCUUGCCCUAUAUCUCAUCCAUCACCUGCGCUAGCCUGCGCACCUCACCUUCCAAUUCCAAAGCACGGUCAAGGUCGCGCGCAGCUACUUGAUCUCGCUCCUGCUCGGCAUUAUGCAGUCGCUGUCUGAGCUCGCCUUCGUCAACAUUUACUCCUCGGUCAUUGAUUUCUAGAACUCGCCCAAGGCGAGAUUGAUCUCUCCUUUCAUCCACACGCUCCCCGGGGAUCCGACCAGCACUUCUAUGGGGAUGUAUCCCAUAGGGUUGUUCUACUAGCGGAGGGAUCUCCUCGAUUCUACGCCUUCGUAGGUUGGGUUCCGCCAUAGUUUCAUCCCUUACCACAGUGGUCUCGCCUUCCCUUCUCCGCUCAUCCCUAAAGUCAUAUAAUAUAGCUGUGAGCGUCUCCAUUUGGUUUGCCAUCUGUUCCAUUCGGUCUUGCAUCAUCCUCUCUCUAGCUUCAUUCGCGAUCUCUCGGAGAGUGAUCGAUUCACCAGUUUCAUUGUCGCCCCCUAAGGCGUCCUUCCUUGUCAUAUCCAUAACUAAUCGUUCACUGCGUCUCUGGUGAUUACUAACUUGAUGGUAGCUUUUUAUCCAGCUCCCUACAGACGGCACCAAAAUGUUGAUGCUGAAACAUGCUUGCCCUCUGCCCGGCCAGAUCGUUCCACUAACGUUUGUGUAUUCAAUGGAGAGGAUACUGCCCUUUUGCCUCCUUCAGCAACUACGGAUGCUCCAGGGGUUGGAAUUACCUUUUUCCCUUCUUUCUAAUCCUGCACUCACAGAGAUAGAUAAGAGACGCCGGUGGUUUUAUCGGCGUAAACCCUCCGAUGCUUAAGUUAGCACAAGAUGUUUUACGAGAAAAUUAUGUAACUUGGAUUGUUUGGUUUCUUGUAAUGCUUUCUAAAACUUGUAAAGAAUAUAAUCUGGUUUUAAUUUGGCAGAGUUUUCCUUUUUCUCUCAAUUUUCCAUCCCCUUUUUCAUCGGUUUUCCAGCUUCUUAUAGCUGUUGUCCCACGUUCCUGUCUACUCCUCAUGCCCCCCCUUUUAUUGGGUGAUGGCAGGCCUUCAUGGGCCUCCAACCACUGAAUUGUGGGUAAACGUGGGAUGACAUGUCCCUCUCGAUGGUUUAGGGCAUAGCGAAACUGCCGCAUUUUCGUGAGAUCGUGUCCUCCUUCUUUGGGUGAUGGGUAUCUGGUCGGUAUAUGUCUCUAGUUGAUACAUUCCUCUGGUCAAUGCUCGUCUCUAGUAGGCCCACGUUUGUAUGAGGCAUUUUACCAGGGCUCUUCUCGUGCCGCUGAGGUGAUUCGCCUCGGGGUGGGAAAUAGGGGCAUGGCCGAGCUGGUGCUCUUUAUUACUUAACAACUGUCUUUGAAAAUUUUGGCUAAGUUAGUAGGCCACAAAAUUUUAUUAACCAUCUAUGCAAUUAUAGAGCAAUCCCCUCCAAAUAGAAUGAUGCCAAUUGUAUUUAUUGUUCUAGGACUACAUUCUCAAAUCCGAAGAAUUAUUCCACCUUAUGAAUCCAACCAGUCGGAUCAUCUCCGUUGAAAUUUGGAAAGUUUAGUUUGAGAUAGUGGUGAUGGUUGGGAAAGUUUGAGGAGAAAGGUUUUAUGGCUUGGUUAGAGGAUGUUGUAGCCUGUAGGUGCAAAGGGGUUAAUUUCAGAGGCAAUUAUGUGUGAGGUUUGUGAUGCACGAAGAGAUUGAAGAUUUCUUGAACCUCAUUACGAAACUCAGCAUUUGAUUGACUUCGGGUAGCCGUAUUUCGAGCAACCUUUGUUUGAUACCAGAUGAUAGGUAAUUUCUUAGUUUAGAAAGGAAAGUAUGAAAAGUAGAGGAAGAAUAUAAGUUGUUUAGAAGGAAAAAGAUAAUUUUUAUUCCAAAAGCAUGCCCACUAUAAAUCCAAUAAUUUCUCUUAAAUAAACCUAUACAUAUACCAAAAACUAAAAAACUAGAAAAGAGGAAAAUCACUUGAAAAUAAGAACAUGAUCAAUUAAAACGGUAACAUGCACAACCGCCACGAAUCAAAACCAAUCGAUUUUAAAUAGUAUGAAUUGAAAUCAAAUUAAACCAAACCAAACUAAAUCGGACCGAACCGAAAUAUUAGGUUCGGUUCUAAAUUUUGGUUUGAUUUUGGUUCAGUUCUAAAUUUUCGGUUCGAUUCUAACUUGUUGUUUUAACACCACGAUUUAUGUUCGUUGGAAGUAUCUUCCUCGUCGUCCAAAAUUCAUCCCACUUGCAGCUCAUUCUCUCAUGCAAUCCCUCAUCUUCUGUAGUGAUUUGAUUGCUCUGAUAACUAUAAGCAAUAAACCACUGCCCAAGAAAUUUUGCCAAGAACAAUUCAAGAUGAAAAUAAGCCAAUGAUUGAUUUAAAGUUCUAAUGAUGAAACGAAACCUUAGCUCUAGGUUAAUGGAGAUUUAACAAAAGAUUGAAACAAAUCAAGAAGCAAACACACUCAAUGCAAAGACAGGAUUUUAAUGUGGUUCAAUUAUGCACAAAGUUCAUAAUCUACAUCCGCGGGAGAAGCCACAAAAAUCUCUUUAUUGAUGAUUCAAGAUGAAUUUUAUUGAGAAAAUACAGAGAUCGUUACAAGGAACAAGAUUACUCUUUCUCACUUUCUAGAAACUCUCUGAAAAGCUCAAUCACACACACGUAAUCUGCUUCAACAACCAGCCUCUUUAUACUCUCUUAUGAAAACCCAGAUUGCACAGCCCUUUGACACGUGUGUAACAGCUUCUAACGACUUGAUUCCUCCCUCACAUGCUAGCUCACGUGUUUUACUUAAGUUUCCUAAAAACGACACAAAGCAAUGUCGUUCUGCCUUAUGCUGAAGAGCCCGUGACUGCACGUGAGUUGUAAGUAAUUCCAACUGAUCAAAACGCAAUCGUUUUGGGACUCUGAGUUUUGAAUUCAUAACACUCCGGUCCACAUCUUCCUCACCCACUAAUAUAAACAAAGCACAAAACAAUUCCAAUCUCAGAAUUAAGAUCAUGCUCAGACAAAUCCUUAAGCCCAUCAGCGAUCUAUCGUCUACUGCGAGCUAAUCGAGAGUGCCAUCUAAUACGAGGUGGCUGAGAGACCGUGAGAGUGAGAUGUUGACCAGAGAUAGACAUAGUGAGAGUGAGCGUGGUUGCGUGAGUGUGGAAGAAAGGGGAUGCUGCUAUGCUGCGUGUUGUGCUUGAGAGUGAGCAUAGUUGCAUGAGAGAGAGAGGGGCUACUGCUAUGCUGUACUUGAGAGUGAGGGUGGUUGCAUGAUAUCUGCUCAAUAUGUAUGGGAUGAAGUUUCUGAUGGGUAAAAAUCAUGUUUUUAAAUUUUUAUAAAACCUUUUUAAGAUCGCUUUCAUAUAAUAUAUAAGAAUUUGUAAUCUAGAAAUCAUACCUUGAAAAUCCGAUUUAGCUUUUUCCGCUGGAAUGAUUUAGGCUCCCAGAUCACGAUCCAUCACCACCACUCCUGUUAGAUUACGAUCCGUCACCACCACGCUUGUUAGAACACGAACUGGCACCAAUGAUCUUCCAGGUUAUGACUCAAGUUUGAUCUGCACUUGACGUGUGGGCGCCUUUAUCACUACCAAAGCAACUAGCACAAGAAAACUUUUCUCUCAACAAUAGAGAGAAAAAUCUUUUUCUCUGAUCUGUAUAAAGUGCCUGCUCCCUUUUUCUUUAGAGAAAAUAAGCAUUUUAUAUCUCCCUUUAGUGAAAACCCUAAGCUCCAAAAAAUCAAAAAACAAAACUCACGUUACUUGCUUUUUCUAUAGGGGACACACCUUGUAAAAUAACAUAAUAGCCCUUACACACAAGCGAAUUAAAUGGAGCCUCCCACUAAAAGAUAUAUUUAGGCUUUUGACCCAAAUAGCUUAUCUUACUUAUUAGUCCAGUAGUGGUGCAUUCAAUUAAAUGAGCUAACCCGGGGAUCAUUUGGGAACAUACAAUAGUGGCUAUAACAAUUAGACCUGUAAUUAAACUAGCCUAAUUAUUUAAUUCCAAAUCUACUCCACUAAAAGAUUGGAAUUGACCUCCAUAAUUGUAUGCUCGAAUAAUAAUUUGUCCCAAGUCUAAUUGAUUUCUUUACUGCACAAUCCUUUGUAUCACAUCGUUAAUUCAAUUGAUAUCUCAACUGUCCAAUCAAUUUAAUAACAUCUUGUUCCUUGAUACUUAUUGGUUUUCUCUAAUGAUCAUUUUCAACAUACUAAAUAUGUUGACACACUCUGGCCAAAGAAUUCUAUGAUCAAGUGCCGAAAACCCAUCAAGAGAUGUAUUGUACAAAUUCUAUAUUGUUAAUCCAUAACUCCAAUACUCAUAAUUGCUCCCACCAAGAUACCGGGUAAUCUUGACCACAAGAAUGUGUCGUGCCCAUUGGUAACUCAAAUGGAAUAACAAUUACAAUCAUGAAAUCAUAAUUAACUCAAGAUUAAGAUUACAGUAAAAUCAAUAGAUUUAAUAAGUCUGACAGUCAUUUCAAUGUUAAUUAAAUCUCAUAUGUGAUCCUGUUCAAUGUAGUCGUACUACAUUAAUAAAUUCAUACAUGAUUAAGACAAAUCAUUCAAUGAAUUCAUUACAGUCUAUACUUAAAUAAAGUGCCCAACUUUAUUUAUCAACUGCGAACUAAAUUUAUUUAAUCAUAAGAUAACUUAUAUUUAUGUCUUCUGUGAAUCCACAUGGUGAUCACAUAAAUACAUAUAAUAUGAUUAAAUGGACUUUGAUCAAAAUAUUAAUGCAAUUAAGAUAUUUGAAUAAAAUACCUCAUUAAUUUUAUUAGUCAGAAAAAAUGUUUAUUAUAAUUAAAUAAACACAUAUACUUUUAAAGAGUAUAUUUUCCCAACAGUUUCUUCAGUUGGUUAUUUCACUUAGUCAAAAUAAAUUAUAGUAGUGGUUGCAUACCUGACUUUGGAGGUAAGGCUGGAGGCAAACUUCUACAUUAAUUUAUAACUUGUUUCACAACAUAUUACGGUUAUAAAUGAGACUUAAUCCAAAGACGGAAAGAGAGAAAUUUGCUACACUCUUUAGUAUCCAUUAUUGAGAAAAACACCAAAAUUAACUUUUACUUCUUUAAAAUCAUUUUUGAAACCUCCCAAAAGAUAUCUCAAAUGGGUUCUCAAUUUUUUAAAACAUUACUUUUGGCUAAACACCCCAUCCUCCAGUAGAUUUUGAAAAUGUCAAAAUGUAUAAGACACUCAUCCAGUGGGGGUUUCACAGGCUUACCUCUCUUAGAAGUCUUUGCAUUCUUGGAUGUCAUGAAGCAGAGUGUUUUCCAGACGAGAAGAUAGGAAUGACGCUGCCCAAUUCUUUAACUUGUCUGUCCUUUCGAGGAUUCAAAAACACAUUUAAGAAAUUGGCAAUUUGUUGUUAGUCACAGUAUCUGAUGUUCUUUUCUUUUAUAGUUUGCAGAAUCAACUGUAUUAUAUGUUGUCAUUUGCAGUAUCUGAGGUGCCUUUUGCAUUUUACUUGACCUUUAUUUGUUUUGCUAGUGACUGAAGAAUACCAACAUUGGUUAGAGAUUUGGAGAAGCAUCUGAAGAGGCUUGACAAAGUUGGAGAUGCACUUGCUCCCAAGCCUUCAAUCAUCACAAUGCAAAUCCGAUGAGUACUUAUGCCGGCAAUUAUGUAAAAUAUUUGAAAUUUUGAUUCAGGGAAAUGGUUUGUUGAUGCAAAGCUUUAAACUGUUAAGACUUACCUAGCAGGCCUGUUGGAUGUUGUAUCAACUCCAAAAUCCAACAAGAACUACGGCACCAAGACCCAUUUUUUACUGAUUCAAUCAGCUGAAAUGAUGAGGCAAAUCCCACGUGUUCGAAUCAGUCAUCCAUUUCAUGAACUGUUAUUUUCAUGAUGCUGGCUAUUGGAGUUGAAGAGGAAACAAGGAUGUGUUGGAAUCAAUGAGAACAGUGGGAAGCAUGACUCGAGCUCUGAUUAUAAAUAGACAUUUUAAAAACAUGUGCUGGUAAGUGGUGAUUAAAGAAAUUUGUGAGCUUAUUCAAGUUUCAGUAUUUGCUGUUUGGAUAAAGCUGAUACCAAGUUUGGCAAAAUCUGUGCUUUCUUUGUUCAAUCUGUGUUAUGGUUAAAGUAGAUGCUCUGAUUAAUAAGCCAGCCUACGAUAGCUGGCUCUAAUAAUCGGCUUCCUUUUUCUUGUUUGCUGUUGUAUAUUCUUUCAAUUUUUUUUCCGCAUUAGGACGAUCAGUUGAAGAACAAGUUUAUGUUUGACGAUGCAUUUAAGGAAGAGCCAGACUUGGAUGCAGAUCUGAAAAGGUUAGCAUGAACGAAAACCUUCAGAACUGACUGAAGGUUUCUGAGUUGAUCCUAAAAAUGUAGCAGUUGUCUGUUUCAUAAAGCAGAACAAAAACAGAAUAAGAGAUCACUAAUCAUGCUUGAGAAUUCAUUUAAAUAAAAUUUCAAAAAUUGCCAAACACAGCAUAAACUAGGAUGCACUUGCUUAAGAUUCAUUUUCAGAAGGAAGUUUGUACUUGCAGCUCAUAAAAUCAUGUUUAUGUUGUAUGUUUAUUCAGCAAAUGAAAGAUUCCAAGUUUGCUGAAACCAUAUUAUUUUUUUACCAGGCGCCUUCCUGAAGGUAUCGACGUCAAUUUCAAAAAUGUUGGGGAUAAGUUGCUUGAUGCAGUGCUACACAAAUAUGAAGGAUUUCUUGUCGGUGAUUACUACCACCUCGAUAAAAAAAUUCAUGGAACUGGUCAUGCCGGCAAUAAAAGAAGGAAAGGUGGUAUACGUCGAAGACAUAGAUGAAGGCCUCGAGUCCAUCAGCCCUCGUUGGGCUAUUCACUUGUCGGAAUGUCAGGAAACAACUUGUUGAAGUUGCGUGGGAAUUUUAAAACUACCAUAUGUUGUAGAAAUGCACUGAGCCAUGUGCUUUCAGAGCUUUGUGAAGAUGUCUUGGCCAUGUGUUUGAUACAGGUUAUGCUUGUUCCAUUAAAUUGUAUGCACUUAUAAAUCAAAGAUUCAGAACAUGUGUAUGUUACUGGUUUCCAGAAUCCAGAUCAAUAAAUGCCUCCAUGUAGAAGUUCAAAUUUUAAAUUUUUUGAAGUAGAGGUGUAGAGUUUCUUUUUUCAAAAAAGAAAAAGUAAAUUCUGAAGACUUUCUUUAUUUAAUUUUACAAUCUUAUUUUAUUUCUUUUACGAUAUAUUUUUAAAAUACUUAUUUAGUAAAUUAUUAACAUCUAUACCACUAAAAGAUUUUUUUUGUUAAACGCUCUACUUACAAAGUUAUAUUAAUUAUAGAUUUACUCAAAGAAGCCCUAUUUAAAAAGUUACAGCAAAAAAAGUCAUAGUUACCUUUAGUAAAUAAUAAUCUUCUAAUCUGUCUUACAACGGACUUUUGACAAAAGUGUGCUACUCCCACCUCCUCAAAGUCCACCCGACACCCCGUCUUCUCUAUUUAAAAUUUUAUAUAGUUGAAAAUUAUAUUUUCUUUUACUUGACGCCCCUCCAAAUUCUAAAACUUAGCUUCGAUGAACCUUCUUCGUUAAAUCUCGUUGCUUUCCUUUUUUCUUGUUACUUGAGAAGAAGAACCAGAGUCUAGAAGAAUGAAAGAAAAUUCAGCGUGAUAGAAAUUUAGAAAUUUCAUCCGAUCUUUUUUUCUUAAAUUUUUUGGUAUUUUGAUUCGUUCAAUGGAUUCUUGAUCAUUCUUCAUUCUUUCUAGUUUCUACCAUGAUUCGGAAAUUUUUCUUAAAAAAACUACUACUCUUGUGUAUUUAAAAAAAAAGGAAAGAAAGAAAAAAGGCAUUAAUAAAGAAUUGCGCACGUAACAUUAUUAGUACCCUGUUGAUUGGUCGUUUGGUCUUCAAGAAAUGCUAGUUAAUAUGUGCUUGAAAUUAUAUUCUGCUUUUUUUUUCCCUAUGUAUUGUUUCCCGUUUGAUUACAUUUCAAACAUUUUUAACACGAAUGAAUGUUUUAACCAUUUUUGUCACUUCAUUAUUACAAUAAGCUGAUUGAAGUUAUCUGCGUUGGCCCUGAAAAUGUAAUGGACACUACUCCGUUUACAUAAAACAGGACAAAACAUCGAUAUUUCUACCAUUGCCAUACAUAGUAUAGCCUAGGAAUACAUUUCCAUAAUUAAUAUUUAUUUCAGAAGGAACUUUUCACUUGCAGCUAACAGAAUCAUGUUAAAUUUAUGAUGUAUGUUUAUUUGGGAGAUGAAAGAUUCGCUGCAUUAUUUUAUUCCAAGUUUGCUGAAAUCAUAUUUGUUUUCCCGGCUGCUUUCCUGAAUGUAUCGACAUCUAUUUCGAAAAUGUCGGGGGUAAGAUGCUUGGUGCAGUGCUACUCAACAUGAGAAUUCAUCUUCUAACUCGUUACCUGAUAUUAUUGUCUUCUUGAAAAUUUAAUUAAGCUUAGAAGUCCCUUAACCACAAAAUCAAUGGAGUUUAACUCUAUCGAUAGACAACUUUUAAGUAAUAAACCAACACAUGAGUUCAUCUCUAUUGAUACUCAAGUUCUAAGUCCCUUAUUCAAUACUAAAAUCCAUGAGAAUUAAACUAACCGUAGUUUAACAUGUGAUUAACAAAUGGUAAAAGGUUCAAAAAAUACAUCAAUUAUAAAAGAAAUAAAAUCAGCAAAGAGACCACAUCAGAAAUUUCUUAGAUGUCCGAAACUAUUAAAAGAAUUCACAUACCAAAUCAAAAAAAGUAGAAAAUGCUUAAGCUCCUUAAGGUAAUUUGAAGUAUGAAAGUGAAUGGCAUAUAAUCCAAUAUAAAAAAAAAAUGGUUUUAGUGCCGUAUAAAGAGAAGUUAAUGGUGGUUACAGAAGUGGGGAAAGUUGAGUACAAAUCAGAUAAUGGGAGGUUCCUAAACUUCCUUAAAUCAAUUUUAAUUUCAAAAAUAAAAUAAUAAAAAAUAAAAAAUAGCAUAAAAGAAAUAAGAUAAAAAUUACUUUUCUAAAAUUGCAUGCAAGUAUACAAAAAUAACAUAUGUUGAUAUUACAUCGAGAAAGGUCCAUCAGCCCUAGUUGGGCUAUUCACUGCAUAGAAUGUCGGAGAACAACUUGUUGUGGUAGCUGUUGGGAAAAUAUGCUCUUUAAAAGCAUGUGUGUUUAUUUAAAUGUAAUAAACAUUUUUUCUGAUUAAUAAAAAUAAUGAGGUAUUUUGUGCAAAUAUCUUAAUUGCAUUAAUAUUUUUAUUAAAGUCCAUUUAAUCAUAUUAUAUGUAUUUAUGUGAUCACCAUGUGGAUUCACAGAAGACAUAAAAUACAAGUUAUCUUAUGAUUAAAUAAAUUUAGUUCGCAGUUGAUAAAUAAAGUUGUGCACUUUAUUUAGGUAUAGAUUGUAAUAAAUUCAUUGAAUGAUUUGUCUUAAUCAUGUAUGAAUUUAUUGAUGUAGUACGACUACAUUGAACAGGAUCACAUAUGAGAUUUAAUUAACCUUGAAAUGACUGUCAGACUUAUUAAAUCUCAUUGGCAUUGAUUUUACUGUAAUCUUAAUCUUGAGUUAGUUAUGAUUUCAUGAUUGUAAUUGUUAUUCCAUUUGAGUUACCAAUGGGCAUGACACAUACAUGUAGUCUAGAUUACUCGGUAUCUUGGUGGGAGCAUUUAUGAGUAUUGGAGUUAUAGAUUAACAAUAUAGAAUUUGUACAACACAUCUCUUGAUGGGUUUUCGGCACUUGAUCAUAGAAUUCUCUAGCCAGAGUGUGUCAACAUAUUUAGUAUGUUGAAAAUGAUCAUUAGAGAAAACCAGUAAAGAUCAAGGAAUAAGAUGUUAUUAAAUUGAUUGGACAGUUGAGAUAUCAAUUUAAUUAACGAUGUGGUACAAAGGAUUGUGCAGUAAAGAAAUCAAUGUGGCUUGGGACGAAUUAUUAUUCGAGCAUACAAUUAUGGAAGUCAGUUCCAAUCUUUUAGUGGAGUAGAUUUGGAAUUAAAUAAUUGGGCUAGUUUAAUUAUAGGCCUAAUUAUUGUAGCCACUAUUGUAUGUUCCCAAAUGAUCCCCGGGUUAGCUCAUUUAAUUGACUGCACCACUACUGGACUAAUAAGCAAGAUAACUAGCUAUUUGGGUCAAAAGCCUAAAUAUAUCAUUUAGUGGGAGGCUCCAUUUAAUUAGUUUAUGUGUAAGGGGUCUUAUGUUAUUUUACAUGGUGGGUCCCCUAUAAAAUAAAAAGUAACGUGAGUUUUAUUUGUGAGCCUAGGGUUUUCACUAAAGGGAGAUAUAUAAGGCUUAUUUUCUCUAAAGAAAAAGGUGAAGCCACUUUAUACAGAUCAGAGAAUAAGAUUUUUCUCUCUAUUGUUGAGAGAAAAAUUUUCUCGUGCUAGUUGCUUUGGUAGUGAUAAAGGCGCCCACACGUCAAGUGCAGAUCGUACUUGAGUCAUAACCUGGAAGAUCAUUGGUGACAGUUCGUGAUCUAACAAGCGUGGUGGUGACGGAUCGUGAUCUAACAGGAGUGGUGGUGGCGGAUCAUGAUCUAGGAGCUUAAAUCACUUCAGCGGAAAAAGCUAACUCGGAUUUUCAAGGUACGAUUUCUAGAAUACAAAUUCUUAUAUAUUAUAUGAGAGCGAUCUUCAAAAGGUUUUAUAAAAAAUUUAAAAACCUAAUUUUUCCCCAACAAUUGGUAUCAGAGCCAUCUCAUAUUAAUAUAUAAGAAUUUCGUAUGAAAUUAAUCUUGAUAUUUAUGUAUUAGAGUGGCACAAUUUAUUCAGAUAUAUAUUAUUUGUUUAAUAUAUGAAUAAAGCAUGUUUAUGGUUUGUCUUAAUUCAUGGUUAGAUUUUCUGUUGUAUUUUUCGUUUGGAUCUUUAACAAGAGGGGUGGUUUUUAUCACAAUGUUUCCCUCUUGAUUUAUUUUACUGUUAUAGAAUUUUUGUAAGCCAAAAAUUGGCCUAGGAAAUUUGUAAAUAAAUCACGGAUGACAAAUCAAAGCGACGGAGGCCGGAAAUUUCGACAUCGACCGCUGACCAGCGCACUCGCUACAACCAACGAGCGGCACACGCUGCAAGCGCAUGCUGGCAGUGCGCGCAGCAAGCAGCGCGCGCGGCCAGCCUGGCCAGCGGCGCGCGUUCCAGCAAGCAGCGCGCGCAGGGAUGGUUUGUUUCCGGCAUAUCGGCAACGGCAAACUCGACGUUGAUAGCGGCUGUCCGAUGAGAUUGGCCUGAACAGUGGCCGUUUGUGGAGAUGGCGACUGGGGAAGAAGAAAGAAAGAAAAAUAUGGAUUUAGGGUUUCAUGGCUUUUAUCAUGGAGAUCCCUAUGGUUCCAUAAUUUUUCACUUGGGCAAUUAAGUUUUAAUUUUUUGCAUUUAAGUCUAAAAAUAGUUUUCGGCUUAAAGAAUCCUAGUUUUAGGUCCAAUUGAAAUUUGGGCUUAAUGGAUUAAAAAUGCAUAGAUAAAAUUAAAUACAUUAAAAUUUAUUUUUGGUCCAAAAGUUUUAUUUUAAUAAAAAAAAUUAUUUAUUUAUUUAUUUCCUUUAAAAAUUAAAAUUGGACCAAUUAGAAAUUAUUUAUUUAUCUCUCAUUUGUACUUGGGAGACAGUCUAUUGUAAGUAGUGUGUAUUUUUGCAUGUCUAGGAAAGUUCUGUCAACAAAGGCGAUAAGUGUAUAAGGAUUCUGGUUUUUAAUUGGGACCAAGUUCCCAUCUAGUUUCCUGGAAACUUUCUUGGUGCAUUUAUUCACGCGAAAUUAACAUCAUAGAGACUGUUUUUCAAGUGAAAAUAGUUCGUUGAGAAAAUGGUAGAAGGUGAAACUUUCAAAAUUGGGGAGAGAUCUACCGAGACUAUUUCAGGAGACACUUCAGGUGGGAGGCGAGAUUUGUCAAAUCGCUAUUCAGCACCUGUAUAGAAGGCCAGAAGAUCGAUGUUGAAAAGUUUGAUGGGAAAAUCAACUUCGGCAUGUGGAGGCGCGAAGUUAUGGAUGCCCUUAUUCAAAUCGAUCUCGAUGUUGUUCUGAAAAAUAAAAGACACUUGUAUGAUGAAGAAAUUUGGGAUCGUAUGAAUGAAAAAGCAUGUGGUCAGAUCAGAUCUUGUUUGACCAAGGAGGUGAAAUACUUGGUGAAAGAUGAGGAGUGUGCGGUGACUUUGUGGCGUACAUUGGAGGAGAAGUACCUGGUGAAAAGUCCUGAAAAUCGCCUUCAUGCAAUGAGCCAAGUAUAUGGCUUUCGAAUAAAGUCUGGGGUGUCAAUGCACGAUCAUGUUUUAAGAUUUGAAAAGUUACUUGCUGAUUUGAAGAAUCUUGAUGAAGAUAUUAAGGAUGAAGUCAAGGCUAUGAUUCUGUUACACUCACUACCAGAGGAAUAUAGCCAUUUUGUGACUACUUUAAUAUAUGGGAAGAGUGUGAUCAUCUUUAAAGAUGUUUGCACAACAUUGACUAGCUUAGAGAUUCGAAAUAAUGAUAAAAAUUCUAAACGAGCAUCGUCUGAAGCUUUGGUGAGUAGAGAUUGGGCGAUGGAGAAACAAAAGAAGCGUGGUGGAAAGAAUUCUCGAUCCAAAUUGAAAAGCAGAAAUAUAGCUCGAGAUGAGUGUGCCUUUUGUCAUGAAAAGGGCCAUUGGAGGAAAGAUUGUCCAAAGGCUCAAAAGAGAGAUGGGAAGAAACCAGCAGCAGCAAACAUGGCACGGAAAGAUGAGGGCUCUGAUUAUUCACUAAGUAUUACUCUUGCAGCAUACGUGGCUAGUUCGAGUGAGUGGAUACUUGAUACUGGAGUGGUUUACGGAUUUUUAUCAUUUGUGUCCUAUUAAGGAAUGAUUUACGGAUUUUCGUAAUCUGGAAUCCGGUGCAGUUGUGAUGGGGAAUGAUCAACCUUGUCGCACAAUGGGGAUAGGAACAAUUCGGCUCAAAAUGUUUGAUGAAAUGAUCAGAGAACUCAAAGAGGUUAGAUUUGUUCUAGCUUUAAAGAAAAAUCUAAUUUCUGUGGAUUUCUGUGGGUGCUUUGGAAGCUAAAGGCUACAAGGUUACCAUUGAAGAUGGUAUAAUGAAGUUUACACAUGGGGCUAUGGUGAUUCUGCAAGGGGUUCGGUGUCACAAUCUGUACUAUUUGAAGGGAGGUACAACUGAUGAAGCAAAUGUUGUUAAGGCGCACAGUGACACCACCAAGCUAUGGCAUGUACGAUUGGGACAUGCUGGAGAGAAGUCUUUGCAAACUCUGAUGAGGCAUGGACUCUUAAAAGGUACCAAAACCUGUAAAUUAAAUUUCUGUGAGCAUUGUGUAGUAGGCAAGAAAACAAGGGUCAAGUUUGGUAUAGUUAAUCACGAUACUCGUGAGAUUCUUGAAUAUGUUCAUAGUGAUGUAUGGGGACCAACCAAGACUGCAUCAAUUGGUGGAAGCCAUUACUUUGUUACAUCUAUUGAUGAUUUCUCUAGACGUGUGUGGGUGUACACCAUGCGAGCAAAGGAUGAGGUUCUAGAGAUUUUCGUGAAAUGGAAGAAAUUGGUGGAGACUCAAACUGGCAGAAAGAUCAAAGUAUUACGAUCUGAUAAUGGGGGUGAAUAUACUUCUGAUCCAUUCUUACAAGUAUGCCAGAACGAGGGUAUUAAAAGACAUUUCACGGUGAGACAUACUCCGCAACAGAACGGUGUGGUUGAGCGUAUGAAUCGUACUUUACUGGAGAAGAUACGGUGUAUGUUAUCUAAUGCUGGUUUAGAUAAAAAGUUUUGGGCUGAAGCUGUGAGCUACGCAAGUCACUUGGUAAACCGGUUGCCUUCUGCUGCAAUUGGAGGUAAAACUCCUAUGGAAAUGUGGUCUGGAAAGCAUGCACAAGACUAUGAUUCCCUUCGUGUAUUCGGGUGUUCAGCUAAUCAUCAUGUCAAAGAUGGUAAACUGGAUCCUCGUGCUAGAAAAGCUAUCUUUGUGGGAUUCAAAGGUGGAGUAAAGGGCUUUAAGCUUUGGGAUCUCGAAGACAAAAAGUUUGUGUGUAGCAGAGAUGUCACAUUUGAUGAAGCUUCAAUGAUGAAAGCGUCAAGUUCUCAGCAGGUGGAGAACAAGACCAAAAAGGUAUUGCAGCGGGUGGAGUUUGAUGCAACUCCAUAUGUACCAGUUAGUUCUACAUCAAAUAAGAGUUCAACUAUGGAGGUGACACCUAGAGUUGAAGAAGAGGUCAUUUUUUCUGAUGUCUCACAAAAUGAAGAAACAAUUGAUGAUGUAGAUAAUGAUGAUUUUAUAGCAACAAGGAGGCCAAGAAGAGAGAUAAAGAAACAGGGAUGGCUUACUAAAGAUAUGGUGGUAGCAUAUGCACUUCCAGUUAUUGAUGAUGACAUCCCCAACACUUUUUGUGAAGCAUUACGCAGCAGUGAAAGUGAUCAGUAGAAGUUAGCCAUGGAGGAAGAGAUGAAAUCUCUCCAUCAAAACCAGACUUGGGAACUUGUAAAGUUACUAAAUGGGAAAAGGGCUAUUGGUAAUAAAUGGGUCUACACCACAAAGCAAGGAUCUCCGAAUCAAACAACUCCUCGAUACAAGGCAAGGCUCGUGGCAAAAGGUUUUGCUCAAAAGGAAGGUAUUGACUACAAUGAAGUUUUCUCCCCAGUUGUAAAACAUACUUUCAUUCGUAUCCUACUUGCCGUCGUUGCAGAAUAUGAGUUAGAGUUGGCUCAAUUGGAUGUUACGACGGCGUUCUUACAUGGAGAUUUGGAAGAGGAAAUCUAUAUGAUUCAGCCUUGUGGUUUCAAAGUUGCUGCAAAGGAGAAUCAUGUGUGUAGGUUGAUUAAAUCUUUGUACGGACUGAAGCAAUUGCCAAGGCAGUGGUACAAAAGAUUUGAUCAAUUUAUACAAGGGCAGAAAUUCACCAGAAGUGAACACGAUCAUUGUGAUUACUUUAGAAGACUACCAGAUGGAGCUUUCAUCUAUUUGUUACUCUAUGUCGAUGAUAUGCUUAUAGCUUCGAAGAAUAGAGAUGAGAUCGAAAGAUUAAAGAAGCAGCUGGCUUCUGAGUUCGAGAUGAAAGACUUGGGUGAUGCACAGAGAAUACUUGGGAUGGAGAUUCGUAGAGACAAGAAGAAUGGGAGCGUAUGAUUGACUCAAAAGUCUUAUUUGAAGAAAGUGCUAGAAAGAUUCAGUAUGGAUGACAAAACUAAACCGGUAUGUACACCUCUAGCUCCUCAUUUCAAAUUAAGCUCUUCUUCAUGUCCUAGAUCUCAAGAAGAGCGCGAUUACAUGGCUCGUGUUCCAUAUGCUAGUGCUGUGGGUAGUCUUAUGUAUGCUAUUGUAUUCACAAGGCCCGAUAUAUCUCAAGCAGUGAGCAUGGUUAGUAGAUACAUGCACAAUCCGGGUAAAAAUCAAUGGCUUGCGGUAAAGUGGAUUCUCCGAUAUUUGUAUGGGACAGUUGAUGUUGGGUUAUUAUUCAAGAAAGAUUGUGGUCAACAAUGUGUUGGGUAUUGUGAUUCUGAUUUCGCUGGAGACCUUAACAAGAGAAGAUCAACAACGGGCUACGUAUUCACAUUGGGUGGAGGUCCGGUUAGCUGGAGAUCGAUUCUACAAUCGACAAUUGCUCUAUCCACUAUGGAAGCAGAGUAUAUGGCAGCAAUUGAAGCUGUAAAAGAAGCUAUCUGGUUGAAAGGCUUGUUAGGUGAUUUGGGAGUAAUCCAGGAGAACAUUACGAUCUUCUGUGAUAAUCAAAGUGCGAUAUUCCUUGCAAAGAAUCAAACAUAUCACGCUCAGAUGAAGCACAUAGAUGUGAAAUAUCAUUAUGUGAGGGAGAUUAUCGAGAGCGGUGUUGUGUUGUUGAGAAAGAUCGAUACCAAAGAUAAUCCAUCAUAUAUGUUAAUGAAGGUAGUUUCUGGAGUUAAGUUUCAACAUUGCUUGAAACUAAUUCAAAUCCUUCGAUUGUGUUAAGAUAUGUCCUUCGGAAAUUUUGAACUACGGUUGGCUUGAUCCCAAAUUUUGGGUACGUUUGGCAGUCACAGAGAUACAGCCACUUUGCGGAUGAUGAUUGGUUGGGAGUCGGCUCAGAUUUGAACAAACCUUCGCCGAGGUGGAGAAUUGUUGAAAAGUCAAAGAAUUGCUUGCCAAUUUCAAAAGCAAAGUUGGUGGGUUUGCCAAAUUCAAAAAAACAAAGUUGGCCGGCUUGCUAAUUUCAAAAGGCAAAGUUAGGUGUUGAAAAACUUGUACAUGCAAUAUAAGAUCCAGCUCAACGUUUUGACCAAAUGAACCCAACUUGGAGCAGAAUGCACUCUAUAAAUAGAGAAGCAUUUUGCAAUUGUCAAUCAUCCCAACAAUUUGUUAAGCUUAUAAAUUUCUAAGCUUUUGAGAGUUCUAAGAGUGUGAAUAAUUGGAGAGUGUGUGUGAGAGUACUUGGUAUAUUUGGGUUCUGGGAAAGUGAGAUUUCUUUACUCAAAUAAUUAUUAAUAAUAUAAUUAUUUUUCUCUUGCUUCCGUGGACAUAGGCAUAUUGUCGAACCACGUAAAUUUUGUGUCCUUUAUUUUUCAGUAAUUAUUUGGUGUGUUUGAUUCCGCAUUCCGCGCACAACACCUACAGGUGACUAAUUAAUGGGAAAUUGACAAUGACAAAAGCAAUUUAUGAGUUUUGUAGGCUGGCAUGCCUAUGUUAUAGCAUUGUUCGAUGAACUGCCACACCACAUGUUUUUGACGAGAAAUAAAAACAUCAAGAUAUUGCCCGCUUGCCGUAUUCCACAUCGUGAAUUGUAUCUCUGUUCCUCAAUUUUCAGUGUUCCAUACAUAAAACCAUUUUCAGUUUCUCUUGUUAUCAAUUCAAUUUUCUUGUUCGUGACGAUCUUGAUUCCUUUCUUUCUGGUAAAACGGAGCCAUGUUUGCUGUUGGAGAGGUCUUCCUCAACGCUUUCUUUCAGGUGUUGUUUGACAGGUUGGCUUCUCGUAAUUUGCUCAGCUUUGUGCGUCAACUCCAAGGCGGGGUUGAUUCGGAGCUCAAAAAGUGGGAGAAAAAGCUGAAGAUGAUUCAGGUUGUGCUUAGCGAUGCAGAGGAGAAGCAACUGACUGACGAGGCUGUGAAGAUGUGGCUGGACGAACUCCAAGACUUGGCUUAUGACGCUGAGGACAUUCUUGAUGAGUUUGGUACUCAAGCUUUGGAAAGGAAGUUGAUGGCGAAAAAUCAGGAUAGCACUGGCCAGAUUCUUAGUUUCAUACCGGCUAGUUUGAAUCCGAAUGCUAUUAUGUCCAAUUAUAGCAUGGGAUCCAAGAUUAAAGAUAUUACUAGCCGGUUGGAGCAACUCUGCCAAUAUAGAAUUGAACUUGGGCUGCAACGGAUUGCUGGAGGGGCAUCAUCACCUACUGCUGCUGCACACCAGAGGCCACCCAGUUCAAGUAUCACAACAGAGCGUGAAGUAUUCGGAAGAGAAGAAGAUAAGGCCAAAAUUCUUGAUAUGGUAUUGACCGAUAUUAGAAUUCGUAAUAAGAUGUUUGGAAACAAAGAAAAACAGAGAAAAUGAAAAAGGAAACUUCACGAUUUAUUAACCAGAAUAUUCAAUGCUUAUUAAGCUUACUUAGCUAAGCUUAUAUACAAUUAUUCUAACUAAUUAAACAACUGCAAAACAACUAAUAACAACUUCAGAUUUAGUUUAGCCAUUGAGCUCUUGCCACAUGUCAUUCAGUUACAUUCAAUCUUGUCCAGCUCAGCAGCUCUGUCCAGCUCAGCAGCAACUAUAUCUUCAACAUCCCCCCUCAAGCUCAACCGAGGAAGUAAGGUUGAGCUUGUCACGUAAGUAGAGAAAAGGGUGAUAAGAAAGAGCUUUGGUGAGAAUAUCAGCAGUUUGUUCUGAGCUAGAAAUAUAUUGAACCUUAAGACAUUGAGCAGCAACUUUCUCUCGAACAAAAUGAACAUCUAAUUCAAUGUGUUUUGUUCUGGAAUGAAACUUAGGAUUAGAGGCUAAAGCAGCUGCACUUUGAUUAUCACACCAUAUGAUUGGAAUGGAGGGAAGAGUAAGACCAAUCUCAGCAAGAAGAGAACGAAUCCACAAGACUUCAGCUGCUGCCAUUGCUAGUGCUCGAUAUUCAGACUCAGCACUAGAUCGAGAGACCACUGCCUGUUUCUUAGAGCACCAAGACACUAGAUUUGGACCCAUAUAGACACAAUAACCAGCCACUGACCUCCUAUCAUCUCUGUCUCCAGCCCAAUCAGCAUCACUGAAACAAUCAAUCUGUAUGCUGCCAUGAUUGUAGAACUGUAAACCAAGAUUAACAGUACCCUUCAGAUAUCGUAAAACCCUUUUACAAGCCUGCCAAUGAUUGACAGUUGGAGAAGAUAGAAACUGACUGAGCUUGUUGACAGAGAAAGCAAUCUCUGGUCUGGUCAAUGUUGCAUACUGAAGAGCACCUAUGGUGCUUCUGUAUAGAGUAACAUCAGAAAAGGGUUCACUAUCAGCUUUAGUAAAAGCCACUCCAGAAAGCAUAGGAGUAGAACAAGGAGUACUAUCCUGCAUGUGCACCUUGGCAAGCAAAUCAGUGAUAUACUUGGAUUGAGAAAGAUGAAUACCAGAUUUAUUGUAAAUGACCUGAACUCCCAGAAAAUAAUUCAAUGCACCAAGAUCUUUAAGUGCAAAAACAGACUGGAAGUUGGUGAUGGUCUGCUGAACAAGCUGAGGAUUGGAGCCUGUAAUAAUAAUAUCAUCUACAUACACCAAGACAAGUAGCAGAUGACCUUGUGUGCUCUUAAAGAAGAGUGAAGUGUCUGAAAUAGAAUUUGUAAAGCCCCACUGAGUUGUAAGAACUAGUUUGAGUCUGUCAAACCAUGCCCUUGGAGCCUGUUUAAGGCCAUAAAGAGCUUUGUGCAGCUUACAGACAUAAUCAGGCCUGGAACUAUCUAUAAACCCCUCAGGCUGUUGCAUAUAAACUUCUUCAGUGAGGUAGCCAUUAAGGAAGGCAUUAUUAAUGUCUAUUUGCCUCAGUACCCAAUGAUUCAUGACAGCCAUACUCAAGAUAAUUCUGAUGGUUGAAGACUUAAUGACAGGACUGAAUGUUUCAUGAAAAUCCAGCCCUUGAGUUUGGUGAAAUCCCUUAGCAACAAGUCUAGCUUUGUAUCUAGAGACACUGCCAUCAGGAUUAUAUUUAAUCCGAAAUACCCACUUAUUCCCAAUUACUUUAAUGGGAUGUGUAGGUUUGACAAGAGUCCAGGUAUGAUUAUUGACUAAGGCUUGAUAUUCAUCUGUCAUUGCUUUAUGCCAAGCUGAAUCUUGAAGGGCUUUUAAGGUAGUAGCAGGUUCUGUAGGUUUGGUAGGAUUGGCUGUAAUAUAGGCUUUAGGUUUGAAGAUACCAGCCUUUGAUCGAGUGAGCAUUGGAUGACCAGUAGAUGACUGCAAUGGUGGAGUUAAAUGAUGAACAGGUGAGGUAGAUGGUUCUGAGUGUGAUUGUAUAGAAGAUUGAGAAGGAGAGUCUGGAGAGGAUUGAGAGAACCUGAGAUCAGCUGCUGUAGAGGAUGAAGACUUGGUUAUAUCAAGUUGAAUCAAAGGACAAACAGAAGAUGAACAAUGUGAAGAAGACUGAGAUGAAUGAUCUGAAGAAGAGCAAGAGUGACUGACAGAGGAAAAAUCAACUCCUGACUGAAAAGGAAAACAUGACUCAUCAAAUGUAACAUGGUUACUGACAUAGAUUCUACCAGAGGAAUGAAGACACAAGUAGCCUUUGUGAAGGGAGCUGUAACCAAGAAAAAUACAUCUAGCAGUUCGAAACUCUAACUUAUGAUGAUUAUAAGGCCUCAGAUAUGGGAAACAAGCACAUCCAAAAACUCUCAUAACAGAAUAAUCUGGUCUUUUGUUGAAUAAUUUUUCAAAAGGUGAUUUGUUAUCCAGAAUGGGUGUAGGGAGCCUAUUUAUGAGAAAUGUGGCAGUAUGGAAAGCAUUCCACCAAAAUUUCAGUGGUAAAUGUGCUUGAGCAAGAAGGGUAAGGCCUGUUUCCACUAUAUGUCUAUGUUUGCGUUCAAUCUUUCCAUUUUGAUGGUGAAUAUAAGGACAAGGAUGUCUAAAUUGGAUUCCCUGCUCAGCAAGAUAAGGAAGAAAUGGCCUAAAUUCACCUCCCCAAUCUGUUUGAAGACACUUGAUUUUCCUAUUUAGGCAUUUUUCUAUCAUAUGCUGGAAUUCAAUAAAGGUUUGUAAGGCUUGAGAUUUGGUAACAAGAGGGAAUAUCCAGGUGAACCUAGUGAAAUCAUCUAAGAUGGAAAGAUAGUAGUGAUAGCCUUGAGAGGACAGCAAAGGAGCUGGACCCCAUAGAUCAGCAUGCAACAGCUCCAGUGGUUGAAUGGUAGUGGUGUCUAUAGAAGGAAAAUGCUGCAUGUGACACUUUCCAAAUUGGCAAGCAUUACAAAAAAUUGGUUUCAGGGCUCUAUUGAUAUCGAGAGAAGGAUGCAAAUGCUUCACAAUUUGUUUAAGAGCAUGCACAGUUGGAUGACCCAUUCUUUUAUGUAAAACAUUGUAAUCAACUGAUUUUGAAUGAGUAACAGACAAGGCCAUUGAGGCAUCAUUAUUGAAUUGAGAAAUAUUUACAUCUGUCAAAAUUUCUCCAGAAUGUAUAGAGUUUGAAACAUUGGAAUGACUAAUCAUUGACACUGGAGAGGAACAGACAUUUGACACAGAACUGGAAUUUGAGAUGACACAGAAAACAUUAGACGGAACUCUAUUUGAAACUGCAGCAUGAGACACUACAACAGGACCUUCAACUUGAUAUAAUCCUCCUCUAGCAAUCCCCUUGAGCAAGAUGAUCCCUGAUUUCUUGUCCUUGACAAAACAGGAGGUUUUAUGGAAUUCAACAACAACAUCAUUGUCAGCAAGUAAUUUAGAUACACUUAAAAGGUUUUUGGUUAUAGUUGGGACAUGCAAAAUAUUAUUAAGAUAGAUAGAUGUUGCAGCAAGUGUAUUCAAUCGUGUGCACCCAACAUGUUUAAUAUGUAAUCCCAUGCCAUUUCCUACAUGUAGCUUAUCAAAACCAUGAUAAACUGAGUAAGAAGAAAAGAUACCUGCUUCCUUAGUCACAUGAUUGGUUGCCCCGGAGUCAAUAUACCAAGCAGGAUCAGCUACAACUCCAUAAUCAGCAACUGGACCAGUGGGAGCAAAUUGUGCAGUGGGAAUAGCAGAAGGAGCAACUCCAUAGUUAGCAAAUGGAGUAGCAAUUGCACCAUUGUAUUGACCUUGUAAUCCUUGAAACACAAGAAACCCUUGAGGAUACAUAACAUUUGCAUUCUGAUAUGCAACAUUCCCUUGAAACAUGGGUGCAUUAUAUCUAGGAGCACCAGUUGCAGUUCCAUAAAAAUUUCCAUAACCUCUUCCAAACAUGUUCUGAGGCUGACCAGGAAAGCCUCUAAAAUUGAAUCCACCUCUAGGCCUAAAGCCACCUCUUCCUUGUCUAGGAAUAAAGUUCUGAUUAAAUCUGUUCCUGCAUUUGUAUGCUCCAUGACCAGGUAUGAAGCAUAUUUGACAAAUUACUUCCUUAUCAACAUUAUAUCCUCCUUUGCCAUUAUCAAAAUUUCCACCAUUAAAACCUCUCUGAUUAGCAUUAUUGAACUUAUUGUAAUUCUGUCCUUUCUGAGCAAAAUUAGCUGACAUAUCAUGCAACAAUUCAUUUUGCACCUUUCCCUUACUCAUCUCAACCCUAGUUUCAUGACUAAGCAUUAAGGAAUACACUUCUUCAAUAGUGAGAUUAUCUUUUUCCAGCCUAGCAAGUAUAGUUGUCACUAAUGACUCAUAGUUGUCAUCUAAACCAGUGAGCAAAUGCAUUAUAAAAUCUGUUGAAGCAAGAGGAUUACCACCAAUAGCUAAGCUAUCUGCAAUUUUUUUCAUCUUAUUGAAGUAAUCACUUACUGACAUAGCUCCUUUCUUUGUGGUUUGAAUCUGCAUUUUCAGAGGCAUGUAUCUAGCCUUUGACUGUGACAUGAACAUCUCGGCAAGUUUCUCCCAGAUCUCAAGUGAAGUAUCACAAUCCACAACCAUGAUAAGUACAUUGUCUACCAUAGAUGACAGCAUCCAGCUCUGUAGAAGCUUGUCAGCUUUCUUCCAGUCAAUAUAGUCAGAAUUUUCACGUCUGCUUGAGCUAGGAGCUUCUGAUCUACUGGCAGCAUUCUCAUAUGAGGAAAGAAAACGAUCUGGACAAGGAGAUUCUCCAUUGAUAAAACCUUCAAGUCCAUUGGCAAUAAUCGAAGCUUGAAUUUGAGCUCUCCACACCAGAUAAUUUGUUCGAUCAAGUUUUGUUGGUUGAAUAAAAGAAAAAGAAAGUGAAGACGAUCCUGAAUUGCUUUGAUUCGUCAUGUUUCGUGGCUCUGAUACCAUAUUAGAAUUCGUAAUAAGAUGUUUGGAAACAAAGAAAAACAGAGAAAAUGAAAAAGGAAACUUCACGAUUUAUUAACCAGAAUAUUCAAUGCUUAUUAAGCUUACUUAGCUAAGCUUAUAUACAAUUAUUCUAACUAAUUAAACAACUGCAAAACAACUAAUAACAACUUCAGAUUUAGUUUAGCCAUUGAGCUCUUGCCACAUGUCAUUCAGUUACAUUCAAUCUUGUCCAGCUCAGCAGCUCUGUCCAGCUCAGCAGCAACUAUAUCUUCAACAACCGAUACCCCCAGUGAUCAUGCCAACUUUGUUGUAAUACCCAUUGUUGGCAUGGGCGGGAUAGGAAAAACAACUCUUGCUCGGGAGGUCUACAAUGACAAGGCCGUUGAAGAUUCAAAGUUUGAUGUAAAAGCAUGGGUUUGUGUCUCUGAUGUCUUUGAUAUUUUGGGCAUCUCAAAGGCACUUCUCGAAUCAAUCACCCGCAGGCCUUGUCUUCUGAACAGUUUAAAUGAAGUGCAGGUUGAGUUGAAAGUAGCUGUGGAUAAAAAAAGAUUCUUGCUGGUCUUAGAUGAUGUUUGGAACGAGGACUACAGCUUGUGGGUAGACUUAAAAGCUCCAUUCUUGGCAGCUGCACCAAACAGUAAGAUGAUCGUCACCACAUGCAAUUCAAAUGUUGCAUCAAUAAUGGGACCAAUUGAACAUUAUAAUCUCAAGAGACUGUUAGAUGAUGAUUGCUGGUCCAUUUUCAUACAGCAUGCACUUGAAUCUAGAGAUCUUAACGCACAUCAAAUUUCAGAAUCGUUCCACAAGAAAGUUGUUGGCAAGUGUGGAGGCUUGCCCCUGGCAGCAAAAACAUUAGCGGGCCUUCUACGUACUACGAGGCAUGAUGCCUGGGACGAUAUCUUGGAUAGCAAACUAUGGGAUUUACCACGACAAAAUGACGUUCUCCCUGUGUUAAGAUUGAGUUACCAUCAUCUUCCGUCUCAUUUGAAAAGAUGUUUUGCUCAUUGUGCCAUCUUUCCGAAAGAUUAUGAAUUCAAUGAGAAGGAGCUGACUUUCUUAUGGAUGGCUGGAGGUAUUAUUCGACAGUCAAGAAAGAAUGAGCAGCUGGAAGAAUUGAGCAGCAAGUGCUUUCAAGAUCUAGUGUCGAGGUCUAUUUUUCAACAAACCAGCUCUGGUAGUGCUAAAUUUGUAAUGCACGACCUUAUCCAUGAUCUUGCUGAAUUGGUUUCUAGAGAAACCAUUUUCAGGUUAGAGGAGUCCACCAACUUGUCAUCAAGAAGAUUUGAAAGGGUUCGCCAUUCUUCGUAUGCCCGUGGUAGGCUUGAUGGUAAAUCUAAGUUCGAGGUUUUCAAUGAAAUUGAACAUCUACGAACAUUCUUGCCAUUAUGCAUAAGAGGUGGCGUUACUUCUGGUUAUAUAACUAGCAUGGUUCUCUAAGAUUUGUUGCCGAAGUUCAAAAGGUUGAGGAUGCUGUCUUUAGACGGAUACCGUAUUAGUGAGUUACCAAUUCCAUUUGAAGAUCUGAGACUUUUAAGGUUCCUAAACCUUGCUGAUACUGACUUAAGAAGUUUACUUGAGUCAACAUGCGCAUUGCUGAACUUGGAAAUUUUGACAUUAAGAAAUUGUUCCCGUUUGAUAAAGCUACCGCCCAAAAUGAUGAACUUGAUCAAUAUUCGUCAUCUCGAUAUAAGAGGUGCAAAUUUGUUGAAGGAGAUGCCAUUCGGAAUGAAAGAGUUGAAGAAUCUUCAAACAUUGUCCAACUUUAUUGUGGGCAAGGGUGAAACUGCAUCUGGUUUGGAAGAUUUAGGAAGUUUAAACUUUCUUUGUGAUGAACUUUGCAUUGCUGGAUUAGAGAAUGUGAAUAAUCCACAGAAUGCAAGAGAAGCCGCAUUAUGUGAGAAGCUCAAUCUUCAUGCAUUGACUCUAGAUUGGGGGUCUCAAUUUGACAAUUCUCGAGAUGUAGCAGUAGAAGAGCACGUGCUUGACAUUCUACAGCCUCAUAAAUGUAUAAAAAAGGUGGCAAUCAGGAACUAUGGUGGUGCAAGAUUUCCACUUUGGAUAGGAGAUCCGUGGUUCUCCAAGAUAUAAUUCCUUGAAUUGGAGAACUGUAACAAUUGUGUAUCUUUGCCAUCGCUUGGUCUAUUGAGUUCACUUAAGCACCUUGCUGUCAAAGGGCUGAAGAAGCUAAAAAGCAUAGAGUCUGAAGUUUAUGGGGAGGGUUUCUCAAUGCCUUUUCCAUCAUUGAAGAUUCUACGUUUUGAGAAUUUGCCAGAGUGGUGGCAUUGGGACACCGAUAUCAAAGGAAAUGUGCACGUUGAUAUAUUUCCUUGUCUCCAAGAACUUUCCGUUGUGAAAUGUCCCAAACUCUCUGAAAAACUGCCUGAGCUUCUGCCCUCCUUGGAGAUACUUGUUGUUAGUAAAUGUGAAAAGUUGGUAGUUUCAUUGUCAAGCUAUCCAAGGCUCUGCAGAUUAGAGGUUGAUGAGUGCAAAGAACUAGUGUGCAGGAUCCCAAUUGAUUCUAAGUUGAUAAAGUUCAUGACUAUUUCAAAUAGUUCAUUAGACAUGAUUGGAUGCAAGGGGAUGCUAUACGAUAGUCAAGCUGGCUCUUCACUGCCAAAACCCAUGACCACUACAAAUGUUUUGGAGUUUGGAAAAUUACUGGAGCCUGGAUUUCAGAUAUUAGAAACUUUGGUAAUUGGCAAUUCUGAACAGCUCAAGCCAUGGAGGCAGGGAAGGGGACUUUCAAGUUUUAAUAGACCAGAACACCGGCUAAAAAUACUUGCUCACCCUGAUGAGGUAACAAUUGAGGAAAGUUGCGUAAGUCUUGUUUUGUUUCCAGAGAUCAAUUUCUUUCCCAGAAAUCUGCACUGUCUUCGAAUUUACAACAGCACUGCUUUCAAAUCCUUACCGGAGGAAAUGAUGGACAACAGUUCACAACUCGAAAGCUUGUAUAUCAAAGAUUGCCAUUCUCUACCAUUCAUCACAAGACGCAAGCUACCUUCAUCUCUAAAAAGGAUAGAGAUUGAGAAUUGUGAGAAAUUGCAACGUUUGUUCGAUGAUAAAGACGAUGCUUCUUCUUCUUCUCCUUCAUCCUCGUCUUCCCAAGUGAUGCUUCAACAUCUAAGUAUAAAGAAUUGCCAAGCGCUCUCCAGUUUGUCAUCGGGAAUUCAAUUACUUGAGUCGCUCGAAGAACUUGUGAUAACAAAUUGUCGAAAGCUGGAGUCAAUACCCGAUGGCCUGCACAAUCUUAACUGUUUACAGAAGAUUACUCUAGUGAGUUGUCCAAGUCUUGUUUCCUUCCCAGAAAGAGGGCUUCCCAACGCCAUUUCAUGGGUUGACAUUAGUUAUUGUGACAAGCUUGAAGCCCUGCCCAAUGACAUGCACAAACUCAACUCUCUCCAAACUUUAAGCAUAAUUCAAUGUCCAAAGCUUGAGUCGUUUCCAGAAGAAGGCUUUCCCACCAAUCUUAGAACGCUUAAAAUUGGAAAUUUCAAAAUGUACAAGACCCUCGUCCAGUGGGGGUUGCACAGGCUUUCCUCUCUCAGAAGCCUCUACAUUUAUGGAUGUCAUGAAGCAGAGUGUUUUCCAGACGAGAAGGUAGGAAUGACGCUGCCCACAUCUCUAACUCAUCUGUCCUUAUUGGGAUUCCAGAAAAUGAUACUUCUGUCUUCAGUGGGUUUCCAAAGACUCACGUCUCUUCAAUGUUUGAAGAUAUGGAAUUGCCCAAAUCUCACGUCAUUUCCAGAGGUAGGCCUUCCAUCCUCACUUUUGGAUUUAUACAUUAACAAUUGUCCUAGGCUUAAAAAGGCGUGCAAAAGGGACCAAGGAAAAGAGUGGCCCAAAAUUGCUCACAUCCCUUGCGUUGUGAUAGAUGGAAAAUUCAUAUACGAUCCAGAAUUGGAGGUGUAGAUUCUAUUAUUAAAGUCGGUUUAUUUAUAUUAUCCACUAUAACAAUCUCCUAUUAGUUUUUUUUUUUUUUUUUUAAUGAAAAAAAUUGCAGUUCUGUAUAAUUUAAAAUAUAUAUAUUAAUCCUCUGCCCUUAAUUGAAAAUACCACUCACUUGUUUCUGUUUUCACAAGUCAGAUUGUACGUUGAGGCUAUUUGCUUUUUAUCGGUGUUUGUUAAGGUAAUUAGUGUCUCAUAGGCUGAUUAUAGGCAGAUGAAAUUAUAACUUUUAACUUAAAAUUUAAUACCAUAGACAGAUAGAUGAUUUUUAAUCCAAAGGUUUUUAGAUGUGAUCAAAUUGUCACAUGCAUAACAUAUUAGGCAUGCAUGAUGUAUCACAAGGUUGAUACAUCUUAUAUGCCACGUGAUGAAAUUAAGGAUGUUUCUCUUACAAGGGACACAUCCUUACAUGUUCAAAUUUGAACAUGUAACUUCCAAGUGGUUAAUGGAAGUUACUUGUUCAAAAUUCGAACAUAUAACUGUCAUAUUGUUGCCUAUAUAGAGGCAUGAACGCAUCACAAAUUCAUACAUUCCAAGACAUACUUAAAGUCUUAUCAUAUUAUGAUCUUGCAGUUUUGCAUGUAGCCACCAGCCUAAGGGCAGUGUAAAACGAUCCCAAAAACCAUCAAUAAUAACAAUGGAUAUAGUUCCUAAAUAAACUGAUGAAAUUUAAGGAUGAUUGGAUGAAACAGCUAUGAUAAAAUGAACUAUCUCGAACCGAGCGAAUGGCACUGACUCAUGAAUAAGUGUGGAUUCCAAAUAUCUUCAUAUCUUCAUAGAUAUUCAUUUCCGUGUUAAUUCGAGGACUUCUAGAAAUUUAGUUAGUUAUUCUAUGAAAUAGAUAUACUAAUAAUAAUAAAACAAAAACGACGGGUGUUACACAAAUUCACAAGUAAAACUGUACUACUUGGAAACUGUGAACAGUAUAGAUUGAAGAUCAUACGAUUGCUAUUUUCAUUGAGUUUCAUGCAUAAAACUUUAUCGAUUAUUAAAUUAGACAUCUUUAUCUUUCUAUCCAUAUGUUUAUUGUUCAAAAACUUAUUGUAUAUUAAUUGUUUUGAUUUUUAAAAAUUGAAACACUGGUGCUGGAAAAUUCUGAUUUUCAGUAGCGAUUCUCAAUUCUAUAAUUUAUUUCAUAACUCCAAAUACUUCUGAAAAUUCUGGGAAUUUUUAUUACUGUACACUUAUAUGUCUAGUUUCUGUCUUUUUAAUUUCGUAAUUUUUGGCUUUAUAUAAAAAUCAUAGAGUUAGACUGCGCAAUCCCAGAAACUGUUUUCCAGAAUUGCGAGGGCUGAUAUUUAGGGCAGUUUGGGAUAGUUUUUCAUCAGUAAAUGUCUUAUAAAUCUUUAAUUCUGACUCCUAUUGUUUCCUCUAAUUGUCAAAACUAGAAUCACUAUUUUUGGACAUGUGUAACUAAAGUUAUAAAUUUUUCAAGCAACAGUCCUCUGUUUAUAUCGUUAUUGGACAGUUUGGAUAAUUUUGUGGAAAAAUAAGUUUUCAGGGGAUGUUUUUAAACUCUAAUUGAUUAUGUAAAAAUUUAAAUUGAAUGCCAAUAUGUUGACAAUAGUGUUUUGUGAUAUUUGUGAUAUUUCCGACGUACUUAUAGCUUGUUAGAAAUCAGCUCCUAUAUAAUGGUCUAGUAUAGUUUAGUGAAUUGAUGUGCUUAAGUAAGAGUGCAUGGUUUAAGGAUUUUUGGAUUUUCCUAUCUAGGUCAGAAUUGAAUAAGAUAUUGAUAGUACUUUUUUCUUAACAAUCAUAGGCCAAAAGUGAGCUCGUUUGAUUUGGGUUAUUGUUGAUUGCUUUGUAUCAUGGUAAGUAAAUUCAUGCAUAAUAUUUAUUAAAGUAUACACGUAAAUAUUUAUUAAUAGAAUAAUGUUGUCCAAAUGGAUUGGCAAGUUAUGGUUUUGAAGUUAUUUUAAAAUGUUUUCUUAAAUUUGUUUUAAAAAUAACUUCAAAAUACCUGCUUCUCUAUAAAAUGUUUUCCUUAAAAAUAUUUGUAAAGCUUUGCCAAUUCAAUGUCUUGUAAGCGUUUUAUCGAAAUAUUAUGGAAUGAUUGAUAUUGGAAAUCUGAAAACUGUUUUUAAGGUUUUGGCUCAUUGUCCGUAGUUAUCGUUACUAAUAUUACUAAAUAGCUAGUUGUAUUGUGCGCACCUAUUGACGAUUAUUGCAGGGUAAAGUACCCUGGUAGAACUAUAAGUUGGGUCACCGAGAUUAUAGGUGACAUAUUGAACUAUUGACCAGGUCACCGGGGGUAUAAGUGACACUAUGUGAUAUGAGUAAAUUGAAUGAAAGAAAAGUUUUAUUGAUAAAAGAUUUCUUACACGAUUAUUUAUUGAAAAUGAUUAUUAUGCUAUGACUUAAUUGAUUAUGAGUUUUACCGCACACAUAUGAUUACAAAAUGAUUUUUGUUUCCUAACUUGUGGUACUACAUAAUAAUGAUUAUAUACUUUUUUCCUUAUUGGUAACCUUAUGCAUGAGUUCGCUUACCGAUUGACGGCUCACCCCUCGUCUCCAACAUUUUAUAGAUUGAUUUUAGUGAUGUGCGCUUUUGGUCUAGCAAAGAGGAUUUAGCUGAAAAACUUUGGCAUUUUCUAGAUGAAUUAAUUGUAGCUAGUUUGAUUAUUGCUUAGAGCUAGAUUUUAUUUUGGAGGAUUUUUGAGUUAUUUUUUAUUUUAGAGACUAUGUUUUGUCAAUGAACAACAUUGACUUUAUUUGAAAAUAGUAAUAAGAUUAAUGUUAUAAGGUUUCAUUUGGGGUGUUACAACUUGUCUCUUAGUAAGUUUAUUUUUGUUAGCCUAUCCAGUAAGGUUUAUUAUCGACUGACAUCAUUUUCAAUGAAAUCAUCUUAUGUUGUUAAGUUUUGCAUAAAUAAAUAUUUCAGUAGGGUCAAAAGAGCAAGAGUUUACCUAUAAAAAAAAAGUCAAAAUUAGUUUAACCACCCCAGUGCGAAUUUCUGACCACGUCUUGCUUUGUAUGAUUUAACUCUAUUAUUAAUUAGUACUAAAAUAUCGAUGAAAAAAAUGGACAUGAAUUUUGAUCUCGUGUUGCUUUGUUUUGGUUGAGUGGCCAAUUUUAACUUCAUGUUAAACUUUCUCAAUUAUUAGUUGAAUUAUUUGGAUUUGAAAACUUAAAACCACCAUUUUAAUUUGUUUAGUAAUGACUAUGUUGAACUUCAACAUUUGUUUUCAAGAAAAAAAUUGAUCAAACUAUGAUGCUCUUGUUUCUAUUAUUAUGGAAUCUCUUUUUCAAUCGUCAAAGUUUGAAUUAUAUUAUGCUGCCUCUGUAUUUCCGCAGAAACAGAAUCAGUUGGUGAUCCUUCAAAACAAGAAAAACCAAAAAAAGAUGUAGUGCGUGAUAAGAUAAUGAGACAGAUGGCUCAUGUUGACAUUAAUACUCAAGUUGGAAGUUGCAUGCCCCUUGCUUGUAUGCGGACUGGGACCAUCAUCCACAAAAUUGAGGUAUACCCGGCUGAAGGUGGCAAGCUAGUUCGAGCCGCUGCGACGUCAGCCAAGAUUUUGAAGAAGACCCACUUCAAGGUACUGCUUAGUAAGGCUAACUUCUGGAAAUGAGAAACUGAUUGACGCUAGAUGUCGAGCCCACCAUUGGUACAGUGUCUAACCCCAGCCAUGGAGCUACGAAGCUUAGGAAGGCUGGUCAGAGCCGUUGGUUGGGUCGAAGGCCUGUGGUUGGAGGAGUAGCCAUGAAUCCAGUUGAUCAUCCUCAUGGUGGAGGUGAGGGACGAAGCAAAAGUAGCCGUAACCAUGGAAGGUGUUCACUUACGCCUUGGGGCAAGCCUUGUAAUUCUGGGUAUAAAACUGCAUUUCCUAAGGGAAAAAAAAAAAGAAAAAGAAAUUACCCGUCUGAUAAUAUUUUCCUUCUUUGCUAUUUAGCCUUUUUAAUAAUGUUACAUUGUUUGUCAUAUAUUUGAGGUUAGUUUUAGACCAAUUUUUAACUGAUCCAUAAUGAAACUGAAGUUUAAUUUUCUAUUGAACUUUUCCUGGUUUUACUCUUCUGUCAUUUCAAUUUAGCAAUGAUUUAAGAUGUUGAGUUCUGUGCUUGGAACAUGUAAAUGGGAAAGAGAGAUAUAAUGGGGUAGAAUAUAGAUUUUGUGUUUUGGUUUCUCAUGUUUAGAGAUAUUCUGUUCUUUUUCAUUUGUUCAAUUUGGUUAGUGGUGAUUUCUUAAAGAGUCGAUGCACGUGUGUAUAUAUACUUUUCUUUUGGCCUUGAUUCUGUUUCUUGGGGAGUUUAUGCAGUUUCUUUUUUUAUGCUUCGUAUGCCACAUGAAAGAUGAAAGCAUUUUGUGUAUUUAGAAUUGACUUGCAUCAUAGUAACUUUGAAUCACUGUUAACAUUUGUAUAAUAGCAGUCUGAGAUCUCCUUGAAGGAUUCAAAAGCAUUUUAUUUGAUGGUCUAGACCUAAAAUCAACUCCUUUAUAUAGAUAGGUUGGUCUUCUUCAAAGCAAUUCCUAUUUUAAGUAAUCAAAAUUUUGAUUUGGAAGUGUGUUUUAACACUACCAAAAGUUCUUUAAAUACUAAAAAUGUGUUUGGGAGUGAGGUGAUGUGGCUUUUAAGCUACAAUUACUGCAAAGUAAAAGUCAGUGAGUAUAAAUAAGAAAAAAUGACUGUUGAGUUGCCAAAGCCCAACUGCCGCACAUCACUUCCAAAUGCACCGUAAAAUGAUUUUGAGUCUUCUAUAUUAUUGAAACAAAAUACAUGAAAGCACUUUUGGCUACAGAAGUACACUUGGGGUUCUUUAUAAAAUUCUUCGACAGCAAUUUUUCCCCCUUUUUGCUCAUGGCGGUUUUUCUGGUUGUUCUUUUAAGAAAACACUUAAAGGUUCUUUUUAUAGAUUUCUGAAAGUACUUCCAACAUAAGCAUUUUUCAGAAAUUUUUUCUGAAAUUAAUUUUAUUUACUUAUCGACUUUUCAACUCCUGUGGUUGUUUAUGAAAUGAAAGGCAAGGGUAAUCACAAGAAAUCUGCAAACUUUAUCAAUUUUUAACUAUACCAAUUUGUUGUUUAUGCUUUACUUUUAUUUUACAGUUUUGUUUAAUGUUUAGAUGAUAGAUAUAUAGACAUUUUAGAUUGGAGAAUUUUGUCAACAAAUUCAUUCCUUUCUUUCACUUUUUCCCUUUUCAGAGGAAAGCAAUUUUGACUAAUUUUAGCCAGAAUCGGACUAUAAUAUUUUGGAGCAAGCCUACUUGAAAUGAUGCUUUUUAAAUUUGAUCUAGUUAAAAUACACUGCCGUUACCCAAAAAAUUCUAGUCUUGGAUUUCAUAGAAUGCCCUUUUAAGAUAUUUUCUCAGCUCUUUGUUGGUCGCAGCAUCUGAGAUUAGCAUUCUCACAUUUCACUUGUUUUGCCUUUGUUUUGAAGGUAACUUAGUUGCAUAGGUGAAUCGAGGUUCAAGAAUGCCGAGAUGGCUACAAGUUUCAAGAAUCAUUUAAAGAGGCGUAAUGACAGCACCAAGAUGGGCUUUGUGAUUAACAAGAUUACUAAUUGAACCAAUCUUGAUGGGACAGAGGACAUGUCAGAACCGUUGCGCACAGGGAGAAGAGUUAGGGGAGCUUUGAGAGUUGAGACCAUCAACAUCCAGAAAGGCUGCUGGUAAUGUUUCAUGUGUUACAAAGUUGCAAGGAAAUUUCAUUUAUAUUUUAACACCUUGUAUUUGAAAAAUUUAAUGUAAUUUUCUCUUUUUUCAAUUUAUUAUUCAGAUCGUAGACUAGUAAACGGUUUAGAUCGCAAGCUUUUAUUAUGCAGUUAUUUUCUCCUUUUCAGGAAGAAGUGGUCAGUUCCAUUCCAGAAUUGGAAUAUGGUAAUUAGGUGCAAGCAUACGUUGUAACAAUCAUUUCUUGUUUGUUUGAUUAUGCUUAUCUAUUUAGUUGUUUAUCGUUUGGUUGUGUUAAAUUAUUUGAAUUAGCAUUAUUUGAGAUAAAGCAUAAUUCUUUUAUUUAUUUAUUUAUUUUUUAAAUAAAUUAUUAUAGAAUAUCGUCUUUAUCGUAUAAUGUAUUUUUAUAAAAGUAAGCAUUUUUAUAAAAUUUAAACUCUUCCAAUCUCCUUAUGAUUAAAACCCUUAACCUAAUAAACGUAUAAAAGCAAAGAGUCCUAGGAUUUUCUUUUGUGCACAUUUGGAAGAAUUUUUGAGGUAAUUAUCCUUCUCUAAAACAUAUUCUCUAAUCUUAGGUGUUUAAUGAUGAAUGCAUGCAUUGUUUUUUUAAUCAUGAAUGACUAGCUAGACAUUAUGAGGCAUGAGUACUGUGAUUCUAUUACUGUUUUCCCUUUAUUUUUUAUUCAGGUUUUCACUAAAGUUUUCAUAAAAUUAAACUAGACAUUUUAAGGCUUUCAAUGAUAUAUUUUGUACGAAAAGAUUACCAGUAACCAAUUUGUUGUGAAUUUUCGAAUUCAGAACAGUGGUGCUGGAAAAUUCUGAUUUUCAGCAGCAUGUUUGACUUUGCCCAUUUUUCUGUCUGUCUAAAUGAUCCCUAAAAUUAUGCUGAUUUUUCUAUUAAAUCCUCAUUAUGUCUACUUACUAUAUGUUCACUUUCAUAAUUUUCAUUGAGUAAAAAAAAAAUUAAAAAUCAUUAUGUUGGGCUGCUGCAGUUUUGGAAACUGCUUUCCAGAAUUGCGAUGGCUGACAAUAAAAUUACUUUAGGCUAUUAAAAGGCUUUAGAAUGGCCUAUAAAAAUUAUAUUCAUAUAAUUUAUGAAUUCCUUAUGAUUUAAAGUUUAUUUGACUAAUUUUGAUAGUUAACAUUAAGUUAUGAAUUUUUCAAGUGCAAAACAUAAACCUGAAUGUUUCUGGACAGGUUUGCUGGUCUCUUAAUAUAAAUUCGUUUAAAAUAGUGUCAUAUCUUCAAAAAUUCUAGGAAUUUGAAGCUUUGUUUCUUGAUGCAUCUACUGUUUUAAAAUCAAGUGGUCUAAUUUUUAAGAGUUCUAUUAAAUAUUUUACAAAUUUUCCAGUUCAGCAACCUCUGUUUUUAUCACUGUUGGACAGUCUGGAUAUGCAUGUAAAAUUCUUUUUGCAAUAUGUUUGACUUUUAUUCAUUCUUUUGAAUUUUUAUUUGAAAUGUUAUCCAUGUUUAUGGUUUAUUUUCUUUGAUUUUACAAUUUUCCAACAUUUGAUUAGCUUGGUAAAAAUCGGCUCAGACUAGCUUUAAUGGUUUAGUGCUUAUGACUAGGCUUGAUUAUGUUAGAUUUAUAUCAAGAUCAGAAUGAGUAAUAGUAUUGAUAAGAAUGUGUCUUGAUAUUUUAGGACGAGAUUGAGCUCGAGGCUAAGGUUACUAUUCUUUAUUGUUGAGGAUUGAGAUAAGUAGAUUCAUGCAUGGUAUAUGUAUUUCACUAUUAAAUUAUUUUUAAUUCGAGGUAUCUAUUAUGUUAAAUGAAAAGUAUUUGAAACUAAUUUGUUUUAGCCUAUUACAAUAUUUUGUUAAAAUAAAAUCGUUCUUUAAAUUAUUUAUAAUAAACCUUUUAUUUAUUAAAAACUUGUUUUAUAAAUUGUCUUAAAAAAACUUUUAUUAAAUUGUUUUAAGUCAAAUACUUUGAAAUAAUUAUCAAUUAUUUAAAUGAUUAAAAGUUCAAGGAUGAUUUUAAAUGUUUUUGCUCAUUGUCUGUAAUGAUGCUAUGUUAUGUUAUAUGUUGUGGAAGGCUAGUUGGAAUAUGUGUACAUAUGAUGUUAAUGUUAAUGAUUCUCGUGGGGUACAGUACUCUAAAUGAUGUCAUACGGAUGGGUCACUGGGUCUACAAGUGAUACUAUGUGGAAUGAGCUAAGUAUGUUUUAUGUAUUUAAAAAGCUAAUUAUGUUUUACAUGUUUGAAAUGCUAUUAUUAUGUUUAAAGGAUUUAAAUGACUUUCUGAUGUUUUGAUUUAUUUUUUAUAAAUGAUUAUUUACAAAAGUAAUUUCCCUUAUUAUUAUUAUGCAUAUCUAAGAAAUUCAAACAAUUAUAAUUUAAUGGUUUUUAGUAUUGUGCAUGAAUUUACUUACCGAGUUGACGGCUCACCCCUUGUUAUCAUAUUUUUGUAGAUAGAGUUAGAUGAUGUGAGCUCAUGAUCUUAGGAGGAAGAAUGAGAGCUCGUUUAUUUUUGGGGAUUAAUGUUACAUUAAUAAUUUAGCUUCCUUUGGCAUGAUAUUUAUUUGAGAAUUUGUUAUUUCAUUACUUAUUAUCUUUUGGAAGAGGAGCAUUUACUGUUGGAUAUUAAUUUGAUGAUUUUAGAUACGAGAGUGAUGAAAUACAGUUUCACUUCAAUUUCACUUUAGUAUCUUAUUAGUGGAAUUGGGGUGUUACAUACGUGCCCGGUCAAUGAACUUGAACUUUAAAUAGUUUUUUCAACUCAUUGAUUUUUGGAACUCAUAUUGGUGCAAGGAAAUCAAAAGAAAUUUAUGAUUAGUCAAAUUCUGAUAGUUGCUAUAUAUUAUACAUUCUAAAGUUUCUUGAGUUUGUUUUCAGAUGAAAAUAUGAUCAAUUCAUUUUGUUUUUGAAGUGUAGGAAAAUAGGCUGGGAUAUUAAUGCAUAGGCAAAAACUUUUUGAGUGGCUUUCCAGCGGAUAAUUAUCGGAAACAUGACUGGAUUUUUUGACUUCCGUAAAUCUUGCAUUUUAACCUGGCAAAUUUAACAAAAGUUCAAUACAACUUUGUUAGUGCCUUGUGUUCCAGAAGCUAGAAAGAUGUGUAGAUUCCAUAUAAGCGGGCUUGUAAUUACUCUAGUAAGAAUCCAAUUAUUUGCCUUUGCACCUUCAUUUUAUUUGUGGAUCCUUGCAUGUUUCUGAAUUUGAUCAAUCCAAAAGGAAUUGCUCUGAAGAAUAGCAGUAACUAGCCUAUGUCUUAGUGCAUGGACCUGCAAACCUGAGCUGACAAAGCUGAAACUAUUAGUUUGAGGUGACAAAUCCAUGAUCGUCACCUGUUAACUUCUGCUAGUUGCUUUCGUGAAACACUUUUAAGAAAUAAGCAAUUUGUUGUUAGUCGCCGUAUCUGAUGUGCUUUCUUUUAUAGUUUGUAGAAUCAACUGUAUUAUAUGUUGUCAGUUGCAGUAUCUGAGGUGUCUUUUGCAAUUUACUUGACCUUUAUUUGUUUGCUAGUGAGUUAAGAAUACCAACAUUGGCCAGAGAUUUGGAGAAACAUCCGAAGACGCUUAACAAACUUGGAGAUGCACUUGCUUCCAAGCUUCAUUCAUCACAAUGCGAAUCCGGUGAGUACUUAUGUCUUCAAUUAUGUAGAGUGUUUGAAAUUUUGAUGCAGCGAGAUGGUUUGUUGAUGCAAAACUUUAUACUGUUAAGGACUUACCCUGCAGGCUUUUUGCAUGUUGUAUCAACUCCAAAAUCCAACGAGAACUACAGCACCAAAGCCCAGUUUUCACUGAUUCAAUCAGCUGAAAUCAUGAGGGAAAUAACAGUAUAGCACCAUCAAGCUGGACUUAGAGAAUAAUCAGAUCAGUCAUCCAUUUCAUGAACUGUUAAUUUCAUGAUGGAGGCUUAGUGGAGCUGAAGAGGAAACAAGGAUGUGUAGGGAUCAACAAACAACAGUGAGAAGCACGAUUGGAGCUCUGAUUACAAAUAGACAAUUUAAAAAUAUGUGCUGGUAAGUGGAAAUUAAAGAAAUUUGUGAGCUCAUUCAAGUUUCGGUAUUUUCUUUUUGGAUAACGUUGAUACCAAGUUUGGCAAAUCUGUGUUUUCUGCGUUUAAUCUGUGUUUUGGUUAAAGUAGAUGCUCUGAUUAAUACUUGUUUGUUUUCAUAAAACAGGACAAAAAGAGAUCACCAAUCUUGAUUGAGAAUUCAUUUAAGUAAAAUUUCAAAAAUUGCCAAACACAGUAUAAACUAGGAUGCACUUGCUUAAGAUUCAUUUUCAGACGGAAGUUUGUACCUCCAGAUCAUAAAAUCAUGUUUAUGUUGUAUCUUUAUUCAGCAAUUGAAAGAUUCCAAGUUUGCUGAAACCAUAUUAUUUCUUUCCCAGGCGCUUUCCUGAAGGUAUCGACAUCUAUUUCGAAAAUGUUGGGGAUAAGUUGCUUGAUGCAGUGCUACAAAACUAUGAAGGAUUUCUUGUCGGUGAUUACUACCACCUGGAUAAAAAAUUCAUGGAACUGGUCAUGCCGGCAAUAAAAGAAGGAAAGGUGGUACACGUGGAAGACAUAGAUGAAGGCCUCUGUAUACGUCGAAGACAUAGAUGAAGGCCUGGAGUCCAACAGCCCUCGCUGGGCUAUUCAUUGAUCGGAAUGUCACGAAACAACUGAUUGUAGUUGCUUGGGAAUUUAAAAACCACCAUAUGCUGUAGAAAUGCACAGAGCCAUGCACUUUCAAAGCUUUGUGAAGAUGUCUUGGUCAUGUGUUAGAACAGAUUAUGUUUGUUCGAUUAAAUUGUACGCAGUUAUAAAUCAAAGAUUCAGAACAUUGCAUGUAGAAGUUCAAAUUUUAAAUUUUUGGAAGCAGAGGCGUAGAGUUUUUUUCUUUUGGAAAAAAAAAUCUAAAUUGUGGAGACUAUUUUUAUUUAAUUUUACAAUCUUAUUUUAUUUCUUUCACAACAUAAUUUUAAAAUAUUUAUUUAGUAAAUUAUUAACAUCCAAACCACUAAAGAUUUUUUUGUUAAACGCUCUACUUACAAAGUUAUAUUAAUUAUAGAUUUACUCAAAGAAAGUAUAUUUAAGAAGUUAUAGCAAAAAAAAGUUCUAAUCUGUCUUACAAAGGACUAUUGACAAGAGUGGUGCGACUCCCACCCCUUCAAAGUCCACUUGACACCACGCUUUCUCGAUUUAAAAUUUUAUAUAGUUGAAAAUUGUGUUUUCUUUUAAAUCUCCUUGCUUUCCUCUAUUCUUGUUACUUGAGAAGAAGAACCAGAGUCUAGAAGAACGAAAGAAAAUUCAGCGAGAUAGAAAUUUGGAAAUUUCAUCCGAGCUUUUUUUUUCUUAAAUUUUUUGGUAUUUCUUCCUUGUUUCUAUGGAUUCGUUCAAUGGAUUCUUGACCAUUCUUCCUUCUUUCUAUUUUCUACCAUGAUUCAGAAUUUUUCCUUAAAAAAAAUCUAGAUGCAUGGCCAAAUGAAAUGACCCCCUUUAGAGCUUCGGUUACUGUUGCAUAUUCAGCGUCUGCAUUUGACAAAGCAACUAAAUGCACACUAAAGACUUGCUGUUUCCAUUCAGUAUGCAGUUACACAGACAAAGGCCUUAAUUAUUGUCAAGUUCUCCAGUAGCAUACUCCGAAAUCCACAUACCAACCCACCAGAACUCCAAUCUUGAAACUCCAUAAAUCAAAAUUGAAGUGCCUGCCUCUCUGGUACCUCUCAAGGUCCAUUUUACUACUUUCCAUGUCUUUCCAUGCAUCUACUGACAACUUGGGAAAUGCCAGGUCUUGCAAGCACCACUACUUACAUUUGAGUCUGCUAUUAUUAUUAUUACUAUUUUAUUAUUAUUAUUUAAAAAAAAACACUCUAACUAGGAGAGACAAGUUCCGUGUAGUAGGACUGAGCAACAGGGCCGUAGCAAAUAUUAUGUUUUUAAUCAUUCUUGUACCAAAGUAUUUAAGUAUGCGAUAAAAAAUAAUAAUAAUAAUUUAUUGACAACUAAAAGUUAAUAGUGGCUGGGGUGGACCUGGGUUUUGUUUAAAAAAAUUGAUUAAUAAAAUUUUCGAAAUUUCAAAUUUCUAGUACAGAGAAAAUUGAUGAAUAAAAUUCUGCAAGUUAAUUUCUAAUAUGCCAUGAAAAUAUUAUCAAGUUAAAUUGUAACAUCGUUAAUCACUUAAUCCUCAGUCUAAUAUGCCAUAUAUUUGUUUCUCAGGCUUUAAUCGAAAGUGCCGGUGAUUUAUUGUUAUUUUCAGUAAUCAGAUAGGUAUGUUAAGGCUGUUUAAUUCAUCGACAAUGUACCAACAAGACUCAGAUUGGGAGAUUGUAAAUGUAAUUAACAAUAAUCUUUUAUUCAUUUUGAAGUUCAUUCUAUUGUUUACACAGGAGCAGCGUUCUCUUAUGUUUUAUGGAUAUAAUGUUUGGUAAUCCUAAUUUAAGCUAAGGUAUAUAUAUUUCCUAAUUACAUCUAAUUUAAGCUUAUUCAAAUGCAAUCAAUUAAUGUUCAAUAGUAAAAAUUCCAAAUACUAUAUAUUGUAAGAAUUUUAAUCGUAAUGACAAGGUGAUCAUUUGAAUUAUUAUUAUUAAAUUAUAUGUAUGGUGGAGUCCACACGGUUUUGACUAGAAAUCAAAGAGUUAAGAGACAAUAUUAAUUUAUUUAAGUUAAUAGUAUUUGUUCUGUUUAGUACGUCUUUUGACCAACAAGCAUCCCGGCAUUGCACGCAUUAAUUAAUAAAGCAUUGUGCAUGUCACAUUAUUAGAGCCAAUUGCGCCCGGUACACCUCCAUACUUCAAAAAUUAUCUUAAUACCCUAAAAUCUGUUUUUACCAAAAUUUUCAUCGAUACCCUUUAAAAACGGAUAGGAAAUUACUAAGCUAUCCUCAUUUUAAAACAUUUCAACUCAACGGACAGCACCUCUCCCUUCUCUACUGAAGCAAACAAACACUCAUCUGCUGCAAUUCCCUCCAUUAUCAAACUCAAAUAAACAAACACUGCAAUUCCCUCACCGGCAUCACCUCUGCAAUUCCCUCACCGGCAUCACCUCUACCGAAACAAAUAUUCAUUCUCCAUACAUGAUAAAUUGAACUUCAACACGAGCAAACUAAGCUUGAGAAGGGGAAGCUGCCACAACUGAGAAAGAGAAGCCUAGUUCGUCUCUACAUAAUCGCCGGCGAGAGCUGAUCCUUUACUGUAAAAUAGUCAUAAUUUAACUAGUUGAGGUAAGUAAUUCUCUAUAAAUAGUUUUCUUGUUGAUAUUCAGGGAAAAAAAAAACAAAAAGUUAGGGUUUAUAUAGAAAAAUUAGAUUAAUUAGUUGCGGGUCUCUCAUUACAUGUUCAAAAACAAAUUUCUAGUUGUUUUACUACAUGCAAAUUGUGAACAAUUGAUGGAUUGUGCCGAUUAUAAUUUUGUCAUGUAACACACAAUUUGGUCGUGUAAGGUUAUGUAGGAUUCAAGGUUGUGUAUUACACGACCUUCAUGUAUUGCACUUACACGACUUCAUGUAUUGCACUUACACGACUUCAUGUAUUGCAAUUACACGACUUCAUGUAUUACACGACGUUCAUGUAUUACACGACGUUCAUGUAUUACACGACCUUCAUAUAUUACACGACCUCAUGUAUUACACGACCUCAAAAUUACACGACUUUUUUUACUGUUGUUAAUUCAUUAUAAUAACUUAGUUGUUUAAACACUUAAUUUUUGCUAAGAAUUUAUAUUUGUUGCUAUGCAGAAAAUGUCAACGAAAAGUAUUCAGGAAAAAAUGAAACGAGGCAAACCGAAAGUGAAAAUUACUAAUUUGUCAUCGUUGGAACCAAUAAGAAUAAUAAAAAAUAACCUUAGUGACGUACAAUUGGGGAUUUUUCGCAAAUCAUGUUUUGGGCACUUUUUGGACUUGAAUGAGUUUCAGUUUUGUGCCCAGUUGUUGCACAAGUUGGUAUUAAGUCAUAUGCAUUCAUCCGAUAAGGCAAUGUAUUUUAAGAUAGGGAAAAAAGUUUGUCGAUUUUCAAUGUUUGAAUUUGCAUUAGUUACUGGACUGAAUUGUGAAGAAAUUUAUAAACCUAACUUGGACAUUGUUGAUGACGGUGGUCGUGUAUGUGAUGUUUUGUUGGACGGUUGCACAAAGUUCACUAACACAACGCUAGGUCAGAUAUUUGAAGCAACUAAGUCCAAGGAUGAUAUGAAAAUGGUUAAAUUUGCCAUGUUGUACUUUUUGGAGGUUGUAUUACUUGGAAAAGAAUAUAGAUCAUCUAUAAUUAGGGAUCACAUUCUCCACAUUGACAACUUUGAAGAUUUCAAUAAAUAUCCUUGGGGCCGUGUCUGUUUUGAGAACACAUUAGAAAGUAUGAAGAAUGUGAUUGCAAUUAGACAGAAUAGAGAAAGGGCAAAUCCAGACUAUGUCCCUGAAAAGGAGGCAUACAGUCUUCAUGGCUGUCCAUUUGCAGUUCAGGUAACAAAUUGUCAAUAUUGGUUUCGUAAAGAUUAUUAAGAUUAGGAAUAUUAAUUAUUUCUUUUACUUGCACAGGUAUGGGCACUUGAAAUUUUCAGUGAAGUGUGUGAAACUUUUUCCUCGAAAUGUAAGCAUGUCAAAUAUCCAAGAAUUCUAAAUUGGACAAUCACUAAACAUGUUAGCUCUAAUUUGCUUGACUAUUCCAUAUUUGAUAAGAAAAAGGUAAUAACAAACAAUCUAGAUCGUUAGUGUCUUUCUUUUUUUCUUUUUAAUUUAUCUUUGACAUUUAUUAAUUGGCCUAAUUAUUACAGCUUAAGGUACUGGAGAAGUUGGAUGUCGCUGAUGAAAUAGAGGCAUCACAGCCUAAUCUACAAUGGUUUUGGCAAACAAAUUGGCUGCAACAACUUGAAAAUGAUUUUCGUGUUGACUCAAAGAGUAAAAAAUCAGCCACUCCAGUCUCAGAACAGAAAAGUAGCAGUGUUGUGCAGAAAAAUUAUGUGGCCAUGGAAGUUAAAGAGACUAAUAAACGUGCGAAGUGUCAAGUUAUGUCCAUGAAAUACAAAAUGAAUUAUGAACAUGCAAAUUCUGUUGAGGACAAAACUGUAAGUUUUUUUAAUCUUUUAAUAACAAUUGCAUUUUUCAAUUUUUUUUUUGUUUGCCUAAUAGGCUCUGUCUUGUUCUGCUUGCAAGGGUAAACGUCUUGGUUACAUUGAUAAUUUGAUUUCUUUUAUCGAGGACAAGUUUAAUUGUUUGGAUAAGCGUCUCAAAAAGAUCGAAGAGAAGGUGCAAAAAAUUGACUCAUUAGAGGAGAAUACAGGUGAUGUGAGGGAGAUGAGAGAACAAGUCAAUAAAAUUGUAGACUUAGUGGAGUUCCUAAAUUCAGCGGACUACAAUGUGAAGGUUCAUUUUAUUAUUAUUUUUAACUAAGUAUGUUAUUAUUUUUAACUAAGUACAAAUUGUGUAAAGUUAUUAAUAUUUGCUGCUGUGCAGAUUCCGACAACAUUUGAUGAUAACCCGAGUAUUGCCACACCUGCGACUGUGUUUCCAAGCUUCACCACAAAUGCAGGCAUAGUCAAAGAGGAUCCAAUAAUUAUUCCGUCUACACAGCAAGAGGUGAAAAAAUAUGAAAGAAAAAGGCGAUCUCGAAAGGAUGCAGCUGUUUUACGCACGCCAUAUACUAACCCAUUUCGAAAAUCGCGACAUGUCAACGUCGAUGAAGCAAAACAGCAAGUUCAGUUUGAGCAUUGGCUGAAGGAGGAUAAUAUGGAAUCGUAAUUCCUUAUUUCUCUUUGUAAACUUACUUUUAUUUGAAACAAUAUUUCCUGGUUGACUAUAACAAGCAAUAAGUUUUACUCACAUUUUCUUUUUCGUUACUGCACAGUAAAAUAUUAUCGUGGCCUAUGCAUAAAGCAACAAAGAACUUCUUCCGCAGCUUGUAUGAUGCAGACGCGUGGUUAAAUGGCGGGGUAUUAUUAAUAUAGUUUUUGUUUAGCAUGUAAUUUACUGCAGUAAUGUUUGCAUUUAAUAUUAAUUUACAUAUGUUGGUAAUAUGUACAGCAUAUAGACGUUGGUUGUUACGUGAUAAGAUAUGAUUUGGCCAAGCUCACUAUGCCACAUUUGCACCAAUGUGCAAUCAUGGAUAGUGUAUUUCAGGUACUUAGUACUCUGUAGUAAUAAACAAAUAAGAUAUGUAAAUUUGUGCACUGAAAACUUGCAAAAUUCAUUGUUUUUUCAGCAAAAGCUUUUGUUGAAGUAUGAGUUGUUUAAGAAGGAUCCAACUACAAUAUGGGAUGAAGAUCAAGAACAUGAUUUGACAAUCAAACAAGCAAAUGGCGAAGAUCUUCCAUUCGCUAUUCCAUGGAGAGAUGUUUAUAAGGUAAAGUUUAAAUUUUCUUAAUGCAUCGCUAAAGUUUAAAUUUUCUAUUUUUGAUUGGCUCAAAUUAUUGUAGGUUUAUAUCCCAAUUAAUGUACUUGAGUGUCAUUGGAUUCUUGCUGAGGUUGACAUUGUAAGGGAGACAAUUUCCAUAUAUGACUCCAUGGUUUCUAUAAUGAAUGACUCAACAUUUUUGAAAGAAUUAUUGCCAUAUGCUGUUAUUAUUCCUCUUCUACUGGAGAAGGUUUUAUGGUAUGAUUCGCACCCUGAAACUACCCAAAAAAAUAAAGUUUGGAUAGUUUUGCGUUUAGCGAAUACGCCACAGUAAGAAUCUCGGUGAGCAUACCAAAUGCUCAAUUUAUUUUCAUUUUACUGUUAUAGUUAUAUAUUCAGUAUAUAGUUAACUAUUUUUUAAAAUUCUCAGUGGAGAUUGUGGUGUGUUUGUUUUGCGUUACCUGGACACACUUGCACGUGGUGAAGAUAUUCAAACAAAUUGUACGCAGGCACAUGUCUCUUCUUAUCGCAAGCAACUAGCUGAAAGACUUUUCUAUGACCAGUCAUUACUUUCAAAGAACAACUAACAUGUGAGUAUUAUUUUUUUAAAUGAAGUCAUUGCUGUUGGAAUAGUUUGGUUUCUUAAUGUGAAACCAAAAUAGGCCAUCACUGUUAGUUUGGUUUCUAAUUAAUUUCAUGGAUUUAUUAUAUGCAGGCAUUCCUCAUGCAUGCAUGUAUGCUUCGGCAGAGGAAGAAAGCAAUUUCAAGAAAAAAAAACUUUUAAAUGGUUGUAAUAUGUUUAAUUGCGAUAUCCAUUAGUGUAUCCUAUCCAAAUAUUGACAUUGUAAACUGAUAACUUUCUUUAUUUAUAAUAAUUAAUCUCAUCAUUUCUCAAACUGUCGAAUAUGCAAACUUAUUUGUUUGCUGUAAUUUAUGAACACACAAUUUGGUCAUGUAAGGUCAUGUACACGACGGUCGUGUAUUACACGACCGUCGUGUAGUACACGAGUAUAUUACAUGACCUUAAUAUAGUACGCGACUAUUACAUGACGUUCAUGUAUUACAGGACUUCAUGUGUUACACGACUUUUUCCAAUAAUCAUCAGAUUAAUUUAGUUCUUUAAGGACUUAAUUGGGGCUAAAAUUUUAUAUUUGUUGCUUUGUAGAAAAUGUCAACUGAAAUUAUAAAAACAAAGAAGUUAAAUUAAAUUGGAAUGUAAAGAAAUUUAGUUAUUUCAUAAUGCAACAAAUUACAGUUUCCAAGCAUAACAUAUCCAAGACUAAAAAAUUGUAAAUCCAAUUAUCUAAGUUUGGUUAGCCGUAGGGCCAUGCUCUUGCUCUGAAAGUGGUGUUGUUGCAGUGCAUGUUAGUCGAUUAUGCCCCUCAAUCUGCACCUACUACACUUGCGGUGCACGAUGUCUUCCCCUUGAGAAGGUAUUCUAGUAGUUCGCGGUCGUCCUACCUCUCGCUUUUUCAUUGGCAGUGACAGCACAUAUGCACGCACCUCUUCUGAAACAUCCCAUUCCUCUUGUGGACCCACAAGAUAAAUGCUCUCUGCAUAUGCUGUAACCCAUGCAUUGACAGAAUAAUAAUGAGCACAUAAAUCAUAAAUAGAAUAGUUACGCAUAUGCUUACAUACAGCUACCACAUGUUCAUAGGGAAAUUGGUCAAUUUGAAACUCAUUACAACUGCAAGUCUUUUGUAGCACGUCAACAUGGCCAUCAAGGUCGCCAUCCUUAACUAUAAACUCAUGGAAAUUAAUCUGUAUUACUGGAUAUGUGUGUGAUUUAUCCAAUUUCCCUUUCAACUAUUUCUCAACCCAAGUAGUCAUUAAAGUACAUGCAUCCAUUGCCAAAUCUCGCCUUUUUGCAAACCAUUCUUGUAAUUUGUCAAUGAUACAAUCCAUUAACUUAUAAAUAGGCAAGGUUCGUGCUUCUUUUAAGAUAGAAUUCAUACUUUCUGCAAUGUUAGUCGUCAUAAUCCCAUAACGCCUCCCCUCAAAAUGAGAACGAGCCCACUUCUCAUAUCCGGCAUCAGUCAGGUAUUGGUGAACAUUCAAACUAACACUGCGGAUGACAUUCAUAUAUUGAGUAAACUUAAUGGGCCGAUAUGCCUUUGCAGCCAAUUCAAAUAAAGCACCCACAUCAACUUCUUUAAAAUGAGCAUUUACAUUUCGUUUUAGAUGAUGCGUACAUAUGUCAUACCCUACAGUAGGAAAUACUUUAUCAACUGCUUUCUUAAUACUUCCAUGACGGUCAGAAAUGAAUACUAAAUUAGGAACAUCACCAAUAGACUCUCUUAACUUCAUAAAAUACCAUUCCCAUGAAGCGUCAUUCUCACUGUCACCUACACCAAAUGCAACAGGGUAAAGUUGAUUGUUGCCAUCAAGAGAUGUUGCAAUGAAUAAUGUUCCUUUGUACUUGCCCCUCAUGAAUGUACCAUCAACUGCAAUAACAGGCCUAAUACAUGAAGUGAAUCCUCUCAAAGAACUUCCAAUGGCCAUGAAACAGUACUUGAAGUUGUUCGCACUGUCUUUUUUAAUGAAUGUUCGACUUCCAGGAUUUUUUUUUUUCAACCAUUGCCAUGUAUGAGGGUAAUAAAUGGUAUGAAUCAGCCGGACUGCCCCUAACCAUCUCCAUUGCAAACUCCCUUGCUCUCCACGCCUUGUGAUAACUUAUUUCAUAACCAAACUCUUUUUGAAAAUCUUGCAUAAUAUCAGCUGGCUUAUACGUAGAUGAAGCACCAUCAAACUUGUGCCGAAAAUUUUUCCCAACUAACUUGGAUGAAGCUUGACGGUUGUCUUUUUCCUGUGAAUCAAGGGAGCAAGUAUGGACAUUGUAAUACUUUCUAAUUUCAAACAUGUUGCAACCUUUAAGUCUACUUGCACGAAGGCGCCAUUUGCAGUUGUCAUCCAUACAAACAACAACAAGUAAGUCCUUGUCUGAUUUUGGGGUUUUGAAUUGGAACCUUUUUUUCACAACUAGUGCUUUAAGCUUUUCUUGCAAUGCCUCCUUUGACUCAAACACCUCUUUCACCAUCGACACAUCAGUAUCACCACUAACUUCUGUUGAUAAUAAAUUACUGCUACUAGUAAGUAAAUUUAUUCUGGGCACAUGUCCAUUGUUUGAGGUUCUUGAACUUAUAGGAGCUGGAGUAUUAUCUCCUAAUGCUAAAUCAACAGCUAAUGGUGGCUCAUCCAAACAAUCAACUUCAGUUACAAAUUCAUUAACUUCAGUAAAAUUGUUCGAACUGAGAAUAGGAAAUGAUGGAGGCACGUAGCUGGAGAAAGCAUGACUCUCUUCCCAUGAAAGACGAGGUGAAGGUUGUCUAUCCACCGGAACUGUCGAAAUUGAUCUACGUUCAAAAGUAAUGCAGAGCGGGUUUCUAAACUCCAUUCCACUAGCUACUUCCUCUAAGAAAAAUUCCACAUCAUCAUUGGUUUGAAUUGUAACUGGUGGCAUAGGAUCAGAUGUCUUAAGUUUGAACUUCAUUGUGAUUUCGAAUUCCGAAGUAUCUAUAUCAAUAACUUCAGCUAUCUUGUCCACCAAUUCGGCAUAUGUUGUCGAUCGUGGUAUCAUUAUCCCUUUAGCCUUGGAACCUUUGAACUUAUACUCGUCAUUUUGCUCAAUCCAUUCACCAUUAAAGAGAAUAGGCACACGUACCAAAACCAUUUCUGAUGAUACAAUAAAAACAAUAAUAUCAAAUUUCAUAUACAAGUAAGUACACGACUUACACGACUAUAAUACUUACACGACUUACACGACUAUAUUUCUUACAUGACCUACACGACUUACACGACUAUAUUUCUUACAUGACUUACAUGACUUACACGACUAUAUUACUUACACGACCUACAUGACUAACUAUAUGACGUACACAGUAUCAAGAGAAUGCACGGCGCGAAACAUUUUCGCUAUAAAUAAGUUAUAUUGCUGAAAAAAAUAAUUAAACAACCUACAUUGCAUAUAUUUCUACAUAUAAGAAAAAAUGGUGAAAAUAAAACAUUGUAAUGUGAGGAAAAUUUCUAAAUUUUUCUCAAAAUUAAUAAAUUUAAAACCCAAAAACAUUAACAUACCUUAUUGGGUUGUUUAAUAAGCAAUGCACCUUUAAAGAAAGAGUGGGUGUUAAAGAAAUAAAUACAUAAUUGUAUUUGUGUAAGAAGUUAUGAGAGAUUUUGAGAGAUUCUAAGAGAUUUUGAAAGAAUCGGCAGCAAAAAUGGAGUUGGGUGAAAGAAAUGAGGAAAUGAAUAUGAAGACAAUUUAUUGAAUGAAUUUGAUGCAUUCAUUAAGGGUAUUUCUGACUUUACUCACAUUUGUUAGGGUAUUCAUGAAAACUAAAAAGGGAGGGGGUAUUUCAAUAAUUUUGAAACUAUUAAAGGGUAUUUAAUUAAAAACCCCACAUUAUUAGUACCUAGUUGAUUAGUCAUUUGGUCUUCAAUAAAUGUUAGUUGAUAUAUGCUUGAAAUCAUAUUCUGUUUUAUAUGCCGAAUCAUAUUGUAAGAUGGUGAUAUUAGCAUGUUUCUUUUUCUUUGUGCUGUUUCUCGUUUGAUUACAUUUUCAACAACAAGUCGAUCUGUUGAAGAACAAGUUUGGGUUUGAUGAUGCUUUUAACUAUAAGGAAGAGCCAGACUUGGAUGCAGCUCUCAAUGGGUUGACACGAAUGAAUCCUUUCACCCUUUUUCUCACUUCAUUAUUACAAUGCGCUUUGAAGUUAUCUGUGUUGUUAAGGUUAAGGUUAACCCUGCAGGCUUGUUCGAUGCUGUAUCAACUCCAAAAUCGAACAACAUCUACAGCACCAAGACCCGGUUUCAAUCAGCUCAAAUGAUGAGGUAAAUAACACCAUCAAGCUCAGCUUAGAGACUCAUUAGAUAAGUAAUCCAUUUUCUCAGCUGUUAAUCUCUUGAUGGUGGCUAGUGGAGAAGCAGAGGAAACAAAGGAUGUGCCGGAAUCAAUUAGAACAGUGAGAAGCGUGAGGGGAGUUAUGAUUAUAUUUAGGCUUUUUGAUGAUGCUUUGAACAAAAAGGAAGAGCCAGACUUUGAUGAAGCUCUUGAAAGGUUAGCGAAAAUGAACGCUUUAACCAUGUUUCCAACUUCAUUAUCACAAUAUCUGACAUUGCAUAACUUCAAGUAAAGUUGCUCUUAAAAGGUUAGCAAAAAGCCAAAAAUGAUUGAAGUUAUCUGAGUUGAUCCAGAAAAUGUAAUGGAAAUACUCCCCUGCUUCGUAAAACAGGACAAACAGAGAUCGCUGGUCGCGCAUGGGAACUAAUUGCAUUAAAGUUUCAAACAUUACCAAACAAACUAGGAUGCAUUUGCUUAAGAUUCAUUUUCAAAAGCAAGUUGUAUGUUUAUGUUGCAGCCUAUAAAACCAUGUUUAUGUUGUAUGUUUAUUCAGGAAAUGAAAGAUUCGUCGUGUUAUUUUAUUCCAAGAAUUCGCUGAAACCAUACCUGCUUUCCCAGAUGCUUUCCUGAAGGUAUCGACAUCUAUUUAAAAAAUUCUGGGGGUAAGAUGCUUGAUGCAGUGCUACUCAACAUGAGAAUUCACGGCCGCUGCUGUAUGCUGAAAGAUCUCACCGUACAACCGUGAGAAGCCUGAAGGUGUAUUCAACUUGAUACAACUGGUCGUAGUUGCUAGGGAAGGAUAUAAGGUGUACUCAACUUGAUAUGCUGUAAAAGUGCACUAUGCCAUGUACUUUUAAAGCUUUUUGAAGAUGUUUUGGCCAUGUGUUUGAUUAGAUUGUACUCAGAUAUAAAUCAAAGAUUCAGAACAUGUUUGUUACUGUUUUUCAGAAUCCAGAACAAUAAAUACCUUGAAAUGUUUUUGUUCAAUGAUUUUGCAGAAGACCAGCUUCCUUGUUAAUGAAUCAAGAUGGCUGAAUCCGUCCCUAAGCCAAAUCUGUUUUCACUUUUAGGUUAGAAAUUGUCAUUAAAAAGUGUUUGAUAAAAUAUGCUCCGGGAACGCUAUUCGUCAGAUGGUUACUCCAAGUUUAUGAAAUCAAUGGUAUUUCAUCAUAUUCAUAACACUCUGCUUUAAUAUCUAUUCUAACAGAGAAAUUAUAUACAGAGAAUAGGUUGCGUUAGAACUUUUGCUAGAAAAAAGUGACAAGAAUUCAUCGUUCACUUGUAUCUUAAGUAAGUGUAAAAUUUAAAAUCCCAUCAUGAAAAACUCCUGGGAGAAAAAACUAUAAAAAUUAAAGAAAAAAGAGUGUGGCGUGCAUGUAAAUUAUGUCGAUUCUAUCUAUACGAUAAAUACACUCUCUUUUACAAUGGCACGGAUGCUUCAUUGAGUAAUCAUGAUUGUUGCUGGUAGUGCUUUGUUGAAUCAAUCUGCUAGAUAUUCAGCUUUCUUUCUUUCUUACUUUUUUUUUGUUUUAAUAAAUAGCUUGUGGUUGUGAAAAUAAUUUGAAUUAAACUAUGCUUAACUGCCUAUUUGGUACAACUUCUCUACUAGCCAAAAGAUUUUUUUUUAAUCAUUUAUUUAUACCUCGAGUAGAGUUUUUGGAGAUUAAAUAGGUGAUAUUUUGUCUCUAUUAAAAAGAAAACUCAAAAGGUAGGACUAUUUGAAGUUUGAAUCCACCAAACUACUCAUUAAAAAUUCAUUUGUGAAAAUAAUUUUUAAUUAUUAAAAUACCCCUAAAUUAAAUUACAAUUAUGAACACUAAAAUAUAGUAAACAAUUUUUUUUUUACUCUUUGAAAUUGUCCUUACAUUCGAUAUUAAAUUUUUUUCUUAAACUCUAAAUUAAUUUUUUUUUUCAUUUUUAAGUAAUUUUAAGGCACAUAUAAAGUGAUUCAUAUUGAUUUUAUACUAACAAACUAUUACAGCAGAUUUGGAAAAUGAUUAACUCGUUCUCAUUUUCCUAGUGAAAAUGCAAAUAGCUCAUUUAAACGUUAAGGAAUUGGAGAGUUGCUGCUGGAGAUGAAAGAUGUGAAUUAAACAUCAGAAAAAAAAAUUAUGUUUACUAUCUUACCAGACCAAGCACCGAAAAGCAUGGUAAAGAAAAAUUACAUAAUUCUGACUUAGAAGACGAAAAAAAAUGAAAUACAAUUUGAAUAAGAGAUAGAAGAUAAAGCACGUGAAUGGAGGCAGAAAGCAAGUAAUGAUAACUCUUUCGACAAAACUAAUAUAUAUCAAAAUGCAAUAUCAAAAAUGAAAAUAAAAAUUCAUUACGAAUACAUGUUAAUGAUAUCCCAAGUGUUGAGUAAUAAAAAGUACCAGGCAGGCAUCUCCCCAUUCCAUGCCUGAGAAUGAAUCUCUCCAGCUGAAUGAUACGAGCAGAUUCCUAAUAAUAUAUCCUUUAUGGAACACAUACCAACUAGAAACGAAUACCGACCAGAAGUUCAUACCGACCAGGUACUUGUCACUCAAAGAAAGAGAAUACAAUCUCACGAACGCGCGACAGUUUUGCCACAUUCCAAACCGCUAGGGAGAACACGACGCCCCACGUUUACCCACAUUCAGUUGUUGAAGACCCAUUAAGGCCCUUGAUCACCCAAAUAUGACGGGAAGGAAAAAUAUUCUGAGAAAGUGGGACGAUUGCCUAUAAAAAGCUGGGAAAUCAAUUAAGAAAGGGACAGACAAAAAGAGAGAGGGGGGAAACUCUACCGAAUUGAUACCAGGCAUUACUACAUAAUAGCCUUAAAUACAUUUUACUUUAAGAACAUCACAAUGAGUGUGCGUAACCAUAAAUCAUACAAUUUUCCCGCAAACUUCAUGUACUAACUUAAGCAUCGGAGGGUUUAUUCCGGAAAAACCACCAACGUCUCUGGUUUGUUUAUGUGAAUGUAGAUUUGAAAAGAAGAGAAAGAGUGAUUUGAGUUCAAGGAGCUCGGGCAAUUGCUAAAGUUAGUGGAAAAAAUUAAAUGAGACUCAAAAUCAAUCCAGAGGAAUAAAUGAGAAACCUAAUCCUAAUAAAAUACAUUCACAAAUCUUAAUGCUAAUUAAAAUCACGGAUAAAAAACAUAAUAUGAAUGAAUUACAGGCACAACUAUUUUAUUAAGAAAUUAAUAAAAUCGUGUAUUAAUAUAUUUUGUACAUUUUUUUUCCAUAUAUAACUUUCGGUAAUUUAGUUUUCCACUUAUCAUUUUUACUCCAAAAAAAUAUUGAGAAUAUUAUUUAUGUUUUGGUGUAAAAUAUUUGAACAAUAUACAAAUUUUCAGUUUAAUACAUCUAAACAUUUAUUAAGUUAUAAAUGAAUUUAAUGGGUUUAACUAGUACAAAUACUAUUAUUUUAUAAAUUGGGUUUAAUAAUAGUAUAUUGGGGAUUUAGGUUGAGUAAAUUUUAAAAUUUUAAAAUUAAAGGGUGGGUUUGUUUAGCAAAUGAGUUUUUUUUUUUUUUUUAUUACAUGAGACUAUUGCUCAAAUUACAGUUCAAGUUACAACUCAUAUUACAUGAGAGUAUAAUUGAUAUGUACAAUCAUAUAUUUAUACUGAGCCCUGUUGAUAUUAAUGCUGAUAUGACACCGCUCAGAUUUUUAACCCUCUCAAAUAUUUGAGGGAUGUCAAACUCCCAUCCUGGGAGAAAGACUGUCUUCACUCGAGCUCAAGGGCUCCAAGAAAGAAUAUUUAAAGUAAAACCCCUACAAUGCGACUGCGGAGGCUCGAACCCCUUCCCUCACAUUUGUGAGGGAGGGGCUUAGCCUUAGCCCAAGUGGCUCUUUUAGCAAAUGAGUUAAGGGAAUAGUUUGUUGGGAUUUAAAUAGCCCCACCCAAACUCAAAUGUAAAAUUUUUGAAAAAAGAGACUAUUACGUUUUAAAAAAAAGAAUUAAAAGGUCAAGAAUACCUCUAUUUAAUUUUAUAAUCAUAUUUUAUUUCUACCCUAAUAUAAUAUUAAAAAACUUAACUAAAAAUUUUAUAAUUUUUUAUAAAAAUUACCAUUAACAUCCAAAAAGCUAAAGAUUAAAAAAAAAAAAGGAACUGUAUUUACAAAAGUUAUAUCAAUAAUAAAUUCAGUCCAAAGAAAAAAGUUAUUGUAAACAAGUACUCAUAUUUAUCUCUACUUUAACAAUAAUCUUCGAAUCCGUUUUACAAUGGAUUUUAACCAAUGGGCUUAUGAGUCCUUUUUUGGAAAGCAUGAAAGCGAUGGCCCAAUCUCUAAACUUCAUUUUCUUUAGCCAGAAAGCCUAAAACAAGACCAGCCCAUAGAUAUAUAACUACCGGAAAAAAUUAAAAAGAAAAAAAAGAGUAAAAUUGUGUAAGAGCUUUUAGAAUUACAAUUUUAGGAUCACGUGUGUAAAUGGAACUCCAAGAUUGAUCAAGAAUUAACAAGGCAAGAUGAAGGGAUGAUCUUGUAGCAAAGAAUGAAGAAAUUGAAUCAAGAAAGUACUCUAGUGCUUUAGUGCUUUACAGUUAAGGGAUAUAGGGUGCGUUUGGGAUUGAGGUUGGGCAGCUGUAGCUUAAAAGCUACAGCACUAAAGUGUUUGGUAAACACUAGCUGCUGUAACUUUUAAGCUAUGUUGAUAUAAUUUUUCACUUGUAUAAUAUAAAAUUUAUUAUAUCUUUAAUAAUUUUGAUAAAAUUAUUAUUUACAAUUUAUAUUUAUUAUAUAUUAUUAACUUUUAUUUCAUAAUUACAACUUCUUUUUUACAGCAGCUGUAGCUUAAAAACUACAGCACCUCAAUCCCAAACACAACCAUAGUGUGAAUUCAUUACAAAGCAUUCGCAAAGAAAUUGUUUUUAAAUGAAACUCCUCGUCUUGACCAGAUUAUUUAUUAUUAUUCAAAAAAAAAAUGUUCAAAACUUAGCCAAAGUGAUAAACUCGUAAUUAUUCUACAAAGGGAACAAUUUUGAACGGUCGGAAAUUCCAUGCUUAUGAUUUUCUCUGCACUAUUUCAAUAAAAUUAUUACCCAGUGAAGACUUUAGAGACAAGUGCCCCCAUGAGAUCAAGCAAAUAUGCCCCCACAAAGAUCACAUAAUUAUUUCUUGUUCUUUUUCUUUUUGACAAUUUUAUCUGUGGUUUCAACUUUUACGCUUUAUUGUCAUUUCUCGUUGAGGGCUCCGCUGCACCCAUUACAACUUACCCCUAUAUUGUCUUUUACUGACUAAACCGUUAGAUUUGACGGAUAGCACGUUCAAUGCUGAAUUUUAAUUAUAUCAUCAAAUUUCGUUUAGCUCCUUAAACUCCAUUUUAUUUUUUAUUUCUUUAUAAAAUAUUCAAAGCUUCAUCAAGCUCCCGAUGGACCAUCAUGGCUAGGGGUGCAUUAGAGCCGAACUGAAAUAUGUUAGUUUAGUUUAGUUUGGUCAGUUUAAAUCGAAUGGUUUAGAAAAUAUAAAAUGAUCAAUUUUAAUUUUGAAUUGAACCGAACCAAAAAUUAAUUGAUUUGCUGUUAGUAUUUUUGCAUAAACAUAAAUGAUUAGUGAUUAUAAUUGAAUUGGACUAAAAAAAAUCAAACAAAAGUGAAAAAUAUAAAAUCUUAGACAAUAUAAAAGAAAAAAUAUUAAAUAUAUAAACCAAAACGAACUGAAUUAUUUUGACUCAGUUUUGGUUCAUAAUUUUUUAAACCAAACUGAUUUAUUCCCACCCCCUAAUCGUGGCCCUCUAUCUUUAGUCAUUCACCCUUGAGUUUGAUACCAAUUGUUGGGUUUCAAAUGAUUAUACACUCAAAUGGAACCCCUCAUAACCAAAAACUAACAGAAACAAUAAGAACACAAUGUUAAAAUCUUAAAUCAAUCGCAAAAAAGCACCCAAAACAGAUCGAUUAGGAAUAGUUAACAACAAAAGAUUUAAUGGUUCAAAAUCAUAAUGUGACCUACUUCCAUCCAAGAAUCAUACUAAUUGCUUUACUUGUUGUCAAAUACGAGAUCAUAAGAUUGUUUAUCACUCUACAGAGAAAAAAAAUUUAGAAGAAAUACUCCCCAAUUUUUCUCUUAAUAGUUAUGAAUCAACACCCCUGAUUUACUUUUCCUUAUUUCCUAUGAUCGGUUGCUGCUACUUAAUCCUUACCAAGCUCCAACAUAGUCCAAACACUUUUCAUGGUACAUGCACAGUGCACCUUCAGAAACUUUACAGCUCUUCUUAAAACCUCAGGCCUAUAGAGUGCAAUUUCGCACCUAUAUGCUUAGUCCUCUCAGUUCUCGUGAUGUUUUUGAUUUAUUUCUCGGACGAGUAGCACUUUUAGCUGCCAUAAUACAAUGUAAUUGACUUCUGAGCAUGACUUAAUUUUGAGAUCAUUACUUUUAGUUAAAUGAUCUCCUCCAGAGCUUCUACCUAUGUAGUGUUUUUAGACCUCUAUAGUUGAUAAAGCAUGUUCAAGGUGAAGGCUUGUUUUCCAAUCUAUAGUCCAAUUAUAGACUGGAACUGGUCAGGCUUAAUGCACCUUCAAAAGCUUCACAACUUAUAUUGAAACCUUAAGCCUUGUAGAAUGCUACAAAUUUUAAAUCCAUAUACUUAGUGCUCUUAUGAUUUGUUUGAUUUUUACUUAGAUGAAGAGCAUUUUAGCUAUAGAAUACAGAAACUAAUUCAAAGCCUGCCUUAGCUAUGAGAUCAUUCAUUCUAGCCAAAUGCCCCUUUAGAGAUUCUGCUAUUGUUGCGUAUUAAGCCUCUAUAUCAAAGCAAUUACAUGUCGAAGGCUUGCUUUGCAGUUAACAGCGCAAUUACAAUUAUAUAGAUUAAAGGUGUAAAUCCAUAAAACUACCAGACUUCAAUCUUUAGACUCCAUAGAUCAAACCAUAACUUAGUGUGCCUUUCAAUCUCAGGUAACUGUUUUCCACGUCUUGCCAUGUACUUGCUGCUAACACUAACAAUUUGAGAAAUGUUAGGCAUCGUAAGCAGCCGACAACACUCUUCUUCAUUUCUUCAUUGUCAAUUUCUUUCUUGGAACAUUGCUCCAUUGAGAGUCUGCUAUCAUUGCUCCAAUUAUUAUUAUUUUUGUUUUUGUUUUUUAAAAAAAUAACCGUGCAAUAAGAGUAUAAGACUAAGCAACGGUCCUUUUUUUUUUACCCAUUCUUGAACAUGAAGUAUUUGAGUAUGUAAUAAAAAUUGUUUAUCGAUAAUUAAAAGUUAAUAGUGGGUGGCUUUAGGUUUUGUUUACAAAAUUGACAACAAAUUAGAUUUUUCAAAUUCAUAGGUAAGAAACUUUUCAUUUAUUCAUAGAUUUUCCGGUUUAAACUUUAAAGGAAACUUAAAAGAAAAAGAUGUAUCAUUAGGUUUGUAAUUAAAAAAAUUUAAUAUUGUAUGAUCUGUUCGAUAUGCAUAAUUUAAAUAAACAUUAAUAUAGAUGUUAUAUAUCCUAAAACUUAAUUGACUUAAUUCUUAUGGUGCAAGGAAGAGGUUUCCAAGUUUAAAUCUAAAGUCUUGUAUUUAAUUUGGGGUCGGGAAAGCACUGGGAAAUAAAUGUAACAAAGGAAAAAAAAAAAAGAAUGACAGUCUGAGUGGAGCCAACGCGGUUUUAAAAAAAGUGAAAAAAAGGGUUUAAAAAAAAAAACGCGGUUUGCUUGCUUGUGGAAAUAGAAGUCUCAUGUUUCUUUGAAAGGUAAGCAAGUGUGAAUGUUUCUAUCUAGAGCUGGAAAAUGCAUUUCCGUGCAACUUACUUGAUGAAUGAAGUUUUCAUCGCUGACCCUGAUGUUUCCCUGAGCUGCAUUCAUUGCAGCUGAUGUAUUUCAUUUUGUUUUCGAAGGAGUGACACAAAAUCUCCUUCGUUAAGGUGAGAAUUUAGAGUGGCUUUAACUGUUAACAAAUAGCCUAAUAUAAGACUUAAUCUACUUCCUGCCCUGUUGUAUGCUUAUGAAAUUUGAUAGAGUUAUGAGUUUGCAGAAGCUACUGUAUUAUAUGUUGCUUGAGGCUGUAAAAAUGAGGCAGAUCAAACACACAUUUAAAUUUCAAUGACAAUUUACUGGAAGUAAAUUUCCUAUGACCCUACAUGUGACUAAUUGAUGAGAAGUUGACAAAUGACAAAAGAAAGUGUAUGAGCUUUGCAGGUUGGCAUGCCGAUACUGACUGUGUGGCACCAUCCGCCAUUUGGAAGUGAAUAUCAUUAUUCUUUAAUCAACAUGGUGGAGUCCACUGGGACCACACCACAUGGUCAGUCUUAUCUCUAUUCCUCAAUUUUCAGUAUUCCAUACAUGAAAACAACUUCAGUUUUGUUAUCAAUUAUAAUUUCAUUGUUGGUGACGAUUCUGAUUCCUUUCUUUCUGACAAAACGGAACCAUGGUUGCUGUGGGAGAGAUCUUACUCAACGCCUUCUUUCAGGUGUUGUUUGACAGGUUGGCUUCCCGUGAUUUGCUCAGCUUUGUCCGUCAACUUGGAGGCGGGGUCGAUUCCGAGCUCAAGAAGUGGGAAAGAAAGCUGAAGAUGAUUCAGGCGGUGCUCAACGAUGCAGAGGAGAAGCAACUGACUGACGAGGCUGUGAAGACGUGGCUGGACGAUCUCCAAGACUUGGCUUAUGACGCUGAGGACAUUCUUGAUGAGUUUGCUACUCAAGCUUUGGAAAGCAAGUUGAUGGCGCAAAAUCAGGAUAGCUCUGGCCAGGUUCUCAGUUUCAUCCCGGCUAGUAUCCGAAUGCUGUUAGGUUCAAUUAUAGCAUGAGGUCCAAGAUUAACGAUAUUACUAGCCGGUUGGAGCAACUCUGCAAAGAAAGAAUCGAACUUGGACUGCAACGGAUUCCUGAAGGGGCAUCAUCAACUGCUGCUGCUGCACACCAGAGGCCACCCAGUUCAAGCGUCCCACCAGAACGUGAAGUUUUUGGUAGAGAAGAAGAUAAGGCCAAAAUUCUUGAUAUGGUAUUGGCCGAUAGCCCAAGUGAUCAUGCCAACUUUGCUGUAAUACCCAUUGUUGGCAUGGGCGGGAUAGGAAAAACAACUCUCGCUCGGGAGGUCUACAAUGACAAGGCCGUUGAACAUUCCAAGUUUGAUGUAAAAGCAUGGGUUUGUGUAUCUGAUGUCUUUGACAUUUUGGGCAUCUCAAAGGCACUUCUCGAGUCAAUCUGCUGCGCAGCUAGUGAUCUCAAGACUUUAAAUGAAGUGCAGGUUCAACUGAAAAAAGCAGUGGACGGAAAAAGAUUCUUGCUGGUCUUAGAUGAUGUUUGGAACGAGGACUACAGCUUGUGGGUAGACUUAAAAGCUCCAUUCUUGGCUGCUGCACCAAAUAGUAAGAUGAUUAUCACCACACGCAAUUCACAUGUUGCAUCUACAAUGGGACCCAUUGACCAUUAUAACCUCAAGCAUCUGUUAGACGAUGAUUGCUGGUCUAUUUUCAAAACGCAUGCAUUGGAGGGUAGAGAUCAUAAUGCACUUGAAAUCUCAGAAUCAUUUCGCAAGAAAGUUGUUGCCAAAUGUGGAGGCUUGCCCCUUGCUGCAAAAACACUCGGAGGCCUUUUGCGUACGACGAGGCAUGAUGCGUGGGAUGAUAUAUUAGAGAGCAAAAUAUGGGAUUUACCUCAACAAAGUGGGGUUCUCCCAGUAUUAAGAUUGAGUUACCAUCAUCUUCCUUCUCAUUUGAAAAGAUGUUUCGCUUACUGUGCAAUCUUUCCAAAAGAUUAUGAAUUCAAUGAGAAGGAGGUGACUUUUUUAUGGAUGGCUGGAGGAAUUAUUCGACAGUCAAGAAGCAAAGAGCGGCUAGAAGAUUGGGGCAGCAAGUGCUUCUAUGAUCUGGUGUCAAGGUCAAUUUUUCAGCAAACAGCAAUCUCUGGUAGUUCUAAAUUUGUAAUGCACGACCUUAUUCAUGAUCUUGCUGAAUUCGUCUCUGGAGAAACCAUAUUCAGGUUAGAGGAGUCCACCAACUUGUCGUCAAGCAGAUUUGAAAGAGUUCGCCAUUCUUCCUAUGCCGGCGGUUGGUAUGAUGGUAAAAAUAAGUUUGAGGUUUUCUAUGAAAUUGAACAUCUACGAACAUUCUUGCCAUUACGCUUACGCAUGCGAGGUACUUUUUUCAUAACUAGAACGGUUCUAUCUGAUUUGCUGCCAAAGUUCAAAAAAUUGAGGAUGCUAUCUUUAGAAGGAUACUGUAUUGGUGAGUUACCAAUUCCAUUUGAAGAUCUCAGACUUUUAAGGUUCCUCAACCUCGCUGACACUGACAUAAGAAGUUUACCUGAGUCAACAUGCAAAUUGCUGAACUUGGAAAUUCUGAUAUUAAGAAAGUGUUCCCGCUUGAUAAAGCUUCCCCAGAAAAUGAGGAAUUUGAUCAAUUUACGUCAUCUGGAUAUAAGAGGUGCACAGCAGCUGAAGGAGAUGCCAUUUGGAAUGAAAGAGUUGAAGAAGCUUCAAACAUUGUCCAAUUUUAUUGUGGGCAAGGGUGAAACUGCAUCCGGUGUGGAAGAUUUAAAAUGUUUAAGCUUUCUUUGUGAUGAACUUUGCAUUGCUGGAUUAGAGAAUGUGAAUAAUCCACAGAAUGCAAGAGAAGCCGCAUUAUGCGAGAAGCACAAUCUUGAAGCAUUGACUCUAGAAUGGGGGUCUCAAUUUGACAAUUCUCGAGAUGUAGCAAUAGAAGAGCACGUGCUUGACAUUCUACAGCCUCAUAAAUGUAUAAAAAAGGUGGCAAUCAGGAGCUAUGGUGGUGCAAGAUUUCCACUUUGGAUAGGAGAUCCGUUGUUCUCCAAGAUAGAAUUCCUUGAAUUGGAGAACUGUGACAAUUGUGUAUCUUUGCCAUCGCUUGGCCGUUUGAGUUCACUUAAACACCUUGCUGUUAAAGGGCUGAAGAAACUAAAAAGCAUAGAGCCUGAGGUUUAUGGGGAGGGUUUCUCAACGCCUUUUCCAUCAUUGGAGAUUCUAAGUUUCGAGAAUUUGACAGAAUGGGAGCAUUGGGACACGGAUAUCAAAGGAAAUGCACUUGUUGAAAUAUUUCCUCGUCUCCAUAAACUUUCCAUUGUGAAAUGUCCCAAACUCUCUGGAGAACUGCCUGAGCUCCUGCCCUCCUUGGAGACACUUGUUGUUAGUAAAUGUGAAAAGUUGGUAGUUCCAAUGUCUUGCUAUCCGAUGCUCUGCAGAUUAAAAGUUGAUGAGUGCAAAGAACUGGUCUGCCGGACUCCAAUUGAUUUUAAGUUGAUAAAGUCUGUGACUAUUUCAAAUUGUUCACUAGACAUGUAUGGAUGCAAGGGGAUGCUAUACAAUGGUCCAGCUGGCUCUUCACUGCCGAAAUCCAUGACUAUUACAAAUGUUUUGGCGUUUGGAAAAUUAUUGAAGCCUGGAUUUCAGAUAUUAGAAACUUUGGUAAUUGACAAUUCUGAACAGCUCAAGUCAUGGAGGCAGCGUGGGGAUUUUCGACAAGAAUAUUUGGGCGUUCGCGUAAGGCGUCACAAACCAUCACAAGGGCUAGAUAUGCUCGCCUCCCCAGAAGAGGUAACAAUUGAAGAAAGUUGUGUGAGUUUUGUUUUAUUUCCAGAGAUCAAUUUCUUUCCCAGAAAUCUGCGCUCUCUUCUAAUUUGCAACAGCACAGCUUUAAAAUCCUUACCCGAUGAAAUGAUGGACAAUUCACAACUCGAAAGGUUGUAUAUCAGAGAUUGCGAUUCUCUAACAUUCAUCACAAGACGCAAGCUACCUUCAUCUCUAAAAAGUAUAGAGAUUGAGAAUUGUGAGAAACUGCAACAUUUGUUCGAUGAUAAAGAGGAUGCUUCUUCUUCUUCUCCUCCUUCAUCCUCGUCCUCCCCAGUGAUGCUGAAACACCUGAGUAUAAAUAAUUGCCCAGUGCUCACCAGUUUAUCAACAGGAAUCCAAUUACUUGAGGCGCUUGAAAGCCUCGAGAUACGGGAUUGUCCAAAGCUGGAGUCAUUACCAGAUGGCCUUCACAAUCUUAACUGUUUACAGGAGAUUACUCUAAACAGUUGUCCAAGUCUUGUUUCCUUCCCAGAAAGAGGACUUCCCAACACGAUUUCAAAUCUUGUAUCGUUUCCAGAAGAAGGUUUUCCUACCAAUCUAACAUCACUUACAAUUGGAUAUUUCAAAAUGUAUAAGACACUCGUCCAGUGGGGGUUGCACAGGCUUACCUCUCUUAAACGCCUCUGCAUCAUUGGAUGUGAUGAUGAAGCAGAGUGUUUUCCAGACGAGGAGAUAGGAAUGACGCUGCCCACCUCUCUCACUCAUCUGACACUUUCGGAAUUCAAAAAAUUGAUAUCUCUGUCUUCGACGGGUAUUCAGAGCCUCAACUCUCUUCAAUCUUUGUCGAUCGGGAAUUGCCCGAAUCUCACAUCAUUUCCAGAGGUGGGCCUUCCAUCCUCACUUUUGGAAUUACACAUUUACAGUUGUCCAAAGCUUAAAAAAGCGUGCAAAAGAGAUCAAGGAAAAGACUGGCCCAAAAUUGCUCACAUCCCUUUCGUUGAGAUAGACGGUAAAUUCAUAUACGAUCCCGAAUCAGAGGAGUAGAUUCUAUUACACAGGUCAGUUGAUUUAUAUUAUCCGCUAUAACAAGCUCCUCCUUUUUUAUUUUUUUUAAAUAAUAAUUUUGCAGUCAGUCACGUGAUUCCGUUUUCACAAGUCAGAUUGUAUGUUGAGGCUAUUUGCCUUUUAAUCGCAGAUUAAAUUAUAACACUUAUCUUAAAAUUUAAUACCAUAGACAGAUAGACGAUUUUUUAAUCCAAAGUUUUUUUUAUUCACUUCAGUUAGCAUUUUUUUUUCCCCCAAAUCAUGCAAGCCGAGAGUUUCAAUCAAGAAUUGGAGGAUGUGAAUGGGAUUUUUGUGAAAGAGUAACAUAAUGGAUGACCGAACAUUUCAUCUGUGAUCUCAAAGUCAACAGAAUUUUAUUCACUCAUUGACUUUUCAACUGCCGUGGUUUUUAUGGGUGAAAGAUAAGGGCAAUUACAAAAAAUUUGCAAAAUUUGUCAAUUUCUUAGAUGGUAGAUAUAUCGACAUUUUAGAUUUCAGAUAUUUGUCACCAAUUUGCAAAAUUGAAAUUUCUGUCUUCAAUGGGUUUUCAAAGCCUCGCCUCUCUUCGAUUUUUGUGGAUUGGGAAUUGCACAAAUCUCACAUCAUUUCCCGAGGUCGAGGAAAAGAGCGGCCCAAACUUGCUCGCAUCCCUUGGGUUAUGAUAGAUGGAAAAUUCAUGUACGAUCCAGUCAGAGGUGUUGAUUCUCUUAUUAAGGUCAGCUGAUUUCUAUUAUCCACUCUGACAAUCUCCUAUUAGUGUUUUUCCUUUUUUUUUUUUCAAAAUUUUGCAGUUCUGUAUAAUUGAAAAUGCCACUCACUUGUUUCCUUUUUCACAGGUCAGAUAGUAUGUUGAGGCUAUUUGAUUUCUAUCGGUGUUUGUUAAGGUAAUUAGUGCUCCCUCAUAGGUAUGACUAGAUUUUUUUCACUUCCGUAAAUAUUGCAUUUUAGACUGGCAAAUUUAGCAGUAAUUUUAAUACAAUUUUGUUGGUGCCUUGUGUGCCAGAAGCUAGAAAAAUGUGUAGUUUUCAGAUAAGGAGUCUUGUUAGUUCUCUAGUAAGAAUCCAAUAAUUUGCUUUUGCACGUCCAUCUAAUUUGUGGAUCCUUGCAUCAGAAUUUGAUCAAUCCAAAGGAAUUGCUUUUAGACAGAAGAAGAAUAGCAGCACCUAGCCUAUGUCAUAGUGUAUGGACCCGCAAACCUGAAACUAUUAGAUUGAGGUAAAAAAAUCAUUGACCCUCACAUGUUAACUUCUUCUAGUUACUUUUGUUGGGAAAAAAAAACAUUUAAGGAAUUUGCAAUUUGUUGUUAGUUAUGGUAUCUGAUGUUCUUUUCUGUUUUAGCGUUUGUAGAAUCUACGGUAUUAUGUGUUGGCAGUUGCCGUAUCUGAGGUAACUUGCCUUUAUUUGUUUGCUUCUGACUUAAGGACACCAACAUUUGCCAGAGAUUUAGAGAAGCAUCUCAAAACACUUAGCAAACUUGACAAACUUCAAGAUGCACUUGCCCCCACGCCUUAUUCUCCACAACGCAAAACUUGUGAGUACACUUAUGCCUGCAAUUAUUGUGAAGUGUUUGCAAUUUCGAUGCAGAGAAAUGGUUUCUUGAUGCAAAGUAUUAAACUGUUAAGAUUUAUCCUGCAGGCUUGUUAGAUGUUGUAUACUCGAAAAGCCAACAACAUCAAGAACUACAACUCCAAGACCAACUUUGCAUUAAUUCAGUCAGCUGUAAAAAUGAUGCAAAUGACACUAUAUCAAGCUGGACUUAGAGACUAGUCAGAUCAAUCAUCCAUUUCAUCAACGGUUAAUGUCAUGAUGGUGGCUAUCAGAGGAAACAAAAGAUGUGUCAGAAUCUAUACGAACAUUGAGAAGCAUGAGAGGAGCUUUGAUUUUGAGUAGGGUCAAUGAACUCAUGUUGGUAAGUGGUGAUUAAAGAAAUUUGUAAGCUUAGUAGAGUUUCAGUAUUUUCUGUUUGGAGUAUAGUUGAUAAGUUGACUCUGUUUAAGAAGCCCGAUUAUAGUAGCUGACUGUAUUAACCUUUUUUUUUUUGGUCUGCUGUUGUUUUUGGUUUCGAUUAUUUUUUCAACAUUGGGUUGAUCUGUUGAAGAACAAGCUUGGGUUUGAUUAUGUUUUAACUAUAAGGAAGAGCCAGACUUGGUUGCAGGCGUUAAGCUUUUAAUGGGUAAGAACAAAUGAAUGCUUUAACCAUGUUUCUCACUUAUUAAAAUGCAUGGAUUGAAGGCAUCUGGGUUGAUCCUGACAAUGUGAUGGAAAUACUUCUCUGUUUUCAUGUAACAGGACAAAUAGAGAUCUCUGAUCAUGCCUGAAUUUUUGUUGCAUUGAAAUUUCUACCAUUACCAAACAUAGAAUGAACUGGGGAUACAUUAGCUUAAGACUCAAUUUUGAGAAGGAAGUUUGUACUUGCAGCCUAUAAAAUCAUGUCCGUGUCGUACGUUUCUUUGGGAAAUGAAAGAUUCUGUGUGUUCUUUUAUUUCAAGUUCACUGAAAUCACAUUUGUUUUCUCCGAUGCUUUCCAGAAGGUAACAACAUCAAUUUCAAAAAUGCUGGGGCAAGAUGCAUCAUGCAGUGCGACUCAACUUGAGAAUUCCUGGCCACAUUACCCGUAUGUCGAAUGAUCGCACAGUUCAACCUUGAGAAGCUUGUAAUGAGUACACAACUGGGUGCAAGUAGUUUUGAAAUGAAUUUGCCUCAAAUGAUUUCUUGCUCGCAUCCCUUGGGUUAUGAUAGAUGGAAAAUUCAUAUACGAUCCAGAGUCAGAGGUGUUGAUUCUCUUAUUAAGGUCAGCUGAUUUCUAUUAUCCACUCUGACAAACUCCAAGACCGGGUUUUUUUUUUUUUUUAAUUUUGCCGUUCUGUAUAAUUGAAAUGCCACUCACUUGUUUCCUUCUUCACAGGUCCGAUAGUAUGUUGAGGCUAUUUGCUUUUUAUCGGUGUUUGUCAAGGUAAUUAGUGCUGCCUCAUAGGUUGAUUACUCACAGAUGAAAUCAUAACUUUUAUCUUAAAAUUUAAUAGCAUACACAGAUAGAUGAUUUUUAGUCCAAAGUUUUUUUAUUCACUUCAAUCAAAAUUUUAGAUUGCAGAUUUUUGUCAAGUAUUUCAUUACAAUUUUUUCAUUUUUUAUUUUAAACCAGAAUAUGAGUAUAACAUUUUGGAGCGUGCAUACUCUGAUGCAUGCAAUUAACUGUUUUUAAUCAUUGGAUUUUGAAAUUAAUAAUGGUAAGAUGUGUACUUAUUCUGUCUUCCAACAACCUUGGCCUCUUUCUUCGGUCGCAUAUCUAAUGAAUAUUUCUCUGUUUAGUUAAGGAUGAAUGCUUGGAGUGGGGUACUUGGUAACAUUUCUGCCUCAGAUGAAUCCUUGAAGAAAUGCCCGCAGUUCCUGAGACCAAAUACAGGUCUGAUUCAAAACAGCACCUUUCUCAGAAAAUAUGAUCCAAGGCAAAGUCAUGUUCUGAUAAUGUUUCCUUAAGUACAAAGUUGCAAGGAAACUUGAUUCAUUAACUACAGUUUUUUAUUUUUAGGACCUUGUAUCUGAAAGGUUCAGUGUUUUUUUUUUUUUCAAAUUUAUUGUUCAGAUCUCAGAGGAGUAUAUGGUUUAGAUUACAAAACACCCAUGAUUAAUUUCAUUUUUUUUUUAAUUUCAGGGAGAAGAAGUGGUCAGUUUCAAUCCGGAAUUGGAAUAUGGCAAUUUGGUUCAAGCACACACACCUGGUCACUUGGUCAGUGAACCUGAACUUUACGCAGUUUUUUCAACUCAGUGAUUUUUGGAACGCAUAGUGGUGUAAGGAAAUCAAAAGAAAUUUAUGCAUAGUCAAAUUCUGAUAUUUGCUAUAUAUUAUACAUUCUAAAGUUUCUCCAGUUUGUUCUCAGAUUACCAUCAUUUUUUGCCUUCACCAAAAAAAAAAAAUUGAGUGGCUUUCCAGUGGAUAUUUAAUCGGAGGUAUGACUGGAUUUUUUUCACUUCUGUAAAUCUUGCAUUUUAAACUGGCAAAUUUAACUUUAAUUUUAAUACGACUUUGUUGGUGCCUUGUGCCCCAGAAACUAGAAAGAUGUGUAGUUUUCAGAUAAAGGGGCUUGUAAAUUCUCUAGUAAGAAUCCAAUAAUUUGCUUUUGCACGUUCAUUUUAUUUGUGGAUCCUUGCAUCUGAAUUUAAUCAAUCCAAAAGGAAUUGCUUUUAGACAGAAGAAGAAUAGCAGUACCUAGCCUAUGACAUAGUAUAUGGACCUGCAAACCUGAAACUAUUAGUUUGAGGUAAAAAAUUCAUGACCCUCACAUGUUAACUUUCAUGAAAAACACAUUUAAGAAAUUUGCAAUUUUUUGUUAGUUUCGUAUCCGAUGUUGUUUUCUGUUUUAGCAUUUGUAGAAUCUACUGUAUUAUAUUUUGGCAGUUGCAGUAUCUGAGGUAUGUUUUGCAUUUAACUUGCUUUAUUUGUUUUGCUUGUGACUUAAGAACACCAAUAUUUGCCAGAGAUUUAGAGAAGCAUAUCAAGCUGCUUGGCAAACUUGACAAACUUCAAGAUCCUCCAUUCUUCACAACGCAAAACUUGUAAGUACACCUAUGCCCGCAGUUAUUGUGAAAUGCUUGCAAUUUUGAUGCGCUGAAAUGGUUUGUUGAUGCAAAGGUUUAAACUUUUAAGAUUUACCCUGCAGGGUAGUUGGAUGCUGUAUACUCGAAAAGCGACCAACAUCAAGAACUAUGACUCCAAGACCGGGUUUGCUUUAAUUCAAUCAGCUGAAAUCAUGAUGCAAACGACACUAUCAGCUGGACUUAGAGACCGGUCAGAUCAAUCAUCCAUUUUAUCAACAGUUAAUGUCAUGAUGGUGGCUAUUAGAGGAAACAAAGGAUGUGUCGGAAUCAAUGUGAACAGUGAGAAGAAUGAGAGGAGCUUUGAUUAUACGUAGGCUCAAUGAACUCAUGCUGGUAAGUGGUAAUUAAAGAAAUUUGUGCGCUUAGUAGCAUUUCAAUAUUUUCUGUUUGGGAUAUAGUUGAUGAGUUGAUACUCUGAUUAAGAAGCCUGAUUAUAGUAGCUGACUUUUUUUUUGUGGUUUGCUGUUGAUUUUUCUUUUGAUUUUUUCAACAUUAGGUUGAUCUGUUGAAGAACAAGCUUGGGUUGAUUAUGCUUUAACUACAAGGAAGAGCCAGACUUGGAUGCAGGCGUUCAGCUUUUAAUGGGUAAGAACAAAUGUAUGCUUUAAACAUGUUUCUCACUUAUUACAAUGCACGCAUUGAAGGCAUCUGAGCUGAUCCUGAAAAAGUGAUGGAAAUACUUCUCUGUUUACAUAAAACAGGACAAGAGAUCUCUGAUCAUGCCUGAGAAUUAGUUGCAUUGAAAUUUCUACCAUUGCCAAAAAUAGAAUAAACUAGGAAUACAUUAGCUUAAGACUCAAGUUUGAGAAGGCAGUUUGUACAUGCAGCCUAAAAAAUCAUGUCUGUGUUGUAUACUUGUAUGUUUCUUUGGGAAAUGAAAGAUUCUGUGUGUUCUAUUAUUUCAAGUUUGCUGAAAUCACAUUUGUUUUCUUAGAUGCUUUUGAGAAGGUAACAACAUCAAUUUCAAAAAUGCUGGGGUAACAUGCAUCACGCAGUGCUACUCAACAUGAGAAUUCCGGCCGCAUUACCUGUAUGUUGAGUGAUCGCACAGUACAGCCUUUAGAAGCUUGUAAGGAGUAGACAACUAGAUGUGAGUAGUUUCAAUAUGGAUUCGCAUCAAAUGAUCUCUUGCCAGUGAUUACUAUAACCUCUAUCCCAAAAUUCUUGGAACUGGUCAUACCAAUAAUGAAGUGUUGUGUAUGUUGAAGACAUUGCGAAAGCUCCGUCAGCCUUUGUAUUGGAAAACAGUUGGUUGUAGUUGCUUCUGAAUGAUAUUAUUAAUAGAUACUGUAAAAAUGAACUGUGCCACUCAUUUUCAGAGCCCUGUUAAGAUGUGUUGGUAAUGUGUUUGAAGGUUGUUUGAUUUAUGUUGUAUUCAGCUAUAAAUCAAAGAUUCAGAACAUGGUUAUGUUACUGGUUUCCAAAUCAAAAAAUUGCCUUGUGAUGUUAGUGUUCAUUGUUUUCACAGGAGAUCAGGUUCCCUGUUGAUGAAUCAUUAAGGCAAACGCAUCCAUGUCUUAAGUUCAAAUGUGUCUCUUCUAUUUUCUAUUACUGACUCCUUUAUUUUGAUUUCUUCAUUGUAAUGGAAUUGGUUUUUAUUCCAAAUUAGUCUUAAGUUCUGUUAGCAUUUGAAGAUAGAACUAGAACUAAAUGAUUGACUGGAUUAAAUUCCGAUAAAGAAUUAAGUUAUAUAUUUAGAGAUAUUAUGUUUUUUUUUUUUUCAUUUGUUCAAUUUGGUUAGUGGUGAUUUCUUAAAGACUCAAUCCAUGUGCGUUUAUGCAUUUUUCUUUUGCCUUAAUUUCUGUUUCUUGGGGAGUUUAUACAGAUUCUUAUUUUAUGCUUCACAUGCCACAUGAAAGAUCGAAUUCUUAUAAUAAGAGUCUGAGAUCUCCCUGAAGGAUUCAAAGCAUUUUAUUUUAUAUUAAACUCCUUUACGUGGGUUUGGACACUACCACAAGUUCUUUAAAUACUAAAACGAUUUUAAGUCUUUUGUAUCAUCUGAUUGAAAUACAUGAAAGCACUCGUGGCUGCAAAAAUACAGUUGGGGCUAUUUCUAAAGUCUUCAACAGCAUUUUCUUUUUAACCUUUAUCCUCAUGGUUGUUUUUGCAGUUGUUCUUUAAGAAAACAUUUAAAAGGUUCUCUUUAUGGAUUUUUGAAAAUAAUUUUAACAUAAGCAAUUUUCAGAAGCACUUUAGAUGUCUGGCAUUUAGAAAAUUUUAUUCCGGUGUCACAUAAAAUACUUAGGAAGUUAAAUUUAUUUAUUUAUGAGCAUGUGCCAGUGCCCUGUGGCAUCCUCUUCACUUGUGAUAGUCAAAUGUAUUAUACGAUACAAUAUUAGCUUGACUGUAGCACAGAGGAGAAUAGGGUUGGUGUUGGUCUGAACCAGCUUAUGUAACAGCUGCCAAAGGAUAAUUUAAUUGUACUUUGAGUAAAGCUUUUGCAAAUUAAACAAGUGAUAAUUUGUUUCUAUUAAGAAAAACUUAAAGGAUAGGGCUAUUUUAACUCACCAAACUACACAUUAAAAAUCUACUUACAAAAAUAGUUUUUAAUUAUUAAAAUAUUCCUAAAUUAAAUUAUAAUUAUGGACACUAAAAUAUAAUUUUUUUUAUAUUUUACCCUUUGAAACUAUCUUUACAUUCGAUAUUACAUUUUUUUCUUAAACUCCAAAUUGAUUUUUUUUAUUAAUUUUAAAACACAUAUAAAGUGAUUCAUAUUGAUUUUAUACUAACAAACUAUUAUAGCACAUUCGAAAAAUAAUUAAAUCGUUCUUAUUUACAUAGUGAAAAUGCAAAUAGCUCAUUCAAAUGUUAAGGAAUUGGAGAGCUGCUGCUGGAGAUGAAAGAUGUGAAUUAAACAUCAGAGAAAAAAUUAUGUUCACUGUCUUGCCAGACCAAGCACCGAAAAGCGUCGUAAAGAAAAAUUAGAUAAUUUAGAAGAUAAAGCACGUGGAAUGGAGGCAGAAAGCAAGUAAUGAUAACUCUUUCGACAAACUAAUAUAUACCAAAAUGUAAUAUCGGCCCUAAUAAAAAAUGUGUUACGUAAGUAAAAGCACCAGGUCGGUCGUGCUACUAUUUCUGUCCCGGUAUGGCUCACCUCAACUGAAUGGUACAAGCAGAGCAUGGAGACGAAUAUGGCCCGACCAGAGAUGAGUACCGACCAGAGGUGUAUGUCGAGCCGAUACCCGUCUCCUGAAAAAGCGGGAACACGAUCCCACAGAAUCGCGGAAUUUGCGUUUUUCCCAGAACCGUUGCGAGAGAUGCGAUACCCCACGUUUACCCGUAAUGUAGUAGUUAAAGUUCCGUGAAAGGCCACCACCCGAAAAAGGAGGGAUGAAGACUGAGCGGGAACGUGGGAUAACGGCUAUAAAAGAAGGAGAAAUCGAUGAAGAAGGGGACAGAAAAAUCAAAAGAGGGAAAACGCUGCCAAAUUAUUGUCAGGCUAUCUUCUUGAAAAUUCCAGAUAAAUCAAAAACUACUCUUAAAUCUAAAUUGCUCUGUUUUCCCGUAAAUACCUUGAGCUAACUUAGGCAUCGGAGGGUUUACGCCGGCAAAACCACCCGCGUCUUUGAUCCGUUUUUUUGUGAGCGCAGGUCUAGAAAGAGAAAGGAGGACGAGUCCAAGUCCCGCGGUUCGAACUUGAUAACAUAAUCGUUGGUGGAAAAUUCUGGUCGGUAACAAGGCGAGCAGAUUUAAGCAUCAACAUUUUGGCGCCGUCUGUGGGGAGCUGGAUAAAAAGCUACCACCAACUUAGUAGUUGCCAGAGAAGCGGUAAACAAUCAGACAUGGAUGUGCCCAGGAAAGACGCUCUGAGGGAGGAUAACGAGUCUGGAGAGACAAUCACUCUUAGGGAAAUUGCAAAUGAAGCCCGGGAGAGGGUAAUGCAAGAUCGAUUGGAGCGGAUGGAGAAACAAAUGGAGACUCUCGCGACCAUACUAUUUGAGCUGAGAGACGAGCGGAGAAGGGAUUGCGAAACCCCUGUGGGGAGAGAUGAUGUCGGAGCAGAACCCAGCCUCCGGACGCGUAGAGUCGAGGAGAUCCCUCCGCCGGCGGACCAACCUAAUGGGGUGCAUCCCCACAGAAGUACUGGUCGGAUUCCAGGAGAACAAAUAGAUGAAGGGAGGAACCAACCUCGCCCUGGGCGGGUACUGGAAGCUGAUGGCCGAGGGGCCAGUGUUAAUGAAGGGGAGCUCAGGCAGCGGUUGCAGAAUGCCGAACAGGAGCGAGAUCAAAUAGCUGCACGUGAUCCUGACCGUGCUGUAGAAUUGGAGGGAGAGGUGCGCAGAUUAGCGCAAGUGAUAGAGGAGAUACAGGGUAGGAGAAAGCCCCCGAGCUGGAGGAUAAUGCUAGAUGAAGAAUCUCCACUAUCAGUUGAGAUCAUGGGCACUGUAAUCCCAAGAGAUUUCCGCUUCCCCGACCUCAAAUACUCCGGGCGAAGUGAUCCACUGGUGCAUAUUGAACGUUUUAAUGACGUGACGGGUGUUCAGGGGUUAACACCAGCUCAGAGGUGUAGGGUAUUCCCAUUGACACUAGAGAGACGAGCCCGAGAAUGGUACCACAAACUGUUACGAGGAAGUAUCAGAGGGUACGAGCAGAUGUGCCAAGAAUUGGCCGAACAAUUCCGGGGGGCGGUGGCCCCAGAGGAUGAUAUGAUGGAACUAAUGGGGAUAAAGCAGGAGGAACAAGAACCCCUUCGAGAUUUUGUAAAACGAUACCACCGAGCCGUGCUUGAUUUGGGAGCUUUCAAUCACCCGCAGGCGUUGAGGGGAUUGAAGGAGGGUGUGAGAAUAGGCCGACUGUGGUAUAACCUGAGAAGCCCCCUGGUGCAGAAUUAUUCCGCGGGGUAUGAGCAAGCAAAGAGAGACAUUGAAAUCGAAGAAGAAAAAUCAGCCAGGAUAAAGAGUGAACAAUUGGAGGAGCUGAGACGAAGAGAGAUGAGAGCCCCAAAAGGAGCGGGUCAGGAAAGCAAGCUGGGGAAUCUUCAAUGAUGGGUGCAGUAUCCGCUCGAUCUCGCCUUUAUCCUAUGGCUCAGAGACCGCAGCAGGUCCAACACAAUCGGGCUCAGCCCUCACGCCCCCCAUUCCUGGAACGACAACGAGAAUUUCGGCAGUUGGCUAACCAUCCCUAUCACAACGCUCCCAGAGCACCGCAUACAGCCAACCCCAGAGCGGGACGAUCAGGUCAGCUACCUUCAAUAUCCGCUCGGGAUGAUACUCAUGAUAGCCGAGCAGUCCAGCUGAUUGACCAGAACCCAGCGUACGGACAAUAUACCCCGCUAAAAGUCCCUAUGGAGGAGUUGUAUGAGAGAAUCGAGGGACGAGGCCUGUUGUACCCUCCAGCCCCUAUAACGAAACCUGCUCACCGAAGGGAUAAGAGCAGAUUCUGCAAAUUCCAUGACACUCACGGUCACACCAUCAGCCAAUGUCGUGACUUUAAGAUUCAGGUGGAGGAUUUGGUGAGAAAUCGUUAUUUGGAUGAGUAUGUAGAUGGGGUUUCUCCCGUCAUUGAAUCACAGUACACGCGGGGUGAAGGAGAUGAGAGGAGCCUGGAACGUGAACAGCCAACUAUCCGUGUGAUAGCAGGAGGGCCAACCCUGGCUGGGGAUUCGAAUAGGGCACGGAAGAACUAUGGGAAAUACGCCAUGACCAGCAAAGAAGUUCUUUUCAAUUUGCCAGCAGCCAAGAAGGCAAAAUUGCGGCAAGUUCCCAUUAUGUGGACAGAUGACGAUAAAGAGGGUAUCCUAUAUCCUCAUAAGGAUGCACUGGUGAUUAAGGCAAUGGUGGCUGGUACAGAACUACGACGGAUACUGGUAGACACGGGCAGCUCGGUUGACAUCUUGUUUAAAUCGGCCCUAGAUGAUAUGGGGAUUGCAGACUUAAAAUUGGAACGGACGAACACAUCUUUAAAGGGAUUUGGAGGGGGACGGCUAACUCCCAUAGGAAUCGUCGAACUCCCAAUUACUAUGGGGACAAAGCUGUUUGAAAGAACAAUGAUGUUGGAUUUUGUCGUGGUAGAGGAGAGAAGCCCUUACCAGAUGAUACUGGGGAGACCGUUCAUGAAGAUAAGUCAAUGCGUUGUGUCUACGCAUUAUCUGGCACUAAAAUACAGAAUAAACGGAGCGGUUGGUGUAGUAAAAGGUGACCAGAGGGUGGCAAGGAGUUGUUAUGCUACAGCGGCCAAGGAGACGCUGCAGGUUACUUCCUUAGAUAAUCGAGGAGAACCUAAAAAGGGCCGCCAAGAACCUGUUGAGAAACUGGAGGCAGUUUCGGUAAGCAAAGGCGACCUGAGCAGAGUGGUGAAGAUCGGAUCGGGGUUGGUUGGUGCAGUCAAAGGCGAACUGGUAAAUUGCCUACAGUCUCAUGCAGAUAUAUUUGCCUGGUCUCACGAGGAUAUGCCAGGAAUUGAUCGUGGGGUAGCUUGCCACAAGUUGGCAAUUAAGAAGGGGGCGAGGCCGGUGAGACAGAAGAGGAGAUGCUUUAACCAGGAAAGAUACCCAGACGGACGAGAUGUGAAGAGGUCAUGGAACGCCGAGCACUUAAAGAAGUAUUUUCAGUAAGCAAAGUGCUCUGCUAAAUCCUCAUUUUGAUAAGUUUUCUUUGUUAACUGCAUGAUGGUUUAUUACGCAUGUACAUAGUCUGUAUUUUGUAAUACAUUCAAAUCGCAAUAAAGAUGAAUUCAGCAUGAAACCCUUCUGUUAAGCAAGGCCAUUAUAAUUUAUACCAAGGCAAGUAAGUGCCUGCUUCUGCUCGGUCAACGAAAGACCAGCAGCUAAAUUAGCGAAAUUUCUACCAAGGCAAGUAAGUGUCUGCUUCUGCUCGGUCAACGAAAGACCAGCAGCUAAAUUAGCGAAAUUUCUACCAAGGCAAGUAAGUGCCUGCUUCUGCUCGGUCAACGACAGGCCAGCAGCUAAAUCUACGAAAAUUAUACUAAGGCAAGUAUGUGCCUGCUUUAGUUCGGUCCACGAAAGACCAGCAGCUAAUACUACGAGAAUUCUGCUAGGGCAAAUAAGUGCCUAGUUCUGCUCGGUCAACGAAGACUAGCAACCAAUUUUAUUAAAAUUUUACUAAGACAAGUAAAUGCAUACUCCUGCUCGGUCCACAAAGAAACCAGCAAGCAAAAUCAGAUAAGUUGUCCAAUUAUUUUGCAGAAACCAUCUAUGAGCAAAUACCAGACAAGAAAGUCAAUAGAGAACAUCUAAAAGUUUAUAAAUGUUUGAUUGUCUACAAAAUAGAUGUAAAUCUAAAGUUUACACAGAAAUAGACUUAAAGAUUAGCAGGGUCAACGGCUCCAGCAGCUGAAGAAUCAGCAACCUCAGGAGGCGGGAGAUCGGCAAUACCGGGAGGAGGGGGCAUGGACCCUUGACCCACCUCGAAAGUACGUCCCCCGGCUUCCCCCUCCUGCACCCCCUCCAAAGGAGCCUCCGCCUGAUCCUGAUGACCUUGCUCCUUAUCUGCCUGGCCGGUUUCCGCCAUAUACCGCUGCACUCCAGCCUCCAGCUUACUCAUGUCCAGCUCGGGAUAUUCUUCUUUAAGCACGGACAUGAUACACUUAUAGGAGAAAGCAACCCCAGAGUCAUACUCGGCAUCCAGCUGGUCGUCCACAUCAGCGGAUUUGCCUUUCUCCUCAGCCAGCUGUUCAUUUAGGGAUUUGAUUUCUCCCUCAAGGGCAGUCCUCAGAGUAUCUCUUUCACUUUGAGUUACCUGAAGGUCAGACUUCAGGCUGCCCAACUCACCCUCGAGUUUGGAGGCAGUGGACUCAGCAAUUGCAGUUUUCUCCUCCAGCUCCAUAAUCUGUUUGUUCAGCUCGGCCAGUUUCUCCUUGGAGCGAUCAGCAGAUUCAGCCUUCUUUUUCAACUCCUGAUUAUCAGCUUGAAGCUUCCUCUCAUGGCGUAUGGACACGUUCUUGUAACACGAAACCAUGGUGGCCAGCCUGAAGGAAACCCUUUGAACAGAGGCAGCUAACUCGGAGAGCUCCAUACUCUCGAUGUCCUUCACCAUCUUGGGCCCAACCGACCUCUUGUAAUCCUUUUGGUACGGGCUCAAAUAGUCACCCUGAUCCCGAGAUGGAAGAGGAGAAGAUCGGUCCCCAGAUUGUAAGCUGACCUCAGGGCUCUUGUCGGAAGUUUUCUCCCCACUACUCUUACGAGGUGGAGGAGGGGGCAGAGCAGGAACUGGAGCCUGAGAAGGACUGGCACUGGCCUUUUUCGGAGGAGGAGGAGGGUGGCUGGAGCUGCUCGAUGCCCGACCACGCUUUCUGCUCAUCGCGCUGAGGAUCUUGUUAUCCAUCCCAGCGGCAAUAUCUACUAAGCCCGAACCGACCAGGUUUGUUGGUGACAGGAGGUCUUGACAAGUAGACGCGCUCACCAGAGCCGUUUCCACCUGGAGUAAAGGUCGGUCCUCGAGAGUCUUAACCAAACCCCACGAUUCUGAAAAAACAGACAAGGUUAAAGAACCCAAUAAGUGGCAAUUCGAGAAAGAAUAUAGGCAAAAAAUGAACGACCUGGGGUGACAAAUUGCGUUGGAAGGUAAAUGUCACCACCCAACGACCGAACUGCUGGACACCAAUUUCCCCCAGCAAAGAAGAAUUUGUUCUUCCAAUUUUUGCACGAGGAGGGGAAACCGGUGAUUGGCUUUCUCUUCGCAGAACUGGACAUGAAGUAGUACCAGCCCGCCUCCCUUGGGCUGCUCCGCAGCUGAUACAGAUGCUUCACUUCAACAAGGGAAGGCUCCUCCGACCCACACCUCUCCCACAACACAAACAUAGCCGAGAGAACCCUCCACCUGUUUGGGUGUAGUUGACCUGGGGCCAGGUGCAUACCCCCUAAAAUCUUGGCAAAAUAGCGCUGAAGAGGCAGCCGAGCUCCUAAUUUAAAGCUCUCCAGGUGCAUGGUCACGUACUCCCGCGGAGGCCGACUAGGAACAUCACCUUUCUCAGGAACCACAAGGAGAACCUCCUUAGGAAUAUCAUAGAGGUUCCUAAGCUUGAACAGAUCAUUUUGGGUGGUGGCACAGGCUAUGUGAUCAAUGGGGUAAGAAUCUGCCUCCAUCCUAUGCCCAAGGUUUUGUUUCUUAAGAGGUCGGCUCGGCUCGGCUCGGAGCUGCUUCCCUCACUAUCACCCGCUCCUUCAGGAACCCCGACCCCACCAGAACUGUGGUUCUCGCCAGAGCCCGACGCAGGUCCCCCUCUAUUUCCUACAAGCUCUAAUUCAGAGGAGGGUGAAAUGGUCAAGGGACGUGGGUACUCAAGGAUAUCCCUACUAUGGGAUAAGCCUACACUACGAGAGGGAUUCAAAAAAUCAGUGGGUAUGGGCAAGUUAAGGUCUGAAUCCCCAGAUUCUUCAUCACCCUCGUCUGCAAUCAACUUCCUUCUUCGAUUUGACAUACCGGAGUUCCAAAAGAAAACCAAAACAAACCCAAGUACACGAAUACAAAAAGAGACAGUACAGAACCCAAUCAACAACAGCCAAAAAAGAGGUUAAAGGCUAUACCUGGAAUGGACUAACAUUGGUAGCACUGCCGUGACAGAGAAAACACCCAGCAAAUGGAUACUCCGGACGCUGGAAAUGGGAGCAAAGUCCAGAAAAGAAAUUGGUUAGUGACGGAGAAACGAAUCGCAGAAUGAUGAUGAUUUUAGUCUAGGGAUUUGGAACGAAAAGGGGGGAAACGGAAGCAUUUAAGUGAUGGGAUAUGCCAGCUCACUCACCAUAUAUCGAGGAAGGAUAGCCCGUCGUUUCAAAUUUCAAAAUAUGAAGAGUCGGGAAGCGCCACGUCACUAACCGAUACAAGAGGCCAGACUAGAGCAAGCCCAGAUAUGCAAUGGACAGGCUCAUUAAGGCCCAUGCUCAGAAGACCAGAUGAGAAGCCCCGGGCUGGUCGGCUUCAACCAUCAGUUUCUACUCUUAACUCAUUUCACUCGCAAGACCAGAAACUGGGGGACUGGUGUUAAGUAAGUAAAAGCACCAGGUCGGCCGUGCUACUAUUUCCGCCCCGGUAUGGCUCACCUCAAUCGAAUGGUACAAGCAGAGCAUGGAGACGAAUAUGGCCCGACCAGAGAUGAGUACCGACCAGAGGUGUAUGCCGAGCCGAUACCCGUCUCCUGAAAAAGCGGGAACACGAUCCCACAGAAUCGCGGGAUUUGCGUUUUUCCCAGAACCGUUGCGAGAGAUGCGAUACCUCACGUUUACCCGUAAUGUAGCAGUUAAAGUUCCGUGAAAGGCCACCACCUGAAAAAGGAGGGAUGAAGACUGAGCGGGAACGUGGGAUAACGGCUAUAAAAGAAGGAGAAAUCGAUGAAGAAGGGGACAGAAAAAUCAAAAGAGGGAAAACGCUGCCAAAUUAUUGUCAGGCUAUCUUCUUGAAAAUUCCAGAUAAAUCAAAAACUACUCUUGAAUCUAAAUUGCUCUGUUUUCCCGUAAAUACCUUGACCUAACUUAGGCAUCGAAGGGUUUACGCCGGCAAAACCACCGGCGUCUUUGAUCCGUUCUUUUGUGAGCGUAGGUCUAGAAAGAGAAAGGAGGACGAGUCCAAGCCCCGCGGUUCGAACUUGAUAACAUAAUCGUUGGUGGAAAAUUCUGAUCGGUAACAAGGCGAGCAAAUUUAAGCAUCAACAAAAUGAAAAUAAAAAUUCAUUACGAAUACGUGUUAAAGAUAUCCCAAGUAUAGAUGUGACUGAAAUAUUUGAGAUUGAAGAAGAAUUAAGACUCAAAAUCAAUUGGGAGGAAUAAAUGAGAAACCCCAAUACCAAAAAAUACACGCACAAAUCCUAAUACUAAUUGUAAUCACGGAUAAAAAGCAUAAUACGAAUAAAUUAAAUGGGCAACUAUUCCAUUGAGAAAUUAAUUAAAUCGUGUAUUAAUAUUUUGUAUACAUAUAUUUUUCUAUAUAUAACUUUCGGUAAUUUAAUUUUCCACUUAUCAUUUUUACUCCAAAAAAAUAAUUGAGAAUAUUAUUUAUAUUUUGGUGCAAAAUAUUUGAACAAUAUACAAAUUUUCAGUUUAAUAAAUCUAAACAUCUAUUAAGUUAUAAAUGAAUUUAAUGGGUUUAAUUAAUAAAAUUACUAUUAUUAUAUAAAUUGGGUUUAGUAAUGGUAUAUUGGGUGGGUUUGUUGAGUAAAUUUUAAAAUUUUGAAAUUUAAGGAUGGGUUUAUUUAGUAAAUGAGUUAAGGGAGUAGUUUGUUGGGAUUCACAUAGCCCCACCAAAUUCAAAUGUAAAAUUUGUGGAAAAAGAAGCUAUUGAGUUAUUCUUUUAAAAAAAGAAUUAAAAUGUCAAGAAUACCUUUAUUUAAUUUUAUAAUCUUAUUUUAUAGUCAUAUUUUAUUUCCACCUUAACAUAAUUUUAAAAACCUUAACUAAUAAAUUCUAUAUUUUUUUUAUAAAAGUUAUCAUUAAUAUCCAAACGGCUAAAGAUUUUUUUUUUUUUAAAAAAAAAGGAACUAUGCUUACAAAAGUUGUAUACAUUAACAAUAAAUUUAGUCCAAAGAAUAAAGUUAUUCCAAACAAGCACUCCAAUUCAUCUUGCUAAUGAAUCAAGAUGACUGAAUCCUUCUCUAAGCCAAAUCUAUUUUCACUUUUAGGUCAGAAAUUGUCAUUAAAAAAAUGUUUGAUAAAAUAUGCUCUAGGAACACUAAUUCGUCAGAUGGUUACUCCAAGUUUAUGAAAUCAAUGGGAUUUCAUCAUAUUCAUAACAUUCUUCUUUAAUGUCUAUUCUAACAAAGAAAUCAUAUACAGAGAAUAGGUUUCGUUAAAACUUUUACUAGAAAAACUAACCACAAUUCACCAUUCAUUUAUAUCUUAAGUAAGCCUAAGAUUUUAUCAUUAAAAUCCCAUCAUGAAAAAAACUCAUGGGAGAAAAACUAUAAAAAUUGAAGAAAAAAGAGUAUGGCGUGCAUGUAAAUUAUAUCGAUUUUAUCUACAUGACAAAUAAGACUCUCUUUUACAAUGGCACGGAUGCUUCAUUGAGUAAUCAUGAUUCUUGCUGGUAGUGCUUUGUUGUAUCAAUCUGCUAGCUAUUCAGCGUUCUUUCUUUCUUUCUUCUUAUUUUUUUGUUUUCAAAUAGCUUGUGGUUGUAGAAAUAUUUCAAUUAAACUAUACUUAAGUACUUAUUUGGUAUAACUUCUUUACUAACCAAAAGAAUUUUUUUUUUUGGUUUUUUAUAAUUUAAUUAUACUUUAACUAGAGUUUUUGGGAUAAAACAAGUGAUAAUUUCUCUCUAUUAAGAAAAACUCAAAGGGUAGGGCUAUCUCAAUCCACCAAACUAUUUAUUAAAAAUCCACUUAUGAAAAUAAUUUUUAAUUAUUAGAAUGCCUUUACAUUAAAUUAUAAUUAUGGACACUAAAAUAUAAUAAAUUUUUUUUUUACUCUUUAAAACUGUCUUUACAUUUGAUAUCAUAUCUUUUUCUUAAAAUCUAAAUUGAUAUUUUUAUUUUAUUUUUUAUUAAUCUUAGAACACAUAUAAAGUGAUUCAUAUUGAUUUUAUACUAACAAACUAUCACAGCACAUUCGAAAAUAAUUAACUCGUUCUUAUUUGCAUAGUGAAAAGGCAAAUAGCUCAUCCAAAUGUUAAAGAACUGGAGAGCUGCUGCUGGAGAUGAAAGAUAAAUAAUUCUCACUUAGAAGAAGGAGAAAAAAAGGAAAUACAAUUAGAAUGAGAGGUAGCCAGUAGCCACUAGCCGCCACCACCACCAGUGAAACUAUUUCACAUAAUAGAAGAUAAAGCACGCGUAAUGGAGGCAAAAAGCAAGUAAUGAUAACUCUUUUCGACACACUAAUACAUAUCAAAAUGCAAUAUCGGUCCUAACAAAAUGAAAAUAAAAAUUCAUUACGAAUAUGUGUUAAAGAUAUCCCAAGUAUUGAUGUGAUUGAAAUAUUUGAGAUUGAAGUAGAAAUAAGACUCAAAAUUAAUUGAGAGGAAUAAAUGAGAAACCCAAAUAUUAAUAAAAUACACGUGCAAAUCCUAAUGCUAAUUAAAAUCACGGAUUAAAAAUAAUAAUAAUAUGAAUGAAUUACAGGCGCAACUGUUUCAUUAAGAAAUUAAUUAAAUCGUGUAUUAAUAUUUUGUACACAUACAUUUUUCCAUAUAUAACUUUCGGUAAUUUAGUUUUCACUUAUCAUCUUUACUCCAAAAAAAAAAUUGAGAAUAUUAUUUAUGUUUUGGUGUAAAAUAUUUGAAUAAUAUACAAAUUUUCUGUUUAAUAAAUCUAAACAUUUCUCCAGUUAUAAAUGAAUUUAAUAGGUUUAAUUAGUAAAAAUAUUAUUAUUAUAUAAAUUGGGUUUGGUAAUGGUAUAUUGGGUAUUUAAAUGGGUUUGUUGAGUAAAUUUUAAAAUUUUAAAAUUCAAGGGUGGGUUUAUUUUAGUAAAUGGGUUAAGGCAGCAAUUUCCCAAACUAAAAUUUUUAGAAAAAGACGCUAUUGAGUUUUUUUUUUUUUUAAAAAAAGAAUUAAAAUGUUGAGAAUACCUUUAUUUAAUUUUAUAAUCUUAUUUUAAAAAAUUUACCCAAUAAAUUUUAUAAUUUUUAUAAAAAUUAUCAUUAACAUCCAAACAGCUAAAGAUUAAAAAAAAAAAAAAAGAAGAAGGGAACUGUACGAGCAAAAGUUACAUUAACAAUAAAUUUAGUCCAAAGAAUAAAGUUACAGCUAAAAAGUGCUCCUAUCCUAUUUUUCUCUAUUUUAACAAUAAUCUUCUUCCAAUCCGUUUUACAAUGGACUUUAACAAAUGGGCUCAAUCUCUAAACUUCAUUUUCUUUUGCUUACCCAUGGCCAUUAGCCAGAAAGCCUAAAACAAGACCAGCCCAUAUAUAUAAUUUUUUUUAAAAAAAAGUAAAAAUGUGUGAGAGCUUGUAGCAUUACAAUUUUAGGAUCACAUGUGUAAAUGGAACCCCAACAUUGAUCAAGAAUUAACAAGACAAGAUGAAGAGAUGAUCUUGUAACUAAGAAUGAAGAAAUUGAAUCAAGACAGUACUCUAGUAAAACCCAGAAAACAGAGCUUGAAGAAUCACGCACAAAGCAGUAAAUUUGUAAAACCAGAAUUGGAGCUUCACUUCUCAAGAGAGACGAAACAGGAUACAGUCUAGCUUUAGCCAAAGUGAUAAACUCGUAAUUAUUCUACAAAGGGAACAAUUUUGAACAGUGGGAAAUUCCAUAAUUAUUCUUUUCGGUGAAUUAUUUUAAAUAAAAUUAUAAAAACCAAUAUAAAAUUAUUACCCAGUAAAGACUUUAGAGAGACAAGUGCUCCCAACAGGAUCAAGUGAAUAUGCCCCACAAAGAUCAUUUCUUGUUCUUUUUCUUUUUGACAAUUUUAUCUGUGGUUUCAACUUUUAUGCUUUAUUGUCGUAUCCCGUUGAGGGCUCCGCUGCACCCAUUACAACUUACCCCUAAAUUGCCUCUUACUAACUAAACCGUUAGAUUUUAUGGAAGCACGUUCAAUGCUGAAUUUUAAUUAUGUCAUCAAAUUUCGUUUAGCUCCUUAAACUCCAUUUUAUUUGUAAUUUCUUCAUAAAAUAUUCAAAGCUUCAUCAAGCUCCUGAUGGACCAUCAUGGCUAGGGGUGCAUUAGAGCCGAACUGAAAUAUGUUAGUUCAGUUCAGUUUGGUCAGUUUAAAUCGAAUGGUUUAGAAUAUAUAAACUGAUCAAUUUUAAUUUUUAAUUGAACCGAAAAUCAAUUGGUUCAUUAUUAGUAUUUUUUUAUAAACAUGAAUUAUUAGUGAUUGUAAUUAAAUUGGACUAAAAAAAAUUCAAACUAAGGUGAAAAAUAUAAAAUCUUAGACAAUAUAAAAGAAAAAAUAUUAAAUUUUUUUAACCGAAUUAUUUUGACUCAAUUUGGUUCAUAAUUUUUUAAACCAAAUGGAACCCUCAUAACAAAAAACUAACAGAAACAAUAAGAACACGAUGUUAAAAUCUUAAAUCAAUCGCAAAAAAGCACCCAAAACAGAUCGAUUAGGAACAGUUAACAACAAAAGAUUUGAUGGUUCAAAAUCAUAAUGUGACCUACUUCCAUCCAAGAAUUAUACUAAUUUCUUUACUAGUUGUCAAAUACAAGAUCACAAGAUUAUUUAUCACUCUAUAGAGAAAAAAUUUUUAGAAGAAAUACUCCCCAAUUUUUCUCUUGAUAGUUAUGAAUCAACACCCCUAGAAAGGCUAUUGAUUUACUUUUCCUUAUUUCAUAUGAUCGGUUGCUGCAACUUAAUCCUUGCCAAGUUCCAACAUAGUCCAAACAUUUUUCAUGGUACAUGCAUAGUGCACCUUCAGAAACUUUACAGCUCUUCUUAAAACCUCAGUUCUCGUGAUGUUUCUGAUUUAUUUCUGGGACGAGUAACACUUUUGUUGAACCUAGACCAGAUUUAGUAUCCAAUCAAGAAUUUCCAGGAUCUAGCUGAACUCUCUAAUCAAGACCUAAAGAAUAGUUAAUCAAAUCCACACAAAAGAAUCACCCAAAAACAGUAUACAAAGAACAACAAAUAUAAGUGGUUUUGAGAUAAAUGUAAUUGACUUCUGAGCAUGACUUAAUUUUGAGAUCAUUACUUUUAGUUAAAUGAUCUCCUCCAGAGCUUCUACCUAUGUAGUGUUUUUAGACCUCUAUAGUUGAUAAAGCACGUUCAAGGUGAAGGCUUGUUUUCCAAUCUAUAGUCCAAUUAUAGACUGGAAAUGGUCAGGCUUAAUGCACCUUCAAAAGCUUCACAAUUUGUAUUGAAACCUUAAGCCUCAGAAUGCUACAAAUUUUAAAUCCAUAUACUUAGUGCUCUUAUGAUUUGUUUGAUUUUUACUUAGAUGAAGAGCAUUUUAGCUAUAGAAAACAUUGUAACUAAUUCAAAGCAUGCCUUAGCUACGAGAUCAUUCAUUCUAGCCAAAUGCCCCCUUUAGAGAUUCUGCUAUUGUUGUGUAUUCAGCCUCUAUAUUUGGCAAAGCAAUUACAUGUCGAAGGCUUGCUUUCCAGUUAACAGCGCAAUUACAUAGAUUAAAGGUGUAACCAGGCAAAGAACUUAGUUAUUCUGCCAAGGUCUCCAACAUACUCCAAAUCCAUAUAACCACCAGACUUCAAUCUUUAGACUCCAUAGAUCAAACCAUAACUUAGUGUGCCUUUCAAUCUCAGGUAACAUUUUACUGUUUUCCACGUCUUGCCAUGUACUUGCUGCUAACACUAACAAUUUGAGAAAUGUUAGGCAUCGUAAGCAGCCGACAACACUCUUCUUCAUUUCUUCAUUGUCAAUUUCCUUCUUGGAACAUUGCUCCAUUGAGAGUCUGCUAUCAUUGCUCCAAUUAUUAUUAUUUUUGUUUUUUUAAAAAAAAAAAUUAACCGUGCAAUAAGAGUAUAAGACUAAGCAACGGUCCUUUUUUUUUUCCCAUUCUUGAACAUGAAGUAUUUGAGUAUGCAAUAAAAAUUGUUUAUUGAUAAUUAAAAGUUAAUAGUGGGUGGCUUUAGGAUUUGUUUACAAAAUUGACAACAAAUUAAGAUUUUUCAAAUUCAUAGGUAAGAAACUUUUCAUUUAUUCAUAGAUUUUCCGGUUUAAACUUUAAAGGAAACUUAAAAGAAAAAGAUGUAUCAUUAGAUUUGUAAUUAAAAAAAUUUAAUAUUGUAUGAUCUGUUCGAUAUGCAUAAUUUAAAUAAACAUUAAUAUAGAUGUUAUAUAUCCUAAAACUUAAUUGACUUAAUUCUUACGGUGCAAGGAAGACGUUUCCAAGUUUAAAUCUAAUUUGGGGUCGGGAAAGCACUGGGAAAUAAAUGUAACAAAGGAAAAAAGAAAAGAAUGACAGUCUGAGUGGAGCCAACACGGUUUUGAAAAAAGUGCAAAAAAGGGUUUUAGGAUAUAUUCUAUUAUCGUUUGUUUGCUUGCUUGUGGAAAUAAAAGUCUCAUGUUUCUUUGAAAGGUAAGCAAGUGUGAAUGUUUCUAUCUAGAGCUGGAAAAUGCAUUUCCGUGCAACUUACUUGAUGAAUGAAGUUUUCAUCUCUGACCUUGAUGUUUCCCAGAGCUGCAUUCAUUUCAGCUGAUCUAUUUCAUUUCGUUUGCAAAGGAGUGACACAAAACCUCCUUUGUUAAGGGGAGAAUUUAGAGUGGCUUCAACGGUUAACAAAUAGCCUAAUGUAAGACUUAAUCAAUUUCCUGCCCGGUUGCUUACCACUACUUAUCACUUUAACGUAUGAAACCUAAUCAAGAUUCCUUUGAUGAUUUUUCUAUUUGCUAAUUGAUUGAUAAGCUCUUCAGUGAAGAUAUAGUGUCCGCAAGCCAUAUGUUGAUAGAGUUAGAGUUUGCAGAAGCUACUGUACCAUAUGUUGUUAGAGGCGGUAAAAACGGAGGCAGAUCAACACACAUUUAAAUUUCAAUGACAAUUUACUGGAAAUAAAUUUCCUAUGACCCUACAUGUGACUAAUUGAUGAGAACUUGACAAUGACAAAAGAAAGUGUAUGAGCUUUGCAGGCUGGCUUGCCAAUAUUGACUGUAUGGCACCAUCCGCAAGUAAGUAUCAUUACUGUUUAAUCAACUUGGUGGAGUCCACUGGGACCACCCCACAUGGUCAGUCUUAUCUCUACUCCUAAAUUUUCAAUAUUCCAUACAUCAAACCAAUUGCAGUUUUGAUAUCAAAUUCAAUUUUAUUGUUGGUGACGAUUCUGAUUCCUUUCAUUCUCACAAAACGGAACCAUGGUUGCUGUUGGAGAGAUCUUACUCAACGCCUUCCUUGAGGUGUUGUUUGACAGGUUGGCUUCUCGUAAUUUGCUCCGCUUUGUGCGUCAACUCCAAGGCGGGGUUGAUUCGGAGCUCAAGAAGUGGGAGAAAAAGCUGAAGAUGAUUCAGGCUGUGCUCUGCGAUGCAGAGGAGAAGCAACUGACCGAUGAGGCUGUGAAGAUGUGGCUGGACGAACUCCAAGACUUAGCUUUUGACGCUGAGGACAUUCUUGAUGAGUUUGCUACUCAAGCUUUGGAAAGCAAGUUGAUGGCGCAAAACCAGGAUAGCUCUGGCCAGGUUCUCAGUCUCAUCCCGGCUAGUUUGAAUCCGAAUGCUAUUAUGUUCAAUUAUAGCAUGGGGUCCAAGAUUAAAGAUAUGACUAGCCGGCUGGAGCAACUCUGCCAAGAAAGAAUUGAACUUGGACUGCAACGGCUUACUGGAGGGGCGUCAUCAACCGCUGCUGCUGCACACCGGAGGCCACCCAGUUCGAGUGUCCGAACAGAACGUGAAGUAUUUGGAAGAGAAGAAGAUAAGGCCAAAAUUCUUGAUAUGGUCAAUACCCCAAGUGAUCACGCCAACUUUGUUGUAAUACCUAUUGUUGGAAUGGGCGGGAUAGGAAAAACAACUCUUGCUCGGGAGGUCUACAAUGACAAGGCAGUUGAGGAUUCCAAGUUUGACGUAAAAGCAUGGGUUUGUGUCUCCGACAACUUUGAUGUUUUCAACAUUUCAAAGGCACUUCUCGAGUCAAUCACCUCCGCAGCUAGUGAUCUCAAGACUUUAAAUGAAGUGCAGGUUCAACUGAAAAAAGCAGUGGACGGAAAAAGAUUCUUGCUGGUCUUAGAUGAUGUUUGGAACGAGGACUACAGCUUGUGGGUAGACUUAAAAGCUCCGUUCCUGGGUGCUGCACCAAACAGUAAGAUGAUCGUCACCACACGCAAUUUAAACGUUGCAUCAACAAUGGGACCAAUUGAACAUUAUAAUCUCAAGAGUCUGUUAGAUGAUGAUUGCUGGUCCAUUUUCAUACAGCAUGCAUUUGAAGGUAGAGAUCUUAACGCAUAUCAAAUUUCAGAAUCAUUCAGCAAGAAAGUUGUUGGCAAGUGUGGGGGCUUGCCUCUGGCAGCAAAAACGCUCGGGGACUUCUGCGCACAACAAGGCAUGAUGCGUGGGACGAUAUAUUGGAUAGCAAAAUAUGGGAUUUACAUCAACAAAGCAGCAUUCUCCCUGUGUUAAGAUUGAGUUACCAUCAUCUUCCGUCUCAUUUGAAAAGAUGUUUUGCUUUUUGUGCCAUCUUUCCAAAAGAUUAUGCAUUCACUGAGAGGGAGCUGACUUUCUUAUGGAUGGCUGGAGGUAUUAUUCGACAGUCAAGAAACAAUGAGCAGCUGGAAGAUUUGGGCAGCAAGUGCUUUGGUGAUCUAGUGUCGAGGUCAAUUUUUCAGCAAACAGCAAGCUCUGAUAGUUCUAAAUUUGUAAUGCAUGACCUUAUUCAUGAUCUUGCUGAAUUGGUCUCUGGAGAAACCAUAUUCAGGUUAGAGGAGGCCAAUACUCGGUCAAGAAGAUUUGAAAGGGUUCGCCAUUCUUCCUAUGCUUGUGGUGGAUGUGAUGGUAAAAAUAUGUUCGUGGUUUUCAAUGAAAUUGAACAUCUACGAACAUUCUUGCCAUUACGCUUACGCAGAAGAGGUGGCUCUAAUGCUGGUUACAUAACUCGUACGGUUCUAUCUGAUUUGCUGCCGAAGUUCAAAAGGUUGAGAAUGCUAUCUUUACAAGGAUACUGUAUUGGUGAGUUACCAAUUCCAUUUGAAGAUUUGAGACUUUUAAGGUUUCUCAACCUUGCUGACACUGACAUAAGAAGUUUACCCGAGUCAACAUGCAAAUUGCUGAACUUGGAAAUUUUUAUAUUAAGAAAUUGUUCCCGUUUGAUAAAGCUUCCACCCAAAAUGAGGAAUUUGAUCAAUUUACGCCAUUUGGAUUUAAGAGGUGCGAAGUUGCUGAAGGAGAUGCCAUUCGGAAUGAAAGAGUUGAAGAAGCUUCAAACAUUGUCCAAUUUCAUCGUGGGCAAGGGCGAAACUGCAUCUGGUUUGGAAGAUUUAAAAUGUUUAAACUUUCUUUGUGAUGAACUCUGCAUUGCUGGAUUAGAGAAUGUGAAUGGUCCACAGAAUGCAAGAGAAGCCGCAUUAUGUGAGAAGCACAAUCUUGAAGCAUUGACUCUAGAAUGGGGGUCUCAAUCUGACGGUCCUCGGGAUGCAGUACUAGAAGAGAAGGUACUUGACACUCUACAACCUCAUGAAUGUAUAAAAGAGCUGGCAAUCAGGCACUAUGGUGGUGCAAGAUUUCCACCUUGGAUCGGACAGCAUUCGUUCUCCGAGAUGAAGGUCCUUAAAUUGGAGAACUGUGGCAAUUGUGUAUCUCUGCCAUCGCUUGGCCUGAUGAGUUCACUUAAGCACCUUGCUGUUAAAGGGCUGAAGAAAUUAAAAAGCCUAGAGUCUGAGGUUUAUGGGGAGGGUUUCUCAAUGCCUUUUUCGUCACUGGAGAUUCUAAGUUUUGAGAAUUUGCCAGAAUGCGAGCAUUGGGACACCAAUAUCAAAGGAAAUGUGCUUGUUGAAAUAUUUCCUCGUCUCCAUAAACUUUCCAUUGUGGAAUGUCCCAAACUCUCCGGAAAACUGCCUGAGCUCCUGCCCUCCUUGAAGACACUUGUUGUUAGUAAAUGUGAAAAGUUGGUAGUUCCAUUGUCUUGCUAUCCAAUGCUUUGCAGAUUAGAAGUUGAUGAGUGCAAAGAACUAGUCUGCCGGACUCCGAUUGAUUUUAAGUUGAUAAAGUCGGUGACUAUUUCAAAUAGUUCAUUAGACAUGAAUGGACGCAAGGGGAUGCUAUACGAUGGUCCAGCUGGCUCUUUACUGCCAAAGCCCAUGACUACUACAAAUGUUUUGGAGUUUGGAAAAUUAUUGAAGCCUGGAUUUCAGAUAUUAGAAACUUUGGUAAUUGGCAAUUCUGAACAGCUCAAGUCAUGGAGGCAGCAUGGGGAUUUUCCGAAAAAAUACAUGGUCACUGACCAUGGGUUUAAGAAACCAGUACGAGGGCUGAAUAUGCUCGCUUCCCCUGAGGAGGUAUCAAUUGAAGAAAGUUGCGUACGUCUUGUUUUGUUUCCAGAGAUCAAUUUCUUUCCCAGAAAUCUGCGCUCUCUUCUAAUUAACAACAGCACUGCUUUGAAAUCCUUACCCGAGGAAAUGAUGGAAAACAAUUCACAACUCGAAAGGUUGUAUAUCAAGGAUUGCGACUCUCUAACAUUCAUCGCAAGACGGAGGCUACCAGCAUCUCUGAAAAGGCUUGAGAUAGAAAAUUGUGAGAAAUUGCAACGUCUGUUCGAUGAUGAAGAGGAUGCUUCUUCUUCUUGUCCUUCAUCCUCGUCUUCCCCAGUGAUGCUGAAACACCUGAGAAUCGAUAACUGCCCAGAGCUCACCAGUUUAUCAUCGGGUGUCCAAUUCCUUGAGGCGCUUGAAGACCUCAAGAUAGGGCAUUGUCCAAAGCUGGAGUCAAUACCGGAUGGCCUGCCCAAUCUUAAAUGUUUACAGAGCAUUUAUAUACGGGAUUGUCCAAGUCUUGUUUCCUUCCCAGAAAGAGGGCUUCCCCACACCAUUUCAGGGGUUUUCAUUGCGAGUUGUGUGAAGCUCGAAGCCUUGCCCAAUGAUUUGCACAAACUCAACUCUCUUCGAGGUUUAAGCAUACAGCUCUGUCCAAAUCUUGUAUCGUUUCCAGAAGAAGGUUUUCCUACCAAUCUAACAACCCUUGUAAUUGAAAAAUUCAAAUUGUAUAAGACACUCGUCCAGUGGGGGUUGCACAGGCUUACCUCUCUUAGAGACCUCUACAUCAUUGGAUGUGAUGAUGAAGCAGAGUGUUUUCCAGACGAGGAGAUAGGAAUGACGCUGCCCACCUCUCUCACUCAUCUGUCCUUUUGUGGAUUCCAAAAUUUGAUAUUUCUGUCUUCAAUGGGUUUUCAAAACCUCACCUCUCUUCAAUCAUUCCCAGAGGUGGGCUUUCCAUCCUCACUUUGGGGCUUAGACAUUAGAUAUUGUCCAAAGCUCAAAACAGCGUGCAAAAGAGAUGAAGGAAAAGAGUGGUCCAAAAUUGCUCACAUCCCUCGCGUUGAGAUAGACGGUAAAUUCAUAUACGAUCCAGAAGCAGAGGAGUAGAUUCUACUAUUAAGGUCAGUUGAUUUGUAUUAUCCGCUAUAACAAGCUCCUCCUUUUUUAUUUUUUUUUUUGAAAUAAUAAUUUUGCAGUCACUCACGUGAUUCCGUUUUCACAAGUCAGAUUGUACGUUGAGGCUAUUUGCCUUUUAAUCGCAGAUUAAAUUAUAACACUUAUCUUAAAAUUUAAUACCAUAGACAGAUAGACGAUUUUUUAAUCCAAAGUUUUUUUUAUUCACUUCAGUUAGCAUUUUUUUUUUCCCCAAAUCAUGCAAGCCGAGAGUUUCAAUCAAGAAUUGGAGGAUGUGAAUGGGAAUUUUGUGAAAGAGUAACAUAAUGGAUGAACGAACAUUUCAUAUGUGAUCUCAAAGUCAACAGAAUUUUAUUCACUCGUUGACUUUUCAACUGCUGUGGUUAUUUAUGGGUGAAAGAUAAGGGCAAUUACAAAAAAUUUGCAAAAUUUGUCCAUUUCUUAGAUGGUAGAAAUUGGAGUAUAAUAUUUUGGAGCAAGCAUACUUGAAAUUUCUUUCUUCAAUAUUUUGAUGCUUUCUUAUCCCAUGCACAAAAAUACUAGAAAAAACUAAUAACAACUAACCGAAAAUCCCAGGCGUCAUAUUCCUUUUUACCGCGUUUUAAAAUGCACAACAAUGAUAUUCUUACAAAUUUGCAAAAUUUGUCAAUUUCUUAGAUUUCAGAUAUUUUAAUGCUUUUUUUAAUUUUUGAUCUAGUAAAAAUACAUAGCCUUCACCGGCAAGAUUCUAGUCUUGGAUUUCACCUCUCUAACUCAUCUGUUCCCAUUGGGAUUCCAGAAAUUGAAAUUUCUGUCUUCAAUGGGUUUUCAAAGCCUCGCCUCUCUUCGAUUUUUGUGGAUCGGGAAUUGCACAAAUCUCACAUCAUUUCCCGAGGUCGAGGAAAAGAGCGGCCCAAACUUGCUCGCAUCCCUUAUUAGGUUAUGAUAGAUGGAAAAUUCAUAUACGAUCCAGAGUCAGAGGUGUUGAUUCUCUUAUUAAGGUCAGCUGAUUUCUAUUAUCCACUCUGACAAUCUCCUAUUAGUGUUUUUCCUUUUGAAAUUUUUUUUCCAAAAUUUUGCAGUUCCGUAUAAUUGAAAAUGCCAUUCAGUUGUUUCCU
rnacentral:lncRNA from 1 species